UCUCAAGAGAGGUGGGGGUUUGUAGCCCAGGACCCGACAACGUCCUCAAAUUUGGACAACGCGAGAUCCACAGUGUGCGAAGACUAGUACAAGAAUGGAGCCCACUCAGUAUACUUGUGAAUCCAUUGCAUUCUUCAAUUCUCAAUUCACGGAGGGAUUUGCAACCGUUUAAAGACAAGUCCUCCUGCUGCUGCUGCUGCUGGAGAGUAGUGCUAGUCGUCGACUGUGGAUUUUCCGACCCCUCAAGAGACGUACAUCUUACAAUAACCAAUUUACGGAGUGAGGGCAGACUGUGAAUUGAAGUGCAUCUCAGCUUUGGGCAAUCCUCAAUAAAAACACUUCCAAGACUCGGCAAGUGUCCCAGUGGUGGGAGUGCUUCAUAGUCCAUCCAACGGAUUAACUCAAUCUCUGUUAAAUUGAUGAGCAACUCACUCAUCAUCCAUGAUGCAAAUUUAGUACCCAUGAAGUGCCGAAUCGUCAAGCUUUUUAAGUUGGGGUGCGGUUGCAGUCCUUCAAGAAUUUGGAGUCCACCAACAAUAUUCCCGUCAACAAAAUUGCGACGUCCCCAUAUUAAUUCCAAUUUUCGUAGGUUUGCUUUUCCCGCUAAAUUUGAUUUCAUUGCUUCUUCCUUGUCUCUCACAUUUUCCAAUGCUCCAAUAACUAGUUGCCCUUUCAAUUCAUUUAACCCACCUAGCUCAUCAAGUCUAUGACGCCUUGCUCUAUCCAAAAUAAAACAAGGUAGCGUUUGCAGAUGAGUCAAUCUUGUCAUCCCAAAUGGAACUUCCUGAUCCUCAUCAAAAUAAACAUGUCUCAAGUUGAUCAAAUUUUCCAUUUCCUCCAUCUCCCUAGGAAACGUUACAUGAAAGAAUGUUCUUGACAUUCUUAACGUCUGAAGAUUAUAGAGCUUGCCAAUAGAUUUUGGGAGUUUUUUUAUUCCUGUAUUAGAAAUGUUGAGAUACCUCAAGUGUUUCAACUUUCCAAUUGAGCUGGGCAAAUCCUCUAUUGCAGCCCCAAAUAAAUUCAACGUCCGUAAAGCUCUAAACCUUUGGAAGAUGUUACUAGGGACCUCCCAAUCAACAAACAACGACCGCAAUCUCCCAACACUCCCUUGUGGAAUUCUUUCAAGUGUUGUGGAAGAAAUUCGCGCAACAUGCUGAAUCUCAAGUGCAUCAUCCAUCUGGUCAGAGUCCCCCAUCAAGCUUUCAGAUUUAAAUACUUCCUCUGCAAGAUCAUGCACAAGAUCGUGCAUCUUGCAUUCCGUAAUAACACCGUACUCAUCUUCCAUAGCAUCUUGAAACAAGGAGUUUUGCAAUAGAAUAUUAAAAUAUUCAUUGCCUAUAUCCUCCAUGCUCAUGUUGGGAGAGGAAUGGAGAUAUCCUUGAGCCAUCCAGAGUUGGACCAAGUUAUCUCGUUCAAUUUUAAAAUCUUUUCUAAACAUUGAACAAUGUGCAAAACAUUGUUUCAAGAAUGGCGACUUCAAAUUAUCAAAACUUAACUUCAAAACCGACAUGAUUUUCUCCUCUUCAUUUGGUAAUUCCCGUAUCUUACUUUGUAGAAUUGACAACCAUUCACGUGUACUAUAUUUAGAACGCAUCACGCUUCCCAAAACCUGUUAACAAAUAAAUUAAUAGUUUAAUACUUGAUUAGAUCAGUUAAAUACAAGUGUUAGAAUAAAAUCAUCAUGUAUAUAACUUAGUAAUUGAAGAGUUCGUAAAGGCGGUAGUUUGAAAGAGCGUUUUGUAAAAUGCAAGCCAUACCUAGAAAGGUGGUAAUUAUUUUAUAAUUUACUUAUUAAGUUAUUAUUUUAUAUGUAUAAAAAAUAAAUUAGUUAAUUAUGGUUAAGCCACGAAACAUGACAUGUACUAAGAAAGGUGGUAACGCUCACCGCUUAACAGGGUUGGUGAGAAAAUUCAAACUCAUGCCACUACAUUUUAUUAACGUUUAUCUCUCUCUCACAUAUUAUUUGCCUUGAUAUGACAUUAAAAUCUAUCAAAUUAGUCUUCCAAAUCUAUCUGUCUAAUUUCGUAAACAUAAAACAAUAGAUAAAUUAUGUUUUUAAAAACAGUAUGUACAUAUUUUUCGUAAAAAUUAAAGAUAGGUAGAUUAUAUUCGUAAAAAUAAAACGUAAAUAAAAUUUUUUCGUAAAAAAUUAAACAAUAGGUAUGUUUUCAUAUAAAAAAAAACAAUAGGUAAAUUAUCUUUAUAAAAUAUAAACAAUAGAUAAACUAAAAUUCAUAAACAAAAAAUAGUAGAUACAUCAUCUUCGUUAAAUUAAAGGGUUAAGUAUGUGGAACCAUCCAACCUUUUAAAGGUAAUUUCAUAUUGAUUUCAACCUUUUUAAACAUUCCAAAUAAUUACCUAACAUUUUGAAAGUUGGGCAUAUGUUAGGUCACUAAGUGUAAGUAACGACAUGCACAAAUAAACUGAAAGGCAUGCUUAGAUUUUCACUAGCACGUUAGCUAUGGAGUUUUGAAUUAUGUAACAAACCAAUUUUAGCCAAGUUAAACCCUAACUUCGCUUGGCUAAAAGGUGUAGUUUUGACAAUUCAGAGCUCCAUAAAUGACGUGAUAGUAAAAAUUCGAACGUGCUCUUCAAUUUAUCUAUUGUGUCAUCAUUUUACACUAGUAAAGUAACGUUAUCAUUUAACGUCGGUGACCUAACAAAUGUCCAAAUUUCAAAACAUUAUGUAUUUGUUUAGAAUAUUUUAAAAAGUUGGGACCAAUUUUAAAUCGACCAUAAAAGUUAGGUAGAUUUAUGUACUUGACCCUAAAUUAAAUAGUAGGUAAAUUAUAGUUGUGUGUAUAUAUAUAUAUAUAUAUAUAUAUAUAUAUAUAUAUACAUACAUUAUUUUUGCAAAAAUUAACAAUAGGUAAAUAAACAAAAAAUAAAUUAAAAUUCAAGACACAAAAAGUAGUAGAAACAUCAUCUUCGUAAAAUUAAACAAUAGGUAAAUUAUUUUUGUAACAUUCAAAUAAUUGUAAUAUUAUAGUGUUUUUCAUAAAUUUAUUUGCAAAUGUAGAGAUGAGCACUAGGAAAUCUAAGUAUUGUUUAUUUUCUUAUUCAUCAUGAGCCACUUAGUACUACGGUCUAGUGGUAUUCCUCUUAACUUGUAAGUGAGAGGUAUUCGGUUGGAUUCUCGACAAAGGUAAAUCUGAACCAUAUUAUUAUGGCUCACCUAUUGUGAGGUUUAGCUCACUCUCCCAUCCUCUUAAUAGAUAAUAUCACUUGUUAUUAAAAAAAUAAAAAAUAAAAAUAAAAACGCUUGGAGGUCACCUAUCUUUUCCCAUUAAACCCAAAAAACCCCCACCCAUCUUUCUAUUUCUAUAUUAUGUUAUUAAAAUAGAAUUUCAAAUACAGAACAACAAAGGGGAAUAUAAUAAUAUAUCAAUGCAUACCUUUGCCACCAAUGGUAAACCAGCACACUUUUUAGCUAUGUCCUUUCCAAUGCGCUCUUGAUCUGAAUUUAGAGGAAGAGCAUUACCAUUUGAUAACGCUUCACCUUUUAAUAUGGACCAACAAUCCUCCACUGGUAGGAACCCCAAAUCACACCUCGGCAUUGUCUCCGUGAUUGAUGCAACCUUAGCACUGCAGGUAGUAACAAGGGCAAUGCUUCCGGUAGCAGAAUUGAGUGCAGACAAACAAUCCUUAAAACUGCUCCAUAAAUCCUCUUCUUCAUUCCAAACAUCAUCGAGUAUCAGCAUAUAUCUCUUCCCUGUCAACCUUUCUUUGAGGCUAUUCAACAAUGCUGCCCGACUUGUAACUCCUGUCCUGUUUGAGUUAAGGGAUUCUAACAUCCGAUUUAGAAUCGAAUUAACCUCAAAGGUGUUGGACACACACACCCACAUUUUUUCCUGAAAAUGUCUACCAAUAGCAUCAUCAUUGAAUAUUGAUUUUGCCAAAGUCGUCUUUCCGAGUCCUCCCAAUCCCACAACGGCCAUAACCGAAAGGUACUCUUCCUGAUUCUUGGACUCGAUCAAGGUUGCAAUGAUAUCCGACACAGUCUUCUCCCUUCCAAUGAUCUUUUCAUCGUGACGGAAGCUUGAGACGGUUUCUCUGUUCCCCAUACCUGGAGGGGUUUGAUCUACUCUCCUUGCAACCAAGGGAAUCCGAGAUGCAUCACUCUUGAGAACCACCAGUGACGCACUGAUGUUCUUAAUCUUGUGUGCCAUCUUUUGACGAAAUAAAAUGGGAUUGGAGAGCGAAAAGAAGUUAAGUACCUUCUUCUUCAUGUGGUUUUGAAUUUCUGCUUUACGCCGGAGAACUUCGUAGUUGAUGUCCUCCAAGACUUCAUUGGCAUCAUGAGCUACGUCUUUCAGUUUCUUGACCCAGUUUCUGACUGCCACGACCCGAUCCUGUGGUUGGUGUGCAACAUCUCCUAAGUACUCUUGAAUUUCCAUUAACGAUUCAGAAAGCUCAUCUAGUUCUUUUUUGAAUCCUCGGAAAAGACUGAUUUCUUGAGCAGCAAGUGAAGCAACCGACUUUAGUAUUCCCUCCACCGGAAAAGUGUAGGGAACUUCUAACACCUUUGCAGCGUCCAUACUCGCGCGAGAGACAAUGGAGAUAAGAGAAGAGCAGAGAAUAGAGAAAUAGAUAAAGGACACAGGAAGGGUGGAGGCGUAGAGUGUUGGAAGCUGAUGAAUGAAAGGUCUUGACAAAUUGACAAUAUAUAGUUCAUGAAACAGUGAACAAUAAGAGAGGAGAAAGAUCCAUUACCAUUACUUGUUCUUUCUGCAAAGGAGAUGCUUUGCUUCGCCUUAUCACUUUACAUAAGCAUAAAGCAUAAAAGCAUGAAGCUGCUUCCAUCAAGCAAGACACAAUGCUUGCUCACAGCCCCGCCAAAGUACAAUACUUUACCCAACCAUAAAGCCUAAAUCUAUUCCCUACACCCAUUUAAAAAUCUAUCUAUGAAGAAAAAAAAAAAACUUCAUUUGGUUUCGGUCUCUCGUUAGUCAAGCUAAUUGUUAGACUCAUUGAUUGUUUAUUGUCAUUUAGUACUACAGUACAGUAGUAUUACUUUUCACUUGUAAGUGAAAUAUCUUAGAUCUAAAUCUUGUGGAUGACGAAUUCAAUAUCAAAUUAAGUUAUCAAUGUGUGGCUUAGCCGAACUCUCACUCUCAUAGUGUAAAAUAUAUCAUUGUACAAAAAGAGAAACAUUGUUUGUUUAUUUAUUUUUAUUAAAGAUAAUACCGUGUUCACUAGGGAGUACCCAAUUUACUGAUCAAAUGACAUGGGACAAUAAAAUCAGCACAGUUGUCCCUUUAAUGCUUUAUUAACUUUUGCUAUGUUAAGUUUCAAAAAAAAAAAAAAAACUUUUGCUAUUUUAAGAACCAAACAGCCCUCUCCCUCCUCACAUUAGCCCUAGAGUAAUGAUAUUCAUACCAUGUUUUUGUAUCAUAUUUUCAUAUCACUUUAGGUGACAUUUGAUGUGAAUAGUCACAUUAUUUGAAUUAAUCAAAAUUUUAAAUUUAGUUCAUUAUUUAAUAAACUAAUAAUUAAGAAAAAAUAGUUAAUUAAAUGAUGAUUGUGGUAUACGAUAUGUCAUUCUCCUUCAUUUCCUUGGGUUUUACAAAUUUUUCAAGUGAUGUAAUUAUCUACAUCAGAUGCCAUCUAAGAUGAUUUAAAAAUGUGAUAUAAAAACAUAAUAUAAAUAGCAAAACGUUUGUCAAUGUUCGUACUUGGUUGCUCAAACGAGUCGAUGUCUAGCAAGUUUAAUGUUGGUGGUGUAGAGGGCCUAGUGGUUCAUGACACUGAUGUUUCAGAUUCGGAGGAAGAAUCUGGGCAUGGGACUGAUACUUAUCAACAGACCUGCGUGUAUGGGUUCGCACCACGUAAUGACAGCACUUCGACCGGGGCGUCCAUGUUAGUGAAUAAUGUAGUACCUGGCAAAGUUAUCCGGUGGGAACGGUCGACAGUGGCAAUCAUGUAAUUGAAUAAAGCCAAAGUGUAACCUCAACCUUGAUAGGGGUCCUUUAAAGCCAAUAUAGCUUGCUUCCAAUUUGUUUACGUUGAGAAAAAUUUCGGAAGAAUUGUCUAGAUGAAUCUGUUCUUAGGUUGAAUGUGAUCAAUAUGAAUCAAAAGAGAUUAAAAUGCAAGUGAGUCCUAAAUUUUUGUGUAAUAUGCCAAAUAAUUAAUUAACACGAUCGGGAUGUCACCAUCAUUUCUUCUGUUAAGUAUGUUUUGAAGAAUUCUUUAGAAAAUGAUUCUAAACUACUUUAAUUUACACAAUUUUUUUUUUUAACAAAAUCAAAGAUACAAGCAUACUGUCCUUUCAACUGAUAUCGUCUUUGUGACCUUUUAUGCCAAUUAAUAGAGUAAAAAGGGAUCAUUUUAGUACUAGAUCCUUAAUCAUUAAAUCUUUACGCAUUGAAUCCUUGACAUACAUUUUGUUAUUGAAUCAUUGAUACACAUCAAUCUCAGUUCAGUCGAUACAGACUAUGCCCAGGAGAAGAGUAAAUUUUCGUGAAACUUAGUAAAAGUUGGGAAAUUUUAUGUGAACUCAUACAACCUAUAUCUACAUCCAAUUUACAUUUUACACCCAUAUUACUUUUAAUUAAGAAACCAAUAUCUCUUUAAACCCAAAUUUAUUACCUAACUAUCCUCACAAACCCAAUUCAAUUUAUAAAUUUAGCUAUACACCCAUUUAUCUACAAUGCAGUCGCCAAAAUCUCUGCCUUCAAUUUUGCAAAACCUAAUCAAUGUAGCAUUGCCUCAUGCCCAAUAUCUGCAUCUACAGGCAAGGCAACCCCAAAUUAUUUCAGAAAUCAAACCCACAACAAAACUUCAAAAGGUCCUCCUUGAAAAUUUUGAAUUCUUACAACUUAAUGCCAUUUUGAGAGCUAGAUGGGUUUAAAAUUUCUUUUAAUUUUGGACAAUACUUGGGUACUGAACAGUCAGUACCCAAUUUUCUGACCUUCUACAAUGACGCAAUAAGUUUUUAACACGUGUCCCGUAAAAGCAAUUUCCCUAUAUUUGCUAUUUUCUAACCAAACACUAGCUAUCAUUUUAAAUCCAUAACCAAACACAACAUUUCCCCUUCCUAUGUCUGCCAUGGAUGAUCCGACGCCGACUUUCCUCUUCCUUUUUCUUAUGUCUGCCAUGGAUGAUCCGUCGACGCCGACCACCUAGCCUCUCUCCUCCGUCAACCACCCCCACUUUAUCCAACCGUCAUCCCACUCCUACUCCCUCCUGAAACUGUCAUCCCACCCCACUACCACUUCCCUUGUCGAGACCAACGACCCUUCCCUUCCGGAUUGAAAGGGAUUUCGAAUUUGAAAAAUCAGUCUCGUUGUUGUAGAAGAGAAAAGAUUGGAAGUGGGUCGCCGGAGAAGAUAAUGAUUGUUGGUGGGAUUGGGCCGUUGGGUCGCCGGAGAAGAGGAGCCAUGGUAUCCAUGACAUGAAAGAAUUGCAGAGUUGCUGGAGGAAGAAGAGGGUAGUUUGGUCACGCGAUUAAUAAGAAAAAGGGGUGUUUGGAUACUUGGUUAAGCAUUUAACACAUGUCUUAUUUUUGUUGGUCCACAUAACUCAGUGCGUAAAAUAAGUACUGAUUAGUCAGUAGGCAAGUAUUUUCCUUGAAAUUUUAGCUCUUUAAAAAUAGAGAUUUCUGCUUUUUUUAAUUUUUCUGUCAAUUGCUUUAAUGAAUUUUUAUUUGGUCUUUUUCCUAAAGUUUCAAAUUUCCGAAUGGAUUUUUGAAAGGAAAAUACUUGGCUGCUAAAGAAUUUAGCAGCCAGUCAUGCUUACACCCAAUUACGGGUCGACACGUGUCCACCUGUAAUUGGGUAUAAUCAGAACUUGGACACGUGUCCACCCGUGAUUGGGUGUAAGCAGGACCGACUGCUGAAUUUGCAGCAGCCAAGUCCGGUUCUUUUUGAAAACCCAACCCAGUAGAGAUCAGUGAUGUAGAAAGAUUUCAUGAUUUGAUCUUUUUCUUAAAGCUUUGUUUUCAUUAUAAGAGCUAUUAGGGGUUUUGUCGGAAUGAAUGUAGGAUAAAUAAGGAGUGAUGACAGAGUUUAAUUAAAGGAUAUGAGUUUAUUCAUAAAUUUUAGUUUUAUUGUUAACUUCAUCUUGUACUUUAUGAUAAUUAUACAAUAGAGUAAAAAAGACAAUUCACAUUUAAAGUUUAAAUUUGAUAUAGAGAGAUGUUAUGUGGGUUUAAAUAAAAUUUCCGAUAAAAGUUUAACCAUCCAGAAGGAAAGCAGUUUAAUAGACAAAAGAAAUAAUAAUACUUAAUUCUGGCACGUAUACUUAAUGGUAGUCUUUGAACAGUGUCACAGUAAAGAACAACAAAACAUUUUUUCAUUGUCGGUUAUAUGAAUUUUAUAAUGCUAUAUUGCGUUAGGAUAGAUUCAAGUACUCUAACUAUUUUCUUAGAAUCUUUUCCAAAAUCUUUUUAGAUCUUCUUUUACCCCUUCGACCUUGAAUAUCUGUUCCAUUACCGCAUCUUCUAAUCGAAACGUUAGGAGAGAACAGUGUCACAGUAAAGCCAGUAUUUUAUUUGAGAGAAAAUAUUUUAAUAUAAUAAGUGGAUGCGACUGUGACUGAUGAGAGAGAUUCUCUCUUUCUUCUUCAAACGGAGUUCCGAACGGCCAAAAUCCCAACUUGGAAAAGCCCUGUUCUUUGCAAAGUUUUCAUCUGGGUCCUUGUGUUCUUUGCAAAAAGCUUCAACUGAUCGGUUUCUGGGGUUUUUCUGUUUGGCUUCAGAGAAAUCCCAGUCUCAAGUUUUGCGCUUCACUGUACUCAGGUCAGUUCAAAACUUUCAUUUUCUCGGCAACCAAACAGGAAAGAGCAUUUCCUUUUUACUAAUGCUUAGUGGGAAUGCAACUGUUACUCACUCUCAUAAAGCAUAGAUUCUUUCAUAAAUUAGAAUGCCUGCUAAUUGCAGCUGAAAUUUACACUGCGAUUGCUUGGAUUCUGAUUAGCGUUGCUGAGAUUAGUCUUAAUUAAUCAGUUCUGAUAUGCAUGUUACGAGUCUAGUGUUUAAUUAGCCUGAAUUAACAAGCUCUAUUAAGCAAGAUCUCACCUUUAUUUUCUGUGAUUAAUUGUGAGCGUUCUGGAAAUGCUGAUGUGCUAAUUCUUUGUUCUGCAGAAUUGCUAAUAACUAGUGAAUUUCAACCUCUUUGUUUCGGUUUUCGCUAUGACCCCGAUUCAGGACAGAUCUAUGAUCUAACUGUUAAUGAGCUGCACUGUUGGAUUUUGAUUGUGCAUAAUUUGUGCUGUUGUGGGAGUCUAUGCAGGAUUUGGUUUUGCAAGUGAGUCGAUUUCCUGUUAAGAUGUUCCGGUAGCUUCUGAAUUAUCGGCAUUGCAAGUAUUAGUGCCUAGUAUGGAGUACACAUUUCAAUUUCCUAAGCUAUGCAAUAUAGAACCCCGGAGUCGGAGAUGGCUUUUUCUUCUCGGGGUAGUGUCUGUUACUUAUUUAUCGAUUCAGUCGCUUUUGAUUCCCUAUGGCAUUGCUCUUCGGUCUCUAUCGCCUCACAGUGAGGUUCCAGCACAAGUCGAAGGUAGUGUCCUCCCUGUUCAUUCCUCUGCCAAGUCCAUGAUGGUUCGCAAUCCUCUCAAGGUAAAUUCUUUGGAUUCGAUAGAUGUUUCUAUGUUUGGAGGAGAUAUUAGGCAGGGUACUGAACCAAAGGGAAAUGAUGUAUCUAAGGAAAUCGAUUUAAUGCUAGAAGAAAGAGAAAUAGACAAUGAUUUUGAAAGUGACAUUAAUCGAAAUGUGGAUGAUGAUUUCCCGUCUGAGAAUGUUGUAGUCGUAAAUGAAAGUCUAGCAUUAGUCAGCAUUAUGAAUCGAGAAAAUGUUACUAUUUUGCAUAAGGCUGACGAAACUAGGCAUGGCUUCCAUUUGAAGAAGAUUGUGUUGCCGAACUCUGAAAUUACUAGGGAGAAUGCUUCAAAAGAAAAUUCAACCGUGACAGCGAAAAGAUCUGAUGGUGUUGAAACUGCUUUUCAUUCGUCUCCACUCAUUUUACCUGCAGCGAAUUUGUUAGAAAAUAGAAGCACUUCCGUUGGUUCUACUUCCUUGAAAAGUGGUGUUGUGGCUUCAAAAAAUGGUUCUGUAGUGAUGACAAGACCUGGGAAGAAGAAGAUGAGGUGUGAAUUGCCACCAAAGUCGAUCACAUCAAUAUCUGAGAUGAAUCGUAUACUAGUGCGGAAGCGCGUUUCUUCCCUUUCACCGGUAAGAUACUGCUGCUGCUAAUCUAAUCAUCCCCCAAUCAAUUUGUUAGGGUUCCUAACUUCUUCCAUUGAUUGUAGAAACCACGAUGGUCCUCUGUACGUGACCAGGAGAUUCUAGCUGCGAAGUCACAGGUCGAGCGUCCUCCUAUUGCACUAAAUGAUCCAGAACUUUAUGCUCCUCUCUUUAGAAAUGUUUCCAUGUUUAAAAGGUAGUUAGGAUUAAAUUUAAGAGGUAAAUUUAAUUUUAAUGCUAAAAGAAUGUGAUUCCUUUUACAGUAACAUUUUGUUCCGUUCUUAGGAGUUAUGAACUUAUGGAACGCACGCUGAAAAUCUAUAUCUACAAGGAGGGAAACAAGCCGAUCUUUCAUCAACCAAUACUCAAGGGUUUAUAUGCUUCAGAAGGAUGGUUCAUGAAACUGAUGCAGGGAUAUAAGCGCUUUCUUGUCAAGGAUCCUAGCAAGGCUCAUCUGUUUUAUAUGCCAUUUAGUUCGCGGAUGCUAGAGUACGCUCUAUAUGUACGUAACUCUCACAACCGUACAAACCUACGCCAAUUUCUGAAGGAAUAUUCCGAAACAAUUGCAGCAAAGUAUCCUUAUUUCAACAGAACUGAUGGCGCAGAUCAUUUUCUUGUUGCUUGCCAUGACUGGGUACGCUCUCCAUGCACCUUUAUUUUUUCUUGCUUUUUCCUUCAUGACUAAUAUCUGCUUUGUUAUUAGUGAUAAGAUACUACGAUAGUAAAAUGGGAUUCCACAAAUGGUUUUGAGAUUCAUACGUACUGCCAAGAUUCUCAUGAAAACGAAUCCUAUCAUAGUGGACAUCGACACAAAUGUAUUUCUUACAUGCGUGUGUCUCAGAGUGCAUGCCUUUCUAACAUGUGAGGUUGACUUUUCUAGGCUCCAUAUGAAACAAGGCACCACAUGGAGCGCUGCAUCAAAGCGCUUUGCAAUGCUGAUCCAACAUCCGGCUUCAAAAUAGCAAGGGAUGUGUCUCUUCCAGAGACAUAUGUUCGUUCAGAGAGAAAUCCCCUUGUAGAUCUUGGAGGCAAACCUCCUUCUGAGAGGAAGAUUCUUGCCUUUUAUGCUGGAAAUAUGCACGGCUACUUACGUCCAAUUCUGCUAGAGUACUGGAAGGACAAAGACCCCGAUAUGAAGAUUUUUGGCCCAAUGCCUCCCGGUGUUGCAAGAAAAUUGAAUUACAUCCACCACAUGCAGAGCAGCAAAUACUGUAUCUGCCCCAAGGGUUAUGAGGUCAACAGUCCGCGAGUGGUUGAAGCAAUAUUUUAUGAGUGCGUACCUGUGAUCAUAUCUGACAACUUUGUGCCGCCAUUUUUUGAGGUUUUGGAUUGGGGGGCAUUCUCUGUGAUUCUUGCAGAGCAAGACAUUCCAAAGUUGAAAGAGCUACUAGUUUCGAUACCAGAAGAGAAGUAUCUGCAGCUGCAACUAGGCGUCAGGAAGGUUCAGAAACAUUUUCUGUGGCAUGCUAAACCCCUCAAGUAUGAUCUCUUCCACAUGACACUUCAUUCGAUUUGGUACAACCGAGUUUUUCAGUUAAAACUCCGUUAAGUUCUGCUGAAAUUCCCCGACGAACAGAGGCGGAGAUGUUAGCACAUGAAAUAGAAAUGAGGCAGUUUCCGAUCGCUUCUUGUUCUACCUGUGAAGCUGUAGAAAGAGUCUGUUUAAAUGCUACACCAUGAAGUUAACUGUGAGUAAAGCUUUUCAACUGUUUUGUAAGUAACAUAUUUCACAUUUUCCUGUUUUGUAAAUAAUUUCUUUCUUCUAAUCCCGGUAGCUGAAACUGUUAUUGCUAGUUGCUACCUGUAAGAAAUUCAGACACCUGAAAGCUAUCUUUUAAUGGUUAAAGUAUGCAAAGUGAUCACCAAGACAAAUGAAGGUGGUAAAGAUAAGUUUUAGAGCGUGACGGACCAGAGGACUUUCAUGGUGCGGACACCAAUGUGAUGGUGUUCCGUGGCAUAAAGUCUUUUUCCACUAAGUGAGAUUGGUUAUAUGAAUCCUAGAACGUCGUUCGGUUAGUCUCAUUUCAUUUAAAAUUCAUUAUCAUAAGGAUUCAACGUAAGAUAAGAAUGUCUGAUGUCGACUAUUUGACGUCCUCUCCCUCCUCAUUUAUCCGGAACCGGCAAAAUCAACAUAACAGUGUUUCGUGCCAUGUAAAUUGCCCAGCGACUGAGUUUGACGUAGGAUUCCCAGCAUGGUUCAUUGAGCAAAGAGAUGUCUACACACCAACCCAAAAGAGUUCGUUCCCAAUGCGCCGUGUGUUUCUUAUUCUCUCACACACGAGCGAGCCAUCCGCUUGGAAUUUUGAGUUGUCACAGAGAGACAUAGACGUCUUCUUGGUGGGUCCCAGCUGUUCCACUCGCUGACUGUUUUCUGCACACACCAGAAAGGCACCACGUAUACUUCUCCAUCUUCAAAGUUCAAGCCUUGUCCCCCUUGUUACCCUACAAUUGUCACUGCUUCCGAGUUUCGAUCCUCAAAUUCUGGGUUUUACUGUUAUGGCGGAAGUUUAAAAAUGAUUUCUCCGUUUGCCAAUGUUUUUAUUUUUUUAUUAGUUUUUCAAAAUACUCAUUUGUUGAAUGACGAAAUGAAUGUCAACUCGUACAUUUUUGCCAAUUUGAAGACGACUCUCUUCUAAAUCUCAUAAAAAUGGUAGGUGGUUUUUAUAGACUAAUACAUCUUCUACCUUCAAUUUAUUAAGGAUAAUAAUGUAAAUUCAUCUUCUAGGGACAAUACUUAGAGACCAAGGAAAACUGUUAGUUUGUUAUGAUAAGAUUCCUCUUAGUUAGAGAGUUGGUAUACCAGAGAUAGCUCACACAUGUUGUAUAUAUACCUCCAAUGUAAUCUUAUUCAUUUGUGAAAUGAAAAUAUAUUUUCCUAAUAUGGUAUCACCCGCCACUGUCUCCCGACUUUUCUCUUCGAUCCCCAAAUUUCUGCUUCCUUUUGUGCACUCUUCUAUGUGAUUUUUCUGCUGAUCAAUUAUCUUCUUCUUCGAUCUUGCUCGUCAUCGAUCUUGAUCACUACUGCACUCUUCUUCUCUCUAUUCUUCUGGCCAUGGCAACCUCUGCUUCUCCUUCCUCGGCAUCGGAUUCUCACAUUCUUCCACCGCCUGCAUCUUCAAACCCUAAUUCCUCGAAUUCAGCGUCCAUUAUAUAUAUAUACCUUCAAUGUAAUUUUAUUCAUUUGUGAAAUGAAAAUAUAUUUUCCUAAUACAAUUGACAUUGGAAGUUUCCAGCAUUUCUUCGUUCAACAAACAUUGAACCAUGUUAUACAAAAAUGUUAAGUUUAAUUCACUCAUCAUUUAUCUCCGCUUAAAAAAGACUAAUGCAACAUAAGUCAUUAUAACAAUGUUGUAAAUCUAACACUCUCAUUUAAAGAUAUUAACAGUUUACGAUUAGUUUAAGAUAUUGCUCUAACAUCUCGAAGAUAAGUUAUCUCCCUUUGCCACUUUGGCUGCUGCUAAAGUCCUAUGGUGGGCCAGAGCAUCCACGAAAUAAAGGUGACUGGAUAACGAUAAUCUAUUGCUCCAUUGCAUCCCCCACGACAGCUCUUUUCUCAUUCGGUUGGUACCAUUCCCAAUAUUCCACUAAUCCACUUCUCUCUCUUGUCCUUCUCAUUCAUUAACUUCACUUAUUUCAAGCUUUCAACUUCGAAAUUUAGUUUGGACUUCAUUGGAAAUGGGGUCUGUAGAUACUUGUCCCUCACUCUUCCCUCUAUAAAUUCAACUGCCUUUGCUUCUGAACAGGAACCUGCUUCUGGGGUUUUCAAAUCGUCCUUCUUUGACUGUAAGUUGCUAUCUUUCUGCUAUUUUACUUGCAUUUUGUUUGAUAUAAUGGAGUUGUUUUGUUGUGUUUUUUGUUCCAUAUGAUUGAUUUGCUCAUCUGGGUUUUUGUUGUUGUACCUUAAUAGUGUCAAAGUUCCAACCUUUUAAGUUUUCUUGUUGUAAGUUCAGGAUUCAAAGAGUUAAUGGGCGAUGUGGUUUUUGAGAAUGAUAUAUCUGAAAUGCCUGUCACAGUAAGUACUUUCAACUUCACAAUUCUGCAUUAUUGUAGACGAUCUCUACUUUUUUCUGUGAGUGAGUGUAUAUUUUGUAAUCUCUUCUCUAUUGUAAGUUUGUAACUAUUAUUUUUUCGCCUUUCGUCUUAAUCUUCGAUCCAUUCCGCCAUCUGAUCUACAUCAACAUGUUAAAAUUCGGAAGCAACUUCCGGUCCAUAUUGAGAUUAGCAACAAAGUUAUAAUUAACUUAUUGAGUUUUAAUUUCUUUAAAGUUUGCUUUUUAACAUUGUGUUUAAAGUGCUAAUAUAGGUAAUUGCAUCAGGUCUGUAAUGAUACUGUGAGGAAGAAAAGUUUUCUUUUCGAUAGCUUGGGAUUGUAUUCGUCGAUGGAUGACAUUUUCACCCGUCUAUUGACAUUGGCUAGUUAUAUUAGUCAUCGGUUUGUUCAAUUUAUCGGUGAGUAGUUUUUUCUAUGGUCACAUGUAUGCGUAGCUGCAUAAUGUAUGCUGAUGCUGAUGUUAUAUUCUCAGAACGUAAUGGAUGGAUUUGGAAAUGAUGUUAUUGCAGAGGAUCUCGCACGUACAGAUGCUGAUAGAUGUUCAGAUGAUUUGCUGGUCAAUUCUGCUGGACAGUAUUUAAGAUCAUUGAGACACGGUGUUUGUAAUUCAUUUUUUGAAGGUUAUUCAUCGUCUUCAAAAUCUUGUUUAUCCGGUCAAAACCCUGGAAUCUGUGAAAGAGUCUCAGAGCCCAGGGAAGACGCUAGAACUGAAAUUGUAGCUGCCAAGUCCAGUUAUGCAGUUGUCCCAUUCAUUUUUAAAGGGUAAUACCAUUUGGUCCAAUUACGAUAUAACGUCAUGAUCCCAUCUGGUUUUAAGUUUCAAACUGAAUGAUUAAUUUUAAUGUUUAAUCUGUUGCUUCAUCCUGAUGCAGGUUAGUACUGCCAUUACAUGGUUUACAAUUUGCAUGGCGGUUGGCAAUGUCUUGUUGCAGAAGCUCUGUGGCAUACGUUAGAUGUGCUCAUCUUCGAAUUUGUAGGUAAACAAGCAGAUUUUAGUUAUACAAAACUGCAAACUGAUGAAUCCAUAUUCCAUAUUUAAUGAAUAGCUUCUUUUAGUUUUAAUUCAGAUUGGAUUUUAUUUUACUUCGAGUAAGUAAUUUGUUGCUUUUCCAUGUCAUCGUUCAUUGUUUUAGGUUCUAGUAGGUUAACAUUCAUUUUGCAUUUGUCAGCAUUGCAUCUCGAAUACAGAAAUCAUUGCGAGGCUCAGCAGAUGAUAUUGGAUGGUUGCAGCGCACUGACGGCAUGCCUGGUGUGGAGGAUGGUACAGCAAGAUUUUUGGAAUUGCUUGCAGGAAUUAGGUACCAACUAAUAUAAUAAGCUCGACUGCACUAGACGGUUGGAUCUGUUAAGAACUGGGUUCAAUUUGUUUUUAUGUGCUGUUCAGAUAUUUGAUCAAUUGUGUUUACUAGUGUGUUCAUAUGUUUAUACAUUCUUAUUGCUUGUAUGCCAUGCUGUAUACUUCAGGAAUGGAAAGCACAGACUUCCCAGCUCAUAUGUCUAUCUACUAAUUCCCGGUACAGAAGAUUUACUUUUCCCUGAGUUUUGAUUUUGUUCUUCUCACCUGUUCAAUCCACAUUUAGCGUUUUGCUCAAAUAGUUAACAGGAACUUUGAACUUUCAGGCCUCUUUAGCAAUCACGGCCCCUUAUACUUUGUUGGAACUAAGAAAUUCUUUUCGAAGAUGGGUCUAGCGUGCCAUAUUGCAAAAAUUCACAGCGAGGUAAUUACUUAUUACUGACCUUUUAAGGAUCUACUGAACUUGUAAAAUGAUAUUAGUCUUCUUUUUUUCAUGUUAUUUUUGUACAAAGGCAUCGGUUGCGCACAAUGCAUGGGAACUCAAGCAAUAUAUCGAGGAACUAUAUUGGGGAUCCGGUAAGCGUGUUAUGCUGCUAGGGCACAGCAAAGGUGGUGUGGAUGCUGCAGCUGCAUUAUCAGUCUACUGGGGUGAUUUGAAAGACAAAGUGGCUGGUUUAGCACUGGUACAGAGCCCAUACGGCGGCACUCCAUUGGCUUCUGAUUGUCUUCGUGAAGGCCAGGUUGCUGAUAAAGAAACCCGCCGGAUCAUGGAGCUCUUGAUAUGCAAGCUAAUUAAGGUAAUAGCUACUUUUUACAAAACACAAACAUCAUGGCAUUCCCUUUUUCGAAUUUUAUAAACUCAAUCUAGUACUAUAUGUUUUCAAGGCCUUUCCUAAUAGGUUUCUGUUUUCAAUUAUUCGCUGAUCAAUGUUUUGUUACGCGUAUUUUUGUUACAUUAAUUUCCAAAUGCAUAAUCAUGGAAAGUUUUUCCUUCAAUCAUCUUGUUGGGGUUUUGUUCAUUGCCCUCUGUUGCACUGGAAGGGUGACAUUCGGGCACUGGAGGAUCUUACAUACGAGAAGCGAAAGGAGUUUAUCUUGAAUCACAAACUUCCCGCAGAGCAAAUUCCUUUGAUUUCCUUCCACUCUGAGGCCAGCAUUGCUCCCGGCGUCCUUGCAACAAUGACACACAUAGCGCAUGCAGAACUUCCCUGGCUCCCCCUACCAAACUUUGGCAAUAAAGAGUCAGAUGAAAUCAUUCAAGCAGGGCGUCAGCUGCCAGUAGUGAUUCCUUUAUCUGCUGCCAUGGCCUUGACUGCACUUCAUCUCCAACUCCGGUAUGGGGAGAAGAGUGACGGGUUAGUAACCUGCCGUGACGCUGAAGUUCCAGGUUCGGUUGUGGUCCGACCGGACAGGAAGCUUGAUCAUGCCUGGAUGGUUUAUUCUACAAAGAAAAGGAACCCAGGUGAGGCUGAUGCCUCAGAAAUGUGUGAGGCUAUUCUGACUCUGCUUGUAGAGCUUGGAAAGUUAAAGGAAGAGGCAAAAGCUAUGAACUGAUCUAAUCCUUCAUACAAUUUCUUUACUUCAGCAUUUUAUUUAUGUUGUUUUUGCUUUGAUUUGAUUUGCUAUAAAUGCUGUUAUUUAAACAUACAUUCACAGCAAUCAAUGGUAAAAGAGAAAAACUACUGCCUACUUGGUCUCUAACAAAACUAAUGGAAUUUCCUAUAUUUUGGUUUCACUUAACUCUAUGUUAAUUCUUUUCUAUAUGAGAAUUACCCUAAUCAGAUAGCUUUGCCGAAGUUUCUUUCCGUAUAAGAAGGCCCAAAACUAUCUGCUAGGCCCAAUUAACAAUAAAUUCUGCUUGAGUCCAUCAACAAGUAAAUUUGCUAAGUCCAAGCCAAUAAAUUCUUGUAGGCCCAAACGGCCACCAACCCAUUAGCUAGGACCCAAAAUUUUCUUAAUUGAACUAGCAAGUUAGCAACAAAGCUUAGCCAACAACCCAUAAAUUGUUAAUGAACAAUUGAACCCUAAUAUCCUCAUAUCAUAAGAAAAGAGGCAUACCAAAAAUAGUUUUUUUUUAUUUUAUUUUUUGUAUUUAUAACAAAUGAUAGGACAAUCUACAUUAAAUUUAUCUAAACUACUGACAGGAGAAUUUGGACGUAGAACCACAAGCAUACCGAGUCGUAAGCCACUUGCACCAAAGGUAGCUUCUUUUGAGAUAUAUUUAUUUUCUUUGAGAAUGUUUAUAGUUGAGGUCAGAUUUUACGUCCCCUUCAUUGUAAUGUUUCUAAACUAACUAAUAAAAAUUUUCAACUCAUCGUGGAGAUUCUCUUAAGAUUUAAAAAUAAAAGGAAUAAAAGAGUAUGAUCCAUUGCCAUAUCAUAAGGUAGGAAAAACCAAUUCUAAACCCAGCAGAAUCCAACAAGUUUCUUUCUUUAUAAAACGUAUGGGUGACACAUGGAUUGCAUGUGUAUGAGAUUGAACAACAGUAGGGCUUAGCAUUUAUAUUUAAAGGUCGAAAUUCAUGAAGUUAUCAGUUGGCUCAAAUGACCACAAAAAAAAAUCAGUCGGCUCCACAUAUUUAAUGGCUCAAUGGGUCUUGCUCUGCACAACUACUCCUCAAACGUGAACGCUAUCAUAUAUAAGAAAACUAAUAUAUAUAUAUAUAUAUAUAUGACAACCAAUUUAUAAGGCUUAUUUCGUAAUGUAUUUCAAGUUUAAUGAUCCAAAUUGUUCUUAUUUUAAUACAUUAUUCAUAGAUCAUUCUUACAAAAAAUUAGAUAAAUCCAAAACCAUCAAGAUAUUCAUUUCUAGUGAAGAAAAUAGGCAAAUACGAUUUUGCAAAGAAACACUAAAUUUGAUUUAACGGUCAUAUGAUUUCGGAUAUAGGGAUUUUUGGUAGAGAUGAUCUUUGAAGUAAAACAUAAAAGAUAGACGGUUGGAUCAUUGAAAUAUAUUCAGAAUCGGCCCAACAAAAAAAUGUGUCAAAAUGUUUGUUAAAAAGGUGUGUAUUAUAUAUGUUAGACAUAUUUGAGGAUGAUAGAGAGAUUCAAAAAACAUAAGUAACCAAUUGUCUGGUAUUAGUGAACAUGAAAAGUACUAAUUAGAAUUCAGUUUUGAAACUUUAGGGUUUUCCUUUGAAACAAUUAUGUUUCAGGUAGCUGUAAGUUUCAUUUUCAUGAAAUAACAUCACAUUUUCUGGUGCAACUGAAGCGGUGAAUAAAAGCUUCUUCUGUUUUUGUGUUAAGAGAUGGAUAACUUUCUGGCUUGCAUGUCGAUUGCUUCCAUGGAUGUGGCUGCUAUUAAAAGUUCAAACCACCAAACUUUCCAUCAAACUGAAACCCUAGAUCAAUUCACGAGAACAUUAUUUUUCUUCUUAAGGCCUAAAAACCAAGAGAAAUCUUACUUUCUGCACUAGUAAAUUGACAUCCAAAUUACAUUUCAAACCCCAAUAAAUAAAUACUCCUUGUGUUUUCGAUUAUGUUGUUUUUGCAGAGAGAAUUUUUAAAUGCUGGUUUAAAAGCAAAAUUUUUUUGGUCGAAGUUUAAAGCAAACUAUUCUCACCAUUGUACGAAUGAUUAAUGCAUGACAAUUUCUUGUAUAACCCGUUAAUUAUUUGACAUGAAACGAUUCAAACGACACAACCUAAUAACUAAUUGAGUUGUUAUCGAGUCACCUAAUAAGAACCUGUUAAGAUAACGGGUUUGACACGACUUGUGGAAUUGGUUUGUUGGCCGUAUUAUUUCCUUACAAGAAAAGUUUAGAAUUAGAGCAUGAUUUUCUCAUUCCAAUUUCACAAAACGUUCAAUAUUGGCUUUAGUUCGAUACAUUCUACACAGCAAUGAAUAUAAUUUAACCGUCCAAAGGUAUACGUACCAUUGAUAUUGCAAUCAAAACCAUAUGUUGAAUAUUGGUGGACACUUUCCAGUGAAUAUAGGACCCCCAGUAUAUGUUACAUUAUUUCAAGCUUUUCAGGCCACCCAUCAGUUGAUUAAAUUGUACGUGUGGCCAUGAAGGCAAGAUGCAUGCAUGCAAACCCUAGCUAGCAAAGCGGACCCAAUUGAUAACUACGUUGCGAUUCCAAAACUGGAAUGGAAACAAAUUGAAACAUUUUUUGCAGAUCUUGUUUUCGAGUCUGGCCAGCUCUAUAUAUAAUUAUUCAACGACCUAUAUCUUAUACACACGGAGUAAAACAUCAUGCUACAAAAAUCAAUUGGUGCAUGCAUGGGAAGUUAGUUUUUGACCUCAUAUAUUCUUCAUCACACUAUAUUAUUUAUUGUUACAAUCUUCUGGAGUUAUGCAGAAAAGAUGAACAAAUGUGGAAAAUGAGCCUUAUAGCUCGUUGAUAUAUAAGCUGAGUCUCAGUCUGUACUUUGUUCAAGGUGGGGGACGCAUGAAAAAGCAAAUUUAUUCAGCAUGCAUAGAGUGGUUGAUUCAUUUUCCUAUUAAUAGAUCAAUUUAAUUACACGAACAUCCUCUAGAAAAACGAUUACUUUUCGUUCGGUUUAGAUCAUGUAUUUUCUGUUUCUUUGGGUUACAUUAGGAAGAAAAUCGAACCCUUUGACCUAACUUGAUCCUAAUUGAACCCUUAUCAACAUUAUGCCGAUAUAUAAGAUUGGAAGAGAAUCAAACUCUUGAUGAUCUGACCUCAUUCAAAUCGAACCCUCAAAAACCUAUGCCUAUAAGACCAUUUGGGACAUAGUAAAGUUCUCAUUAUAACUUACUUUAAUUUCUUAUUCGUCCGAUUUUCCAAUAAUUCAAAUAUCUACAAGUAGGGCUAGCUCGAAGGAAAGCAUGAGUUUGGUUUCUAAUAUGACGCAAAUAAAACAAAAAUCUAUAUUAAAAAAAAAUGGAGCUUGAAAAUUAAUUCAAAAGUUUGUUGCGUUAGAGUUGCCUUAAUGGUCAAUCACUGUUGAGUUCAGAUGCUGAUAGCACAAUAUAUGAAACUGGGACAAUGAUUGUCUGCCCUGCUUGCUCCCGUGCCCUCCGAUGCCCUCUUGUUUUGUGUGGUUACGUUUAAGCCACGUCAACAUUUUAUAUUGUUUUUUUUAUAGAGAUAAUAAGACAAAAAUGAAUAAUAAUAUAAAAUAUUGACGUGGCUUAACCGUGACCACACAUAUAGGAGGGCAGAUAAUCCUUGUCUAUGAAACUGAUGAACCCAGCUGGGCCAUCUUAUAUAUAGGCCUUUUUUGUUCUAGUACUCCCUAGAUGCCUGCAUUAUUUUUUUAUUUUUGGCAAAUUAGCAUUAAAUAUGCGGUUUCCAGCUUGCUUUUGUUUUCGUUUCAGACCAAACGAGUGGAAAACUCAUACUUUACGAUUCUCGUUUGCUUUGCAAGAUUAAUGGAUAUCUUCUAAAAAUCAAAGAUAUCGCGUUAAAUUACGAAAUAAUGGUGGAAAUAAUUUAUUUUAUUUUAUUAUUUAGUGUUAAAGGUGAUAAGUUUUUUUAGGAGUGUGAUAUCCACACACCCUUUUAAUUUUCGAUCGUUAGAUCAGAUAAAUUGAGAAUAUCAUGCGAUAAUUUGUCAAUAUUUAAUAAGUAUGUCGAAAAAAUUUCAGAAACUAGUUAUCGGUUGAAUUAUUGGAGACUUGAUGGAUUUGCCAUUUCUCUGCUGGGACCUGGAAAAAUUAAAAGCCCAUGACCUCAAUUUAUGAAGCCCAUAUUUUGUUGGAAGAAGUUUCAAAUAUUAUAAACUCUCUCUCUCUCUCUCUCUCUCUCUCUCUCUCUCUCUCUCUCUCUCAAAAAUAUAAACCCCUUUGGUAAGUGGAAACAAUUACAAGGACACUCAUGACUCAUAUUAUUAGAAAAGAACAAUGAAACAGUACAUGUACUAUAAUAUAGGUAAUUUAUUUACAGUAUUAUUGAUCAGAUGGUAAUAACUUGGAAUGGAUAAAUGGACUUUGAAUCAAUGGGAGAUUUUUAGAUGUCACUAAUUGUAUAUAUUCAUACAUAUAUUUCUUUCAUCGUAAUAAUUGAGGAUGUGAAAGAUUCUUUAUUUUACACUCGGUUGUAAACAUUUAUAUGUCUAUUUCUUAAUUACAUAACAUAUUGGGAAUACGAUAGAUAAUUCUCUAAAAAAGAAAUGUGUUUCACAACUAUGUAUCUUUUUUUCAUCACAUGACGAACUGUAAAUAGAGCAAUUUCUCUAUACAUCUAUUCAUCUAUUUCACUUGGCACGUGACAAACUGUGAAUAGGACAGCUUCUCUAAAAAAUAAUUGUUGGAUACACAUUUGAGUCUAUACCUAAUAUCUUUCAUCACACGACGGACUGAGACUAAGACAAACUCUUUAAAAAAAAUCGAGUUUACAUAUAGACUAAAAAUAAUUUAUCUUUCUCAUCACAUGACAAUCAAGAACACAGUAAAUUCUCUAGAAAAAACAAGGCAUGAGCCAAAAGUACACCGAAGGGUUUUGCAGGGCAGUAGUCUAGCUGUUAAGAUUGGUCCGGCAAUGGCUGUGGGGUAUGGGGAGAUUAAUGAAUCAAAAAAUUUUGAAGUCUAGGUUGGCUGAAGAAAGUAGAAGAGUUUUAAAUAUCGUUGGUGCUUAAUGCUUACGGGGAGAAGGGGAAAGAAGGAAAGAUAUAUUGGCAGGAUUGGGUGGUGCACAACAAAGGCCUAGCCCAUCCUUGUAUGGUAAUAUUAAGGCCAUUUUCAACCAAAAUGACUAAAUAUAGUCUCGUUCAAAAUUAUAGUUCUACAAUAAAUUAUUUUUAAAUAAACAAUGUUAGGCCAUAUUCAUAUAUCAUUUCUAAUCGAAUGGGCUAAAUAUAGUCUAUUCAAUAAUUUAUUAGUUAAAUUAAUUAAAUUACUGUUAGAUGUUUUCAACCUUAGGCGUUGAAUAAAUUAUUGUUGCAGAUGAGCUAUGCCCCAAAAAAAAGGCUAAAAUGGGGGCUAGUGGUCUUCAUAGAAUUAUAAUAGUCUAGUGGUCUUCAUACCCAACCAUCCAUUGGUAAUGUAUUUUUGAAAAAUUAGGCCAUUUUUGGCUUUGGACCUUUAGCCUCUUCGUUGAAGAUGACCUAAUUAUGGAGAGAUUUUUUUAAUGUUACCGGAAUAUAGGACAAUACGUUAUAUGUUAUUAUACAAGUAUGAGAGAUUUUUUUUUCAAAUAUUCCUGUAUUUAUAUAAUGACAUAUGAGUAUGUAUACAUGUUCUGACUACAGUAAAAAAAUAUCUCUUAAUUGUCCCCACACGACUGUGUUUCUGUGCCAGCAGCUCUGCUUUUCUGGCCCUUGGAAGCUGUCUCUGGUAUCCUAAUUUACCCGUACCAUUUUCUCUUUUUACACUCCCAUUGCUUUCUGACCGUUUCUUGUUUCCUUUAUCUCUGCACACUGCGUAUCUUAUGUACUAACUUUACUUAUUUACAAUGAGAUUGGUAGUUUGGAAAUAGAACAAAAAAUGGAGUUAUAUUUUAGGAAAAGACUUGGUUCAAAGUAGGUAUUUCUGCUAGGUAUUUUCUAUGGUGCUAUCGAUUAUAGUUUGACACUUGAGCAUAAAUUUUUCUUCUUUGUGUUUUUACAAUGGGUUAUUUUUGCAUACGUGUCAAAUUAGAUUGCAGAAAUGAGAAGUCGUCAUUCUUCCUUCUACCACAAGGUCAUUCAUGGGAAACUCACUAGACUACCAACCGUUAAUUCGACUCACUACACAAUGUAUUAGAUGAUUUGAACCGUCCGUUUUAUAGACUUUGAGCGUAAAAUCAUUUUUACAAAAAGUCAUUUAAAUUGAAAAAGAAACAAAAGACUAAUUUAGAUUACAACAUUAUAUUGCAAUUAGACUUCAAUGAAAAAAUAUGUGUCAUAUUAGCUUAUUAACGGAUUAGUGCUUGAGAUUUUUAUAUAUGGUCAACAGAAUGAUGAAAACGAUGGGGUUAAAAGGAGGGAGUCAGACCGACUCAGUGUUGUUGGCGUGGUCACUUAACGAAGAAGCCCACGUUUUCCACUUCAGAUUCUCUCUCUCUCUCUCUCUCUCUCUCUCUCUCUCCCUUCCUCUAAUAAAACCCCUCCCUUCACUUGCUCUUCUUUCUCAAUUCCCCUUCUUCCUUUCCCGUUUUCCUCACUCACUCACACACGCAACAACUACGUACACUCUCCAACUCUCUCUCUCUCUCCAGCAUUACCCUAUAAAUAAUAUAACUCGGUCACACUGCCUGAAGCUCACAAAAGCCAACUCCUUUCCACUUCCAGAACGCAUUCUAUUUAUAGUAAACCAGAGAAAGAAACGAAAGCUCGAUACUUUUGCCUUGGUUUCUUUUUUAAGCAUUUCACUGAGUCCACUACCCAUCAACAAUGGCUGACCCAACUCACUCGGAGACCGAGUCGAGCUUCAACUCCUCCUCACACUCCCCUCCUUCCCCGUCCUCAUCUGGGUUUUCCCACUCCAUUCCGAACCCCGGUCAAAAUCCACUUCGCGAAAUGUCCAACUCGCCAGACCCGGAUCAGAAGCGGGCCAGAGAAACCAGCAGCAAGCACCCGGUUUACAGAGGGGUCCGAAUGCGGACAUGGGGCAAGUGGGUGUCAGAAAUCCGCGAGCCCAGGAAGAAGAGUCGGAUCUGGCUCGGUACAUUCUCGACACCCGAAAUGGCCGCGCGUGCCCACGACGUGGCAGCGCUGACCAUCAAAGGCAACUCCGCGAUCCUCAACUUCCCCGGACUCGUCGGGUUGCUGCCUCGACCCGACUCGAACUCUCCCCGGGACAUACAAGCCGCGGCUGCCAAAGCCGCUUCCAUGGAAACUCUAAACACGCCGCCUCCUCCACCGUCGCAGUCGUCUUCGUCGUCGUCGUCAGCAUUGUCACAGUCCUCACCAUCAUCCUCAACGGUGGGUGCGACAAGUACGAGCGAGGACGCAGGAACGCCGGAGGAGCUGGAGGAGAUAGUGGAGCUGCCAAGCCUGGGAACGAGCUACGAGUCGGCCGAGUCGGGGAGCGAGCUCGUGUUUGCUGAUUCGGUGGAGGGGUGGCUGUAUCCUCCGCCGUGGUGGCACAACAGUUAUUUCGAGGAAGAUUAUGGGUAUAAUAGUCUUAUCAACAGUUUUAUUAGGGAUGAUCAAAUGUUAAUGCCUGAACCACCAGCUGCCGAGUGUGUUGAAGUUGAGGCCUUAUUGUGGCAUCAUUAAAUAUGAACCGCUGGAUCUUACUUUCUUGUUGGUUGAGUUAAUUUAGUGCCCUUUUUAAUUUUCAUUUUAUUAGGAUAUUUUGAGUACUUUACCCCUUUUGCCAAUAGGAGUUGUUAUCUAGAAAUCUAUUUUUAAUUAAUUUAUGUUAUUUGAUAUUCUUUAAAUUCUUUGAUUCGACAGUUAAAAAUUAAAAGAAUGUCGUAAGAGAUAAAACAGGACAUGUAGAUAACGGCACCCUUGUUAAAAUGGUCAAUGGUCUACUAUCCACAGUCCACAGUCCACCCACAAGUUUUCAGUUACUUUCUUAAUUUUUCUUCUUAACUAUUUAUACUUUCUUGAAUAAUAAAAUACAAUUUGGAGUUGAGAUUUUGACUUCCCCCUUCAUUGAAAUCAAAAGGGGCUUUUCUAGAUACAAUGAGAUUCGAGCGGAGGAUUAAGUCACGUAAUGAGUCAGUCAGUAUUUGAUAAAGAACUUAUCAUUAAAGAGAAUUGAACCUAAUAUCGUUAGACUAUUGUUACCCUUAUUUUUCACUACUCGAUCAUUUAUAUCCUAUGAGUAAAUUAAUUUUUUUAUCCAAAGGUAUAAUAAAACAUAAUAAUUUAGUUUUUUUUUUUUAAUCAAAGGACAUUCUACAGCUUUCUCAAAACAUCAAAUUAGUAAUUUAUCGAAACUGGAAUUAUUAAUUUACUCAAAUUAGAAACUCUGUUUUUUUCUAAAUUUUCAGGCAUGAGGCAAAUUUCACAACCAAAAGGCAUACACUCUAAAAUAUGUCUUCUUUUUGUUGAAAGAUCGAAUAAAUAUAUUAAUAAUUUUGUUACAUGCAUUCUUGCCCCCGCCCAUGCACUACAUGAUUUUGGCCACGUGUGCAUGUGACGCAUACAUGUAAAAAAAGGGAUGAUAUGAAUUAAUUAUAUUUUUUUCGUCCAUCGUACGCAGUUUUACUUUUAUUUUACAAAUAGACUGUUUACACAUCUCGAAUUCGUAAUCUUUUUAUUACAAAGGAGCAACAUUUUCAUUGUGCCAAGGUUAGAGUUUGACAUAUGUAAAUUAAUUUCAUCUCAUUUAAGAUUGUGGUUACUUAACUAGGUAAGUGCGUUAUUUGGAAUUACAUAGAGGUAUGUCGUUAUUGGUCUAUUUACGAAUAGAUUGUACAAUAUAACACGAUGUCUAACCCCUUACUUUCACAUUUCUCCGCUAGAGAUCAUCUCUGGAUCUCUCCUACCAAAGCCACCAAGUCCAUUCAUUAGGGUCCUUGAAAUUUGAUCUAACGGCUACAAUUAUUAUAACUUUUUAAAAUGGCUCCCUGUUUGUAGUCGUUAAAUCAAAUUUCAAAGGUCCAGAUAGGUGGAUUUGGUGGAAGAGAUCCGGAGAUAAUCUCUUCCCAUUUGUGAAAACAAUAGAAUACAAUGACAUCGUCUAUAGUACCUAAAGAAUCUCUCAUGGUGAGAGAUCUUAUUGCAGACUGUAAUAUAUAUCUCGUUAUUUCUACAUCUCUAAUUAAGUAACGAGCGAGUAUUGCCGAAACACAAAGACACAUCAUCAGAUAAGUACCUAAAGAAUCUCUCUCCCCUUGUGAGGGGACUUGUUGCAGUGACAAUUGCGUUUCUGCUACUACGCAGGGGCCGGUCUUGUUGUGUUCUGUUCUGAGAGUCUUCUGACAUGUUCAUAUAUUUACUCAUAUCUUUAUAAUUUGCACAGUCAAUGCUCUAUGCCUGCAUUUUUUUGGUUUUCUCUUGCUGUAACUUGUUUCAAAUAUCAUACUGAAUCAAUGACAUCAAAUCAAGGACAUGCAUAUAAAUAUGGUCAGAAAAUAUGAUAUUUAUAAACCAAAGUUCCAAAACAAAAGUUCACAGGGAUAGGGUUGUUAAGAUUUUCUUUCUCCUCUUUGUACUUCCUUAUUUGUUGCUGAAAAUGGUUGUUGGUGCUAAUAUUUACAAAUUUUUGUGGAAUUGUUAAAUUACUGAUCAAGGGUUUACAUUAAGAAAUUAAAGUAUGUGGGUUGUUUUUAAUAAACCCUAGUAUUUUUGGGUUCAUAUCUGGUUUUUAUUUUUUAUUAAGGGAACAAUAGUUGAUGGAUCAAACACAAUUUCUCAAACAUAGGAAACAAGGAGUUAGGAGAAGACAGCAUGUUGAUUUGGUUGGUAAAGCAUUCGAAUUUGAGAGUAGAGCAGCGGCGAAGUCAGAAUUUUUAAAUAAUGGGAUCAUGAUUUUGAUAAAAAAAUUAAAAAAAAACCUUCAUUUGACCAUUUCAUAGAGCACCUAGUAGGAAUUUAUCGAUUCUUGCCAACAUCUGGCGAAAUCUUAUGCCAACAACUAUUAUGAUUUGUAGAAGCUUGUCGAGGGUGGCUAUAGUAAAUGGUGGAGUAAUGUUGAAGACGGUCAAGGUUUAUCAAUUGAGGCAUAUCAUCGAGUGCUUGGUGCGUACAAUAAAGUUGCACACAAGAAGAGGAAAAGGAAAGACAAGAAUGAGGAACAAAUAUAGAAGACGAAGUAAGAGGAGAAGGUUGUAUGGUUUGUCCUAACUAUUUAUAGAGUGAAAUACAAUAUAGAUACAAAUAUUCAUAGAGUUUUUGAAGUUGUUGAGAUCAUGAACAACCUAUGACCCCAUGCUAGUUCGCCUGUGCUAUUGAUGUAGAUAAAUGAGUAUACUACUCUAGCCAACUUGACAUGUUCAACUUCACAUCUUCAUUUUAAACAUUAUAUUUGAUCUUUUUGUUGUGAAAACAAAAUUACAAAUAAAACCAUGAAGGCAAUCCCAUCAUAAACAAUCAAAUUUGAAAGGCAUAACUAGAACAAUGCUAAUGAAGUUGUACGAUUCCAUUUUAUAUAGUAUAUAUAGUACAAACUUUGCUUAAAAAAUAAUUUCUAGGGCUUGGAAGCUGUCAAUCGAGUUUGUUAAUCAACCUCAUGAGCUUCCUAAGUGCUACGCACUGCAUAAGGAUCUCAGCUGCUAGCUCAAAGCCAAGAUCACGUACUAUUUAAGUUUGUGCUUCCAUUUACCGACCAAAACAAAAUAGUACUAUUUAAGUUUCUGCUAUCUAGAAUCUAGCUAACCUUUUACACAAAAUUUAAAAAGGUUUUUUGUUAACUUAAUCUUCACAUUCUCCCCAUAGUUUUUGGUUGGAGUUGAUUACAAAUGGAAACUUUUCAUUCAAUCAUCUGUCGACAAGAAAAUCCUAAACCCAACCACCUCGGACUGGCCUAGUAAUCGAAAACGAAUUUCAAGUAUGUAUUUUUUCAGGAUAUGUCAUAAGUUCGAUUCUUAAAAUUAGUGAAUUAUUUGAUGAUGGUCAAGAGGAGGCUGAAAUGCCUCUGUGAAUCGUUAUAAUUUCUGAAAAAAUAAAUUGUCAUGAACCGAAGAAGAAUGUUGUCGUUAAUGAACUAAGACUUAUAUUCCCUGUAACCACCAGCUGAUCUCUUUAAAAAGAAAAAUCCCACAACCCACUUGCCCUAUGUUUUCACUGAAGCCCUGAGAUGGGUCGUGGCUAGGGAUGGGCAAACCCAUUGGUUAUGGGUAACCGCGGUUACCCGUCCAUUUAAAUUAAACGGUUACUGUUAUGGGUAACCGUUUAGAUAAAUAAACGGUUAUGGGUAUAACCGUUUACCCGUGAAAUUUAAAUGGGCGGUUAUGAGUAUUAACCACGGUUAUAAACGGGUAACCGUUUACCCAUUUAUUUUAUAUAUGUAAAACUAACACAAACCAUGUUCUCAAUCCAAUAAUACUUAGCACCCAAUAAAUUAGCAAGGAAUUCAUCGGUCCUUCUCUCAAUAACAUUACUACAGGAAUGAUGAUUCUCAUCAUCAAGGAAUUGACCAAAUUAAUUUAAAUUCUUUGCGGGUAACCGUGAAAUUGACAGAAAUGUUUUGACAUAAAUGUCUUCUAAACAAUUUUUGUAACCCAAUAAUACUUAGCAAAUAUUAUAUUUACCGUCAUUGGUAACAGUUAAAAAUAUCGUCCGUAAACUAUUAUUUCAAUUAUUGGAAUGGUAUAAGGACUUAAAAAAUUAAAAUAUGGACAUGUAUGAUGAAUGUACCUAUAACGGUGUUUAAUUGUCAAAAAAAAAUUAUGACAAUUUUUUUUUAAUUUUUAAGUUGUUAAAAAACAUGUAGACGGGUGAAAAAAGGGUAAUGGUAAAAAAAAAAAAGAUAAACGGGUUAAAAAGGAUAAAUGGGUAAACGCGUAUUAAACGGUUACGGUUAAAUGUGUAUGCGGUUAUGAGUAUGAUUAACCGUUUAUAAAUGGUUAUUGGUAUGGGUAUAACCGUUUAGGUAAUUACCCAACGGGUAAACGGUUAUGCGGGUAUGAACAUAAACGGUUAUGGAUAAAUUAACCGCGGUUACCCGCCCGCAUAACCAUUGCUCAUCCCUAAUCGUGGCUCCUCCAUUGAUUACAAAAAAUAAUGAUUGAAAAUUGAAGUCAAAUAUCUUUGACUCCAUUGCAAAUUUAUUGCAUCGCUGGAAAAUGUGUGAUGAAAGCAAAUUAAGGACCCCGGUCCUUUGAUUAACAUUUUUGUCUUCUAACUAGAAUUAUGAUUAUUGUUUUGCAAGGUUCUGGAAUAUUAAUUUUUGUGGCUGGAAAUUGGGAGUCCUUUUUAUUUAAGUCUAGCUCGUAAUAUGAUUGAGUCAUUGCAAAUCAACAUCAAAGGACCAAUGAUUUAUAAAUUUAUAAAAAUAGCCAAGACAAUUGUUGAGAGUAAAUUCUACAUUGAAAAAAGAAAGAAUAUCGCAUGUGCUUACAUGAAAUUGAACUACUCCUCAAUUGUUAAUUGAAUUUAUGGUGGAACUUCAACUUUCUUCAUGGUAUCAGAGUAGAUUGUCUCAUAUGUGAACCCUAACGGUCUCACGUGCUCCACGUCAUCCUGCUUUUGUUGUCCACGUGAUUGACUUGAACAUUCACCACAUGUGAGCAGGCGCGUGGGGAGUGAAACCCAAAUCGAAGAAAUGAGGAACUUUAUAUGUGUUUAUAAGAGAUUAAACUAAUCUUCAUAUUGCUAAUUAAUUUUAUAGUUGAAUUCAACCUUUCCUCGACAAUCUUCACUGUUUAAUCCAUGGUGAUGAGACAGAUCAUAUGAUAUUCGUGUCUAUUACCCACGAAUAUUACGUCUCACCUGUAUAAAGCUCUUCACCAAUAUUAUUGGUACUUCUUUAGAUAUGAAAGCUACGAGCUAAGGACAUAAAAUGGUAUAUGUACUUUUGGAGAAUUUAUUGCAUGUACCAAAAUAUGACCACUUACUUGACAAAAGGGUUGUGUUUGUAUCAUUUUCGUGUCAUAUUUGUUAUCUUAACAGGGUCGUAUUGUGUCAAACUCGUUAUCUUAAUGGGUUCUUAAUAGAUGACUCGAUAACGACCCGAUUUGUUAACGCAUCGUGUCAGGUUAACAGAUUAUGUAAGAAAUUAUCAUGUUUAAUGUUUAAAUCAGGAAAACGAUAUAUUAUUGGGUUCUUAAUGGAUGACUCGAUAACAACCUGACUCAUUAACAGAUUGACUCAAAACCUGUUAUUUUCAUGUCGAAUUAACGGGUUGUGCAAUAUACUGCUAAACUUACGUGAUAUAUAUAUAUAUAUAUAUAUAUAUAUAUAUAUAUAUAUAUAUAUAUAUUAUACCACAUAAUCGUAUUUCACUAUCUUACAAAGACUUUCUCCUACUUUACUGUAUGAUUACUAGAUUAUUUACCAGUUUGCUUCAAGAAAAUGAGGCAUCCAUCUGCUACAAUCAAGAUUAAAAAGGUGAUUGUGUAGUGAGUUGUAGUAAAUCUGUCACACGUGCACUUAAAUUUGGAAGUUGACCUUUGAUUAUCUAAGCAAUUGAUCGGGCAUCCCAAAACCCAAAUUAAGCAUUUGGUGUGUUGUUUCAUACCUGUAAUUUCCAUGUUACCUCAAAAUUUUUAAUUAAGAUUUUAAUAUCCCAAAGAAUGUUGCAGACUUUGGAGUGCUAAACUUUAAAUUAAUAAUUAGGGUUUUACGAAUAAGUAAAAGACAUGUCUUCUAAAUUUUUAUGUGUGUGGUCUUUCUAAGUUUUUAUGACUUCUAGCAAUAAUUGGCAUGUCUCCAUAAACUUAACCUUCCUAACCCUAUUGUUCAUAAACUUAACACGUAUCAAUGAUAAAAAUUACAGAGGAACCACACACAAAAUAAGAGGAAAAUAUUUGAACUCCUGAUUUGGCGCCACAGGUAACUUUUUUAAUUGUUUAUCGUGAUUCACACUAGGGUUUCGUUAGGGUUUGGAGAAAAUUAAGAAGUUUCCGGGGCACAUGCUUCUAUGGAACCUUUGUAUGCGCUCGAAAUUGACCAGAGUGCAGUUGCUUCCUUUAGUGUGAUGAUGAUGAAAGAUAUUAUCAUAAAAUGGUGAUCGAAGAGACCCUGAUGCAGGAGAUGCAUGUGUUUUAAUUAUAUUAUAUUGAGCAUACACUGACUUCAUUAGUAAACUUGUUAUACAUAAAUCAUAUUUUUAUGAAUGUAAAACUAAAAUGCAUCUACUUAUUGACUGCGAAAACAUACAUUAUUGUAGUUAGAAGUUUUGGUCAAUGAUGUGUCCACGAAGUCUCAUAUAAUACUCUCUUAAAAAGUAAAAAUCUGUAACCAGCUAUAUAUUUUAUUGUGUAUAUGUCUCUCAUCAUGAUAUAUAAACAGAAAUAACUAUAAGAUUCUAUCUUCUUUUAGUCGUUGUUUUCAUUAUUUACUUAUCAAAUGUUGCUAUUUGGACUACGUUUUAUUGACCACCCUCUUUAAUAAGUUCCAUAUGUAUAGGUGAAGUCCAUCUUGAUUAAAUUGCUCAUCAACAAGGUGAUCAUUAGUGAAUGUAAAAUAGCAUUAGUGUUUCUCUCUUGCUUUUAUUUUUAAAAUUACUGAAUUACAAAUGUCUAUUGGAUCGUUAGUUAUGAUAUGCCCAAACUGAUAAAAUUAGUUGAAAUUCUCUCCCCGAGUCCAAAAUUCGUCAACUAUUAUAUUGAAAAGUAUAAUAUACAUACAAGCAUCGAAGGUAGGGAGGUAGACCUAUUUGUGGCCCAUAUACAUUCAUGAAUACAUGACAAGUCACGCAUACAAAAGCUUUAUUUAAUUAAGUCAAGUUGACUGUAUGCAUUAUAGAAUGUCACUAUGCUCGGUUUUGCAUCCAAUAUCCCAUUAGCUCUAAGUACUACACGUCUUUUCGUAAAGUCUCUUAUGAAGUUUUUCUAGAUAUGACAAGUCACACAUAUACAUGAUAAAAGCACCCAUGGACAUUCAAUCAUUCAAAUACAAUAUUUACGUAUAUAUGGAAUUAUUUAUUUACAUUUAUAUAGCUAGCUGUUUUGAUGAAAUCUAAUGCAUAUGUACCCUAAUGAAGGUGGUUGGGAUGAUUUGAUGGUACAUGUUCUCUUGGAAGAGAGACCAUAAUGUAAAGGGUAUGUGCACCACAUCCUUCCGGAGGGUAUUUCCCAUGCCCUUAGGUCUAGUCUUUGUAAUGCAAUUUAUGGGGUCUAUAUAUCAAAGGAUCUGUAGGACAACAAUGUUCCAGAUCGAGCGACGUAUACAACCCCUGGCUAGGUUUACUUGAACAGCGAUCUAUAUCCAUACACAAUUGAUUGGUUUUCAUUUGCUUUCGGAAAUUCUCAUCCAAGUAGCUAGCUAGCUUCUUAUUUUUAUUACUUAUAUUAAUGGAUUUUUAUCCAAAAUUGUGAGAUUGGCCUAACUCCUCACUUUGGUCUAUGAGAUUUAAAAUCAAUAGAAAUGGUUCCUAAGAUUGUCUAUCGUCAUCAUUUUGGUUAUUAUGCGAGAGAUCUCCGUUAAAUUGAUGGUAUUUUGUCACCUUAACCAUCCUUAAACUGAUGGUUUCUUCAAUUUAACAAAGAUUUUUAACAUAAUGAUAAAAAAAAAUUACGAUGAACAAUCUCAUGGACUAUUUCUAUUGCUUUUAAAUCUACGAAAUUAAAGUGAAGAGUUAUGACAAUCUCAAAAACCAUUUUAAAAUGUCAAUAUUAAUUCGAUACAAUGCUCAUUUUCAUCAUAUCUAGCUAGCUACUAGAUUUCAAACAGCUACACCUAACAGACUUUUUCAUCCGUAUCAAAUGUAUUGGUAGUUCGUAUGCCUCGUUCUAAUAUAAUAACUUUUGAGUUGUGCGAUAUGAAGUAAUACAAUGCAUCAAUAAUUAAGAUCAACUCACGGACUGAACGUAUCAUUUUCCAUUAAUGUUUUAGUAGUUACAAAACUAUUUGGAUGGUUACGUGCAGUAUACAUGCAGAACAAUAUCGUUGAAUCAAUUAGUUAAUUAGAAUGCAAGAUAUUAAUGUGAUAAUUAAGUACGUACAAAUUAUUGGGGGCUCUAGGUUCUAAUUGAUCUUAAAUUAAUUAAUUUACGGGUUACAGUCUUCUCUAACUUCUUCCAAGUAGUUCGUAGGUCAUGCUCGAUCUUUAAGCACAAAUUAUCGAGUUUGAGUACCUUAAUUAGCACCAAUGACAUAUACCAACUUGCUAGCUCGCUCUAGGGUUCUAGCUUAGCUUGGUCCUAUCUUUUGGGGGGCAUCAAGCUUUAUGGCACAUUAUCUUCUUCUCGGCCGCAAUCGAGUUUGUGAUUAUGGAAAGUAUGAUUCUCUUCCAUCUAAAUUCCUCUCCUCAAGUCACCUCUUCUCUUAUUUUUCUCUUUUUCUCUCUAUAAAAAAGUUAACAUCAGAUGUUGACAGGGCUUAACCGUAACAGUUUAAAUAUGAGAGAUUUGGAAAUGAGGAGAAUUACAUGAUAAGUGUGAUUAGGUUCCAUUUUGAAGUAUGUACGUAGUCUUGAUUAUCUUCUUACUCUACUUUGGGGAUGUUCAAGAAGUUUAAUUACCUGAUCCGUGUUUACCCUCAGUUAAGUCUGAUUGUGUGUGUAUGCAUCUCAAUCCUCUUGUGCCUUGUGCUUCCAGUAGUUAUAAAAAUUUAUCCAGCAUACAUUAAAGUAAUCGAGGUAUAGUAGGAAGAUAAGAUGAGUGAAAAUAUGUUAAGGUGGUUUGGACACGUGAAUUGAAUAUCUAUAGAUACUUAGAAAAUGCCACUUUGAGAUGGAUGGUCAGGGCAAAAUAGGUAGAUGAAGACUUGAAAAGAGACUUUAAAAAAAAAUACAAAGCACUUAGAGCUAACGAAAGUCUUAGCUCAAAAUAAUUUGCAGUGACAUUCUAAGAUUCAUGUAGUAGACUUCACUCAGUAGGAAAAGAUUUAAUUGUUGUUGUUUGUAUAUGCAUUAAACUAAUCCUAUUCAAAGUAUGAUUAGCAUUAUAUGAACCUGUUUUCAUCGAUUGAUAAAUGACCACUGAACUGCAUGCAAUCAUUAGAGUAACCAUUUCAGAUUAUACUUUUAAAAUAAAAAUUAAUUAAAACUCGUUAAAUCAUUCCAUAUAGUUGUCUGAUCAAUUGGUAUGACUAGUUCACCAAUUCAAAGACCACUAGCUUUUGGCAAAUGGAAAGUUUCGAUCGAUUAUUUUGUAUGGUAUGAUCGCAACGAAUCUGGAUUCUCUUUCUCAGAAUCUCGGAAAUCUGUAAAUUAUAUUCGUUUAUCGUAUAUCGUACAGUCAAAAAUUAUUUUAAAUAUUUUUAUUUAAAAUUAAAUACAAAUAAUAUAUGACAAAAACUGACCACAUAAUGUACGAUAAACGAACACGAUUUAUAAAUUUUCAAAAUCUUCACCAAAAUAAUCCAGAAUAUCCUGUUGGGAUCAUAACAACAAGACAAAAACAAAAGCAGCAAAAUUAGAGUAUCUUAAUUUUUAGGCAACUUUUGGUCACCAAUCCGAAAUCAGAUAUAAUUACCACUGAUUUGUUGUCAAAUUUUGAUACAUCCUUCUUUCUUUUGACUUGCCUGCCUAAGCUCAAUCUCCUGUUUAAACCCACAAACGAUGCAGGAAAGGCAACACGUGUGCAAUAAAUUGUUAAACUCCAUGUUGUCCUUUAAUAAAACAGAGCAAUAUUUAACCUUUAAUUGGCCCCAUAUCAAUAUACGUAGACUUAAACAUCAAAUAUGUUUAAUCAUUAGCUUAACGACAAUGUUGAUUUAAACUCCAAUUACAAAUAUACUAACUAGUGAAUGUUAACAACUUUCUCAUUUAAAUUUUUUGAGAUAUCUUUAUCACCCUCAAUAUUUCACGGUGAUUUGAAUUUUCUGUUUUCUCGAUCAUACUUUAAAGAUACCACAAAUAACAAAAUUUGAAAUAAUUCAGUCAUUUAACGGCUAUCGAAAAAAUAGACGAAUCAUAAUAUUUAAUUAAGUAUUGAAAUUUUAAUGGCGUUAAUCAAAGGUUAAAAUAUUUUUAAUUUGGUUAAUUUUUUGUUGAGAUAUUCUUCAAAGGUAAAACGAAAAAGUCAGACUAAAAAGGUCAGUAACAUCUCUUCUUACUUUUUCCCUGACCAGGUAUAGCUCCAAAAUAUUAUCACGAACCCCAUAAGCAUGAUGAAUGAGACUUGGUUCCCGGAAUGCCAUCUCAUGCAAAUGUGAAUUUGCUGUAAAAUUACCCAGAGAAUUAAAGUAACAGCUCAAGUUAAAAUUACUUUGGAGUUUACUGGAGUAACUAUAAGACAAAUACCAACAGCUGUCUUCAAUUCCCACACAUCAUUGUGUUAUGGGCUGACCGAUCUCUUAAAACAUGCAAACAUAAUUUGGUAGUUAAUUAAGUGGAAGAUGUUGAGGGUGUUAAUCUCACAUGGAAAAAAUAAGGGAUUUUAUAUGUGCUUAUAAGUAAUUGACCUACUUUUUAUAGUGUCAAUUAAGUUUUAUAGUAAAAUUUCAACUUUCUUGAUGGUAUUAGAACAAGUUAUCCUACGUGUGAAACCCAAUGGCUAUAUAUGCUCCACGUCAUCCAAUUUGUGUUGUUCACGGACUAGGCUUGAAAAUUCACCACACGCGAGGGAACUUGUUGAGAGCGUUAAUCCAACAUUGAAAAAAAAAAGAAACCUUACAUAUACUUAUGAAUAAUUGAACUACUCAUCAUAUUACUAAUUAAUUUUACAGUGUAACCUCAACUUUCUUAAAAAAGAUCACUAUGUUGGAUAGAGUGCUCUUCUUUACGUAUGAGCUAAUGAUCAUGAAGGAUUGACAUCUGCCUUCAUCCAAUCCUUUACUGCGAUAGUGCCAUCAUUUUUUUCGAUCACCUUUUCUGUCAUAUCUAUAAGAUAACCAAGCAUUCUCUUUCGGGCGCAGGAUAUCUCAGGCUUUGAGAAAGAAAAAAAAAAGCAUCAUAUAUAAACAAAUUAUUCAUAGUUUGGAUCAAUUAAUUUGAAUUUGAAGGGUAUAUGUAUGUUAAGUGGAUUAUAUUUUAUAGUUAGAUUCCUUGUUGCACAAGUGCUGUAGUAAUUUAGUUUUUCUUAUUUUUCAAAUAAUCUUAAUCCUUAGUUUUUCUUAAAUUUUGAUGAAUUUUAAUCCUUAAAACCCAAUGCUUGUAAUGUACAAAGAAAUUAACCCUAUGAAUAAAAUCAACUAAUUCCAUAUUACUAAAAGUGAAUUUAAUAUUGUAACUUUGUCAAGAACCAAGCAUUGUUUCUACUGCUUUUUACUAAAUUUACAAGCGGCCACUAUAUAUGCAAAAGAAAUGUUAAGGAGACUCUUUAAAAAAUGAGACUUCAUGAACUCUCUGUCAUCUCAUGUUUUUAACACAAUGUUUUAUAAUAUUGAUACCAGAAUUGAUGUUAAAUUGUGAGGUGACAAAUAAUCCAUGAAGAGUCCCGCUUUUGAGAGAGUCUCAUUAACAUUUUAAAAAAUAUUUGGUGUUUUCCGCAAGCAAAUGAUGGCGGUAUGUAUUGACAUGAAUGCAUGGCUCGUCUUGACCAUAAAAAAAGUUGGUGUUAUUCACGUAUCAUUUUUUACUAUCCACACACUUUAUGUUAAUUUUUGUUAGUUGAUCUUGUUUUAAUUAAUCCGAUCUUACAACUGAAAAUUAAGAUAAUUGUGUGAAAGAUGAAAAAUAGUUUGUGGAUAGAAUCUCCUUCAAAAAUUAAUGGCACGUGGGACAUGUUAAUAUGCAGGGAUAGGAGUCCGAUAAUCAUAUCGACAAAGAAGUACAACCAACCCAACUAGAACUAGCCAUGCAUACGCUGCGUGCUGAUAAACAGCAAUCUUCGUGCAAUGAUGAAACUUUAAUCAUUACUACUGAUCGAGCAUAUAUAUUACAGGAGUGAUGAACCCAAGGCAUGUAAAAUUACUUAAGGAGGAAAAAAAUAUUGAAUUCGGAAAGGAUAUUUCUUUGCUGUAUAUGUUUAUUAAUUCUGGUAAGAGGUUAUUUGUACUAUGUUUGGUAAAUGUAAAUUACUAUAUUUGAUGUUUGCCUUUCCCAUGGAAUAUUGAAGGGAAAUUUUAUUUGAAAUAAAAUAUUGAAAGGUUAUUUUCACAUGCACCUGUUGACUGGUGUUGUUUUAUUCUGUUUUGGACGAAAUUUGCACAACUACACAUUUCAACUUUUUUUUUCUUGUUAAAUCUCUGUUUUUUUUUUCUCUGACGGUUAUGACGUUUGGUUUGCUUUUUUUAUUCACUAAAACUCAAUGCGUAUAAUUUACCAUUUUACAAUUGCCUAUUGGGUCCCAAAUUAAGAGAUACGGCGAAGUUGUUAGCAAGGAAUCCAAGAGAGAAGAGAAGACAUACGAAAAAUAGUAGAGAGGGAUUGUGGUCGCCGACAACAUUGGAGAAGGGUUGCUGGUCGACACUAGGUUGCGUUCACCGAAUUAAAUAAAAAGGUGUAGAGAGAGUAUAUUGUUGUUGUUUGUGUUUUGCAAUUACAAGGUGAUAUUCGUCUUCACUUGUAAGUAGGUUUCAAUCUCAUAGAUGGUGAAUUUGAUACCAAAUUAGGUUGCGCAUUGUAUGGCUUAACCGAACUCUCACUUCCUUUAAUAUAAAAUAUAUCGUUGUACUAAAAAAAUCAUUUUUAUUUAUUCAAGGACAAAUUUGGAUGUUUGGUGGAUAAUUUUUUUUAGUUUAAGUGUAGAGAAAAGAAAACAUGUUUCAAAUAAAAUUUUCCGCUAUCGAAUUGUGGGAGAAACACAACUUGCUUAUAUUUUAAUUUUUUUAUAUUUUGACAAAAAUGAUAGAAUUUCAUUACCAUAAACAACCACUUACAAGGAUGCCAGAUGGGUACAUAUACUCCAGUGAUCUAUUUUUUGAUAUGGAGGUAAUAAGCCCAAAUGCAAAUAAUUUUAAACCUCUAUACAACCAUCACACAAAUCACACCACUAGAACGAGGAAUUAUGAGACAGAUAUACGCCAUAGACAAGACGUGACAUACCAAGCACCAAAACUAUAGCAAGACAACGAGGCUACAAAAUCGCCGAAGCGACACAAACCACUUGCCAAAGCUGCACAGACCAAUCAUAAAACUAAAUUAAAAAACCAAAAAACUGAUGUGUCCAAAAUGGAGAUGCAGUUUAAAAAAUUGGUAGAAGAUGUGGGUAGCAGAAGCAGAGGCACGUGCAGAAAUGUUAGGAGGUGUGAGACGCCAGCUGCUGGGACAAACUCAAAGGGGUGAGGCGAAAGGGGAUCCAGCCAGAGCCACCAAAGUCGUCGGAAAGCCACAACAAUCCAAAAACCUACAUAAAACAUGUUAGCACCAAGAACCGCUUGAAGUUUCCUCCGAUUGGUGUUGGUUGCAGUUAUAAUAAGAAAUAUAGGCAACAACAUGGAUGGUAGAGGGGUUGCCAAGCCAAGACCACCCACGCCGUUGUACCGCCAUCCCCACUACCAUCACGAACCCAAAAAGGACAGAACAAUAAUUCCAAGGGCACAUCCCUCGAAAAGUCCAAACAACCUAGAGAAAUUUUUGACGACAAAUAUGCACAGAAGCUACACGAAUCCGAAAAAAUGAAACCUCUAAUAGGCAUGGCUGCCACCAAACAGGCAAAUAGAGAGGAUAUGACCCACAAAACAACCCAAAGACCAACUUAAACCUGCAAAUCUAAGCCCCAAACAAGGGUGGAGCCAUGUACGGCAAAAAAAUCUAAAACAUGGGUCGGAUGCUCGCAACAAAGCCUUGAAAAUUGGAUGUGUGCAUUAGUAGGGGGAGAAGGUGAUGGGCAGCACCAAGGAACAAAGAAAAAAGGGAAAGCAGAGGGGAUGAGAUCAGGGGGAUGGAGAUAAAGGAAAGUGUGUGGUUCGCGGACGAGAUGACAAGGGGGUAGGAAGCAAGGGGUGGCGAGGCUAGAAGGAGAGGGAUGCUAGGAGGUGGUGAAGGAAAUUUUGUGAAAAACAUGUUCAUUUGAGCAACAUUUAUGGCAUGCAAUUAACAAUUAAAGGCGGAAUCAUGCUUGUAUGCACUCAAAAAUAAAACAUUACCCAUGAAAUUCAAAGCCUAGUAGAAGGGUGAACCAAGACUCAACUCAAGAACAAAGUGAGUUGAGAAAUCUUAUACCUUUGUUGAUUCCUCUUUGCAUAAGCAAAGGCUAAUCACCCAAGGAGAGGGCCUUCAUUCCUUGCUUCUUAGCUCUAUAGAUUUCUCGGAUGAGGAUGGUUGAAAAGAUUCUCCAAGUUCCCAAAGUUGAGAACCUCUAAUUUUUCCACACCAAGGAGAGACUCGAAGAAGAGAUGAGUGACCUUGAAGGAGGGAAGAUUGCUAGCUAAUCUCCUCCAAGGGGGGCCGGCCUCCUAGAGAGAAAGGGAGAGAUAUUGUGUUCUCAUCUUUUCUCCAAAAGAAACCCUAAUGAAGAAAAGGCUAUAAAGUCAUAUUUAUACCUACCUUCAUUGAAGUGGCAAACUUGUAAUAAGUCCAAAACCCACUCCUUUAUCAAUAUGGCCGGCCAUAGGGUUUUAUUGGGCUGUUUGGGCCUUUAUGAAUUAUUAGUCAUUAAGUUGUCAUACAACUUAAGUUAAUGGGCUUGACGUUCGAAUCCCAUUAGGCCUUGAGGCCCAAAACUAACCCAAGGUUUUUACCGAACCUUUUUCGUUUGAUUAAUUAACAUAUUAAUUAAUCCUUGCCAUAAAUAAUUAAACCAUUUAAUUAUCCUUACUCAUCUCCGUUGUUUCUUCAAUCUCUACCUUACACGGUGUACGAUCCAUUAGGUUCCUUUUAGCGAGGCAGUGGUCGAUUAGAACUCUUUCAAAUCAAUUGUGAAUUGAAACUUACUUUCAAUUCUCCCUUUAGUGAUUAUACACGUUUAGGGCUUCUACAAACCAUGAGUGACACCUAGCAAUAUGUCAUGGUUACCCAAGCUAAUUAGAAGAGGUGGAGAGCUUAUUCAGUUUAGGAUUACAAUGCAAUACAAUUUUUUUCUAAUACAAUACUCUUGACCACAUUGUUUGGUUUGAUAGUUUAUUCAUGUCUACCAUCCAAUAUGAUUCUCUUACUUAUAUGAUUACCUUGAAUGUGAUUUGGAACGAUUUCCUAAAUCUCAUUCAUACUCUGACCAGAGAUUCUUAAUCAUAUCAUAGAGUAUUCUCGCUCAAACGGUUUAAAGGUUAGAGAUCCCUUGUUGCGCAUUCACUUGCCUCUAUGGCUAAGUGGCUUAACCCCAACUAUGUCGUGGACACCCUCUGACGGAGUGACUUUGACAUAGUCAAAGAUCAAGGACCUAACCACAAGACAACUAUGAUGCCUCAGGUCAAAUGACUACUUUGCAUUAUCCCAACCAUGAGUUCUCAUGUGACAUGAGUAUGAGAACUCCUUGUUGAUCGUGUUCAGUGGACUCAUUCUCUAUUGAGUACUUACAUGCUUGUCUUGGUGUCAGUCACACCAAUGACUCGAGAUCAGUCACUCUUCCUAAGAGAAGACAUAGCACGUACUGAUCUUAACGGACUGUCAAUGCCCAAUUGGCAAUCCUAUGAUCAGGAACGUUUAGGAUAUGUAUACGAAAGAGAAUGGUCUCAUGAAUCUAACUUCUUUAGAUUGCAUUCUCCCAAUUACAUAUUCCUUGGACUUAUCGUUUAAGCGUAUAACAUUUAUAUGAGACGGCUUCAAACAAUAAUCUUUGCCCUUUAUAUUAAACUAUAUUAGUUUAACAAGUGAAAUGUCCAUAAAGUAUCAUCAUAUGAUUGGUUUUAGGGCACAUUUCCAAUAGGUGGGAGGGGCUGCCGCUGGCCUAAGCCUAAGCCUAAGCAAAGGAUCGACCCUUGUAGGUUUACAAAGUUAGGGUUUAUGGUUAGGCCUGAGAGUAUAUUCUCUUAAAUUUCAAGUAGACAGGUCAUGGGUCCACUCCAACAACACCGAUACUGUCCCUACUUGGCCACCUGCUCAAUCCGUCAGGUGUGAGGUUUUAAUGCAAAAGGUCUCGGUAUUAGUUAGAGUGGGGUAUUUCUAUUUAAAGUGCUUUCUUUCUUCCUUACUGGCCAAUGUGGGACACUGGGGUUCCAACACUCCCUCGCACGUGAGACCCCAUUUAUGGGUCACAUGUGAAAUUCCACACAUCGGCAACCACGUGGAGCCAUGUCAGGACUCACCCAAUCGCGCGGGGCCAAUUGGGACCCACCAAUCACGUGUCAUCUUUGGCCUACGUGGAGCCAGGCAUCUUUGGCCCACGGGACUCACCAAUCAUGCGGGGCCAUUGGGGACCCACCCAAUCACGUGGUAGUACGGGCCCUUCCCCUGACUCUGAUACCAUGUUAAAUUUCAGAUAGACAGGUCAUGGGUCCACUCUAACAACACUGAUAUUGUCCCCACUUGGCCACCUGCUCAAUCCGUCAAGUGUGAGAUUUUAAUGCAAAAGGCCUCUGUAUUAGUUAGAGUGAGGUAUUUCUAUUUAAAGUGCUUUCUUUAUUCCCUCCUGGCCGAUGUGGGACACUGGGGUUCCAACAGAUUCUUUGUCGCACGACAAGAUAUUAUUUCCAAAGUAUCCUACAUAUAUAUAUAUAUAUAUAUAUUUAUGUUUAUAUGUAAAUGAGUUUAUAAAUUUUUUAAUAUGGUGACAUACCUGAAGUGAUGAUAUUAACCCAGUAUAAUAUGAGUGAAUAGUAAAGUUGAUAUGUCAAGAUUAAAUAGAUUGGCAUGCUAAUUUGUUCAUGGGACCGGAUAUGUUGACAUUUGCCAUAACUUAGUAUUGAUGGGAUUUUAUAAAAGUACCUUGACUGAUGAUAUUUUUCUUAAUUAAUGUAAAUGUGAUUACAUAUGGCAUGCUAUUGCCAAACAAAUCUGCAAUCACGUUUAAUUAACGCAACACAACAAACAUGUACAUGUGCUCAGGGUAUUUAUCAUUAAGAAGAGACAAAUUUGUUACUAUAGAAAGACUGAUUUGUGGCCCGAGCGUCAGCGUCGCAGCCGUGUUCGGUGGACACGGUGGACGGUGAAGUCUGGAGGUGCUGCGAAUUGCAAUGUCUGCCAUAACAAUAUUUAUUAUAAUUAAAGUCACCAAUUAACAGGGUACUGUGUCGGCAAUUCCCAAGUCACUCCUCCUCAACGAGUGACCAUGCAUAUCUCACACUGAACAGUCAAGGCUCCAUCCCUGCUUAAUAUUUCAACUCAUUAGGGUUUCGCGUUCAUAUCUUCUCACCGGUUUUUCUAAUAUGCACCACGUACGUAGUACAUACCAAAAUUUCGUUGAAUUCUUGAUCAUUGGAGCAUUGAUUACGUUAUUGAGCUUUUUACUGUUUCGACAUACGUCGUGUACCGAUGUAUGGUAAAGAUUUUGCCGUGCAGCUCGUGUACUCAUCACACAGCUAAGCCUGAAAGCGAGUUUGUCCUUCGGAUGAAAGUGAACUGAAGUCAUGCAACUACUGGGUGGCAUGGCCCCCAUGCAAGAGGCAAAGAGAGUAAAAUGAUCAUUGGGUCCCUCGACCAUGCUUGCAUGGGGUCCUACUGAUCAUCCUCUUUUUUCUUCCAAUUAUUUAUUUUUGACUUUUCUUAUUUGUUUCUUUAGCAGAAGUCAGAAAAUAUAUAUCACCAAAAGUAUGGCUUGGCCUUACUGUCACCAGGAAAAAGGGAAGGCAAUGACAAGUCACAAAACACAUUAAAGAAACACUGUUUCUUCGGCUUUUCCGCAUCGUAUUCGUAUGGCGUUUUUGGCGUUUUUCCCACUCGUUUUGCAGUGCUUGAAAGUUGACACACUGACCCCAAUCUAUUCAGUUUUUAUUUUCUCAAUUAACAGUUGGGAUUAUUGGAACACGGUACAUGUUUGAAUCCUGAAUGUAAUUAUCACCAAGUCUUGAGAGUUAAUUAUCUGACUCUCGAGACUUGAUAAUAUAUGGUUGAUUAGAAAGUAUUGAGUUACAUGUUUUAUUUAUGGGCUAAGCACUUUUUCUGGGUAUACCUUCAAUAAGAAGUAAUAUUAAAUUACGACAUAGACAAUCAUAGUUGUAUCAAAGUAUCUGAUAUACUUGAUGUCAAAAACAAUUAAAAUGUGAAAUUCAUGCAAAAUGUGAGAAAGCAUUCAUCAUUUGAACGCUCUCGCAUCCAACAUUUGAGAUUUUCUGAGUUUAUGAUUUAUUAUAUACUAAUAGCUAGCACUUUUGUAGCCCAUAUAGUUUGCAUUUGUAAAGAGUUGUAAGACAACAAUAAAGUGUGGUAUUACGAUACUAUCGUAGGAUAUAAUCCAUUCGGGUAUUGUAUAUGAUGUAUAUUGUCUACAUAUAUAUGUAUAUAUAUGAACAAAAAGUCAUAUUAUGUGACGUCAUUGUAAUACCGACUAACAAUUUAUCUUCAAUUUUAAAUGACAAUGAUAGACAAUAGUAUGACAUACUUAAAAGUCCAGAAGAGCCUCUCACUGUCUCCUUUUUGGCGAGGGCAUUGAGCACUUAUUUUUAAUCUUUUGGAAGCAAUGUAGACUAAUUUCUAUGUGGCUCAUUUGAAAUUGUUUUUGAAAUGGCGGAAAAACAUUUUUAGAGAAUAUUUUUGCAUUUCAAGAACAUUUGAAGCACUUCAAACGUUUUUCUAGAUUCACUUGCAUUUUUAUUAAAGAUUUUCAAAUUAUAUUUUUAUAAAAAACAUUUUUAGUCAUCUAAAAGCACUUCUAAAUAAACCCUAACUAACUAAGAAAUGAUGAGAUACCAUACUCUAAUAAUGAAGAAACAUCUUUGCUUCUUUGUUAAAUGUUUUAUGCGUCAUAGGCUUCCAUCGGGAGUCACAUAUCUUGUUGAAUAGAAAGGGCAAUCUGUCUGGUGGUGGUGGAGGAAUAGAAAAAUGUCGGACAUGUAUUUUUUUUCCACAACUUUCAUGAAAAUUAUACAAAAGGCCAAGCCUACAAAGACAUCGACAACCUAAUCAUUCUAAUUUCUAAUCGAAAAAUGAUGCUGACAGCAUAACAAAAAUAUUCGCUUCCAUUCAGCAGGCUAUUUUUGUAGCAGAGUACAACCAUCUUGGAUGAUUAAGUGUAUUGAGUGUUACAACUCAUGUUGGAAGGAUAAAAUGUGAGUGGAAAUGCCUGCAAAAAACCAAGUUUUCAGCUUCCAAUUUUGUUGUGACAUACUCAUCGAUUGUGAAAUGAAAAUUGAAUGACAUAUCCUCGAUCAUUUUCAAUGUACUGAGGUAACACAAUAAUUCAUAUAUAUGGACCACUAUCAUCGACAUAAACUUAAAUUUUGACAUUUUCAACGUGGAAUAAUUGGAACUGCAUUACGAAAAGUGAAGGGAGAGUAACUAAUGUAAAGGACUUGCAGCUCGAUGAGUGCUUAGGAGAAUUUACUCAAAUACUCGACUUUUAGUGUCAAUAAUUUAUCCCCUAAUAUAACUUGCAUCAAAGAAAAUUUGAUUGCAAAUCCAAUUAAACUUACAAUCUUUUCACUACUUCCGCAUUAUAAUAAGUGAAAGAAAAGUAACAGAUGCAAAGGACUUGUAAGUCAAGUAAUUAAAAAAUAGAUAGUACUUAACGUAACUCUAUCACAGAAAUUCAAAAACAUAACCGUUCUAAUUUACCGUAGAAUUGAACGGUUUUGAUUAUUAAACGUUGUGGGUUGGGCUUUAAAGUAUUGAUAGGUUGACCCACCUACUAGGGCUAUACGUGGACCCAAUAGUUAUUUUCUUUCAUUUUCUCCUUUUUUAUUGGAAGAGGAUCAUCUCUGGAUCCAUUUUGUGGGGAUCACAUCCCAACCGUUUAUUGUACAUUGUGCGGUCAGUUUUUGUCAGAUACUAUUUGUAUUUAAUUUUAAAUAAAUAAAACAAAAUAAUUUCUGACCGUACAAUACACGAUGAAUAUCUAAGAUGGAUUCCCACAAAGUAGAUCCGGAUGGAAUCUAAUUCCUUUUUUACUAAAUUAUGUCAAUGAAAUGCAAAGGACCAAAGCUACCUACAAGAUUCGACCGACUUCAACGGUUCUACCUACAGAUUACAUGAGCCAAUAGGAGCGUGCCGCCCCAGAUUCUGAUUAAAAAAAAUACGUGUUCUGAGCCGUCAGAUCAAUGCAGUCACAUUCCGCCGACCUUUAUUGGGUGGAUCACUGUCGUGGUCAAAGUUCAAGGUUCUUCUCCUGUCUUGAUAUACACGUGGCAGUAAAAAGUUGGGCGGUGUUGUGACCUUAUAGUGAGGAGCAGUGUAGGGACAUCAGGAUAUGCGGCGUCUACGGAGUCUCGGACAGUCGCACGUGGGUAUCAAUUCAACGAUCAAACCCACGUGUGGAACUCCUCCCCGACACCAACUGUAUAUUCGCCUAAACCCACAAAAAGCCCAUCUUAUUAUUUCCCAAAUCUAGAUAAGUUUUAAAAAAAAAAAUAUAGAUAAGUUUUUUUUUAUUAAUAAUAAUUAUUAUUAUUUUGUUUAUUGAGGAAAGAAUAUUAAACUAACUCACAACAACAAUAACCAUGGAGUGGUUUAAUGGUUGGAUAAAUUUCAAGCCUGUAUUCCACGACGUGUUUUGAGUUCAAUUUCUGACGUUGAUAAAUUGCAUGAUGGUGGCCAAGGGAGGCUAAAAUGCCUCAGUUAGUCUUUCUGACUUUCGAAAGGGUGGAGUCGGUGGACUGCAGUGACCAAGGCACCAACUAGUCCCUUUAUAUAAAAAAAAAACCCACAACGACCCGAAGCGAUUGAAAUUAAAAAACAAAAUAAUUGAAAGCGGAAUCGGGUGCUCCAACAUUUUGAUUCAAAUUCACAUAAAAUGAUUAUCUAUCACACACUGUUUUAUUGAUUUAAGAUACCGUUACAAUUUCGAUGGGGCAAGUUUCUCUUCUCUUGCGGACGUGGAAGCCUCCUGCUGGGCUCUCCUCUUAGGGCUACGAGUAGGUGGAUGUGGGCUCUUGUGCAAUCUUAUUUUGGGCUUGUAAAGUUGUGCAAUCUAUCCCUAUAGGCUUCAGGGAAGGGCCUACCAGAUGGGAUAUUCAAGCUGAAUCCUUCACUUUCAAAUGUUGGUUUUCAUCAGCAGUUCUUGCAGGAGCAAUUCCCAUCAUUAAAAUCAUGAAACCUUUUUGAAUCUCUUAAGAGGAAAGCCCUUCCAGUAGCUUGAGACACAAGCUUCAUAAACUCAUCGCAAUCGCCGCAAACACGAACGUUCUUUACAAAUUAUAAUCCUUAAGGGUAUCCUUCCAUUAGGUUUUUUUGUUAAACCAAAUGCAAGAGCAAGUUUCUCACCGUGAUAACAGAUGGAAUCAAACUUCUCCUCCCCAACAUUGUGAAGAACCACUUUCGUAUUGGGAGUAAAACCGAAUUCCUGCAAAGCUAGGGUUGGGUUUGUGGUUUGGCCUGGGAGAAGAUUCUUUGUUGCACGAUAAAAUAUUUUUCAAAAUCUGAUUUCCAAAGUACCCUCCAUCUAUGUUUAUAUAUAUGUAAAUGAGUUCAUAAUUUUUUUAAUAUGUUGGUGGCAUACGUUAAGUGAUGAUAUUAACCCAGUAUAAAAUGAGUGAAAAGUAAAGUUGAUAAGUCAAGAUUAAAUAGACUGGCAUGCUAAUUUGUUCAUGGGACCGGAUAUGUUCACAUUUGCCAUAACUUAGUACUGUCGGCAAUUCCCAAGUCACUCCUCCUCAACGAGUGAUCAUGCAUAUCUCACACUGAACAGUCAACGCUCCAUCCCUGCUUAAUAUUUCAACUCAUUAGGGUUUCGCGUUCAUAUCUUCUCACCGGUUUUUCUAGUAUGCACUACGUACUUAUGACAUACCAAAUUUCGUUGAAUUCUUGAUCAUUGGAUCAUUGAUUACGUUAUUCAGCUUUUUACGGUUUCGACGUACGUCGUGUACCGAUGUAUGAUAAAGAUUUUGCUGUGCAGCUCCUGUACUCAUCACACAGCUGAGCCUGAAAGCGAGUUUGUCCUUCGGAAUAAAGUGAAACUGAUGUCACGCAGCUGCUGGGUGGCAUGGCCCCCAUGCAAGAGUCAAAGAGUGUAAAAUGGUCAUUGGGUCCCUCGACCUUGCAUGCAUGGAUUGGGGUCCUACUGAUCAUCCUUUUUUCCUUCCAAUUAUUCAUUUUUAUUUUUCUUAUUUGUUUCAAGAUUUAGCAGAAGUCAGAAAAUAUAUAUCACCAAAAGUAUGGCUUGGCCUUACUGUCACCAGGAAAAAGGGAAGGCAAUGGCAAAACACAUUAAAAAAAACACUGUUUCUUCAGCUUUUCCAUAUCGUAUUCGUAUGGCUUUUUUGGCCUUUUUCCCUCUCGUUUUGAAGUGCUUGAAAGUUGACACACUGACCCCAAUCUAUUCAGUUUUUAUUUUCUCCAUUAGCAAGUGGGAUUAUUGGGGCUGUACACGGUACAUGUUUGAAUCCUGAAUGUAAUUAUCACCAAGUCUCGAGUGUUAUCUGACUCUCGAGACUUGAUGAAUAUAAGGUUGAUUAGAAAGUGUUGCAUUACACAUUUUAUUUAUGGGCUAAGCACUUUUUUAGGGUAUAACUUCAAUAAGAAGUAAUAUUGAAUUACGACAUGGAUAAUCAUAGUUGUGUCAAAAUAUCUGAUAUAUUAUAUUGGGUGAAACAACUAGGAAUGUGAGAAAUCACAUCCCACAUUUGAGAUUUUCUCAGUAUAUGAUUUAGUAUAUAAUGAUAGCGAGCACUCUUGUAGCCCAUAUAGUUUGCAUUUGUAAAGAGUUGUAAGACAACAAUAAAGUGUGGUAUUACGAUACUAACAUAGGAUAUAAUCAAUUCACGUAUUGUAUAUGUAUAUUAACUACAUAUAGAUAUGAAUAAAAAGUCAUAUUAUGUGACGUUAUUUCACUAUACUGACUAAUAAUUUCUCUUCAAUUUUAAAUGACAAUGAUAGGCAAUAGUAAAACAUACUUAAAAGUCCAAAAGAACAUCUCACCUGUCUCCUUUUUGGCGUGGACAUUGAGCACUUACUUUAUUUUUAAUCUUUUGGAAGCAUGUGGACUAAUUUUUAAUGUGGUUUGUUUGAAAUUGCUUUUGAAAUGGCUAAAAACGUUUUUAGAGAAUAUUUUUGCGUUUUAAAAACACUUCAAGCCCUUCUUUUAAAAUUUACUUGCAUUUUAUUAAGAAUUUUCCAAAGAUAUUUUUAUAAAAAAUAAAAUAAAAAUAUUUCAAUCAACUAAAAGAACUUACAAACCAGCCCUACAUAACUAGGAAAUGACGAGAUACCGUACUCUAAUAAUGAAGAAACAUCUUUGCUUCUUUGUUAAAUGUUUUAUGCGUCAUAGGCUUCCCACAUAUCUUGUUGAAUAGAAAAGGCAAUCUGUCUAGUGGUGGUGGAGGAAUAAAAAAAUGUCGGACAUGUAUUUUUUUUUCCACAACUUUCAUCAAAGUUAUACAAAUGGCCAAGCCUACAAAGACGUCGGCAACCUAUCCUUCUAAUUUCUAAUGGAAAAAAUGAUGCUGACGGCAUAACAAAAAUAUUCCCUUCUCUUCCAUUCAGCAGGUUAUUUUGGUGGGGCAGAGUACAACCAUCUUGGAUGAUUAAGUGUAUUGAGUGUUACAACUCAUGUUCAAAGGAUGAAAUGUGAGUGGAAAUGCCUGCAAAAAUCAAAGUUUUCGGCUUUCAAUUUUGUUGUGACAUACUCAUCGAUUGUGAAAUGAAAAUUUCUUGACAUAUCCUUGAUUAUUUUCAAUGUACGGAAGCAACACAAUAAUUCUCAUAUAUAUGGAUCAUUGUCAUCGACAUGAAAUCAUAUUUUGACAUUUUUAACAUGGAAUCAUUGGAACCGUAUCACGAAAAGUGAAGAGAGAGAGUAACUACUGAAAAGGACUUGCAGCUCGAUGAGCGCUUAAGAGAAUUUACUCAAACACUCGACCUUUAGAGUCAAAUAUUCGUCCCCUAAUAUAACCUGCAUCAAAGAAAAUUUGAUUGCAAAUCUAAUGAAACUUACAAUCUUUUCACUACUUCCACAUUAUAAUUAGUGAAUGAAAAGUAACAGAUGCAAAAGACUUGUAACUCAAGUAAUUAAAAAAUGGAUAGUACUUAUAUUCCUCUGUUUAUAGCAUAACUCUAUCGUAGAAAUUUCAUAAACGGAACCGUUCUAAUUUGUCGUAGAAUUGAACGGUUCCAAUUAUAAAAAUUUGUUGGGCUUUAAAGUAUUGACGGGUUGACCCACCUACUAGGGCGAUACAUGGACCCAAUAGUUAUUUUCUUUCGUUUUCUCCUUUUUUUCUAAAUUAUGUCAAUGAAAUACAGAGGACCAAAGCUACCUACAAGAUUCUGCCGACUGUUACCUACAGAUUACAUGAGCCAAUAGGAGCUUGCCGCCCCAGAUUCUGAUUAAAAAAUACGUGUUCUGAGCCGUCAGAUCAAUGCAGUCACAUUCUGCCAACCUUUAUUGGGUGGAUCACUGUCAUGGGGUCAAAGUUCAAGGUUCUUCUCCUGUCUUGAUAUACACGUGGCUGUGAAAAGUUGUGCGGUGUUGUGACCUUAUGGUGAGGAGCAGUGUAGGGACAUCAGGAUUUGCGGCGUCUACGGAGUCUCGGGCGGUCGCACGUGGGUAUCAAUUCAACGAUCAAACCCACGUGUGGAACUCCUCCCCGACACCACCUGUAUAUUCUCCUAAACCCACAAAAAGCCCAUCUUAUUAUUUCCCAAAUCUAGUUUAAGUUAUUAUUAUUAUUAUUUUGUUUAUUGAGGAAAGAUUAUAAAACUAACUCACAACAACAACCACCACGGAGUGGUCAAAUGGUUGGAUAAAUUUCAGGCUUGUAUUUCAUACGGCGCGUCAUGAGUUCGAUUCCUGACGCUGAUGAAUUGCAUGAUGGUGGCUAGAGGAGGCUGAAAUGUCUCUGUGAGUCUUUUUGACCUUUGAAAUGGUGGAGUCGGUGGACUGCAGUGACAAAGGCACCAGCUGGUCCCUUAAAAAAAAAAAAACCCCACGAAAACCCGAAGUGAUUGAAAUUAAAAAACAAAAUAAUUGAAAGCGGAAUCGGAUGCUCCAACAUUUUGAUUCAAAUUGACAAAAAAUGAUUAUCUAUCAUACAUUGUUUUAUUGGUUUAAGAUACCGUUACACUUUCGAUGGGCAAGCUUCUCUUCUCUUGCGGACGCGGAAGCCUCCUGCCGGGCUCUCCUCUUAGGGCUACGAGUAGAUGGAUGUGGGCUCUUGUGCAAUCUUACUUUGGGCUUGUAAAGUUGUGACACUUCCUUUCAAUGGAUUGGGCUUAAGAUGGAUCUGUCCCUAUAGGCUUCAGUGGAGGGCCUACCAAAUGGGAUAUCCAAGCUGAAUCCUUCACUUUCAAAUGUUGGUUUUCAUCAGCUUGCAGGAGCAAUUCCCAUCAUUAACAUCAUGAAACCUUUUCGAAUCUCUUAAGAGGAAAGCCCUUCCAUAGCUUGGGACACAAGCUUCAUAAACUCAUCGCAAUCGCCUCAAACACGAACGUUCUUUAUAAAUUAUAAUCCUUAAGGGUAUCCUUCCAUUAGGUUUUUUUGUUAAACCAAAUGCAAGAGCAAGUUUCUCACUGUGAUAACCGAUGGUCUCAAGCUUCUCCUCCCCAACAUUGUGAAGAACCACUUUCGUAUUGGGAGUAAAACCGGAUUCCUGCAGUUUUCUUGUCAAUUUGUUCAGCUCCUGAUAAAUUUGUUUGGUUUCCGGCGUGAGCCAGUUACAUCGAUGCCCAGAAAUAAGACAAGGAAGGAGAAUGUUUUCUUGUAUCUUUAGAUGUUGAUAAUAACAAGUGAUGGUUUGUAACGCUUGUGAACAACGUCUUUCGAUUGUUUUCGGAUUGUGAUACUUCGUCGUGAAAAAAAAAAACUGGAGAUGUAUUACUUCUUUUUUACAUUUUGGAUAAACAAAGUAUACGAAUAACAUUCACCAAAAUGAAACGAAAAAAUAAUUUUUGAAACUCGGUUCGAGUUAUUUUCUGUAGUCCAAUUAACGUUCACACAAACAAUGUCAAUUCCUGAUCACAUUCUCGCAGAUAAUUGACCGCAAUAAUCUCUUAAUUAUGUUCUUACUCCGCUCCUGGUCAAUGUUCGUAUUUUGACUUUCUUUCAGAUAAUUGACCGCAGUAAUCUUUUAAUUAAGCUUCUGACUUCGUUCCUGGUCAAAGUUCGAUUUCUUAACCGGUGACAUGAACACUCAUUAAAUUAACAUGCAAAAAAAUCAACACGUGCGUUUUCACCCAUGAAGAAUCAUAAUUACAGUAAACAAAAGUAUAUUUUACAAAUAUUUUUUUUUUUUUAUAAACUGCGCUUUAUCAAACAGGUGAAAAGUAAUAUGUUGCUACGUUGGACAUGCAUUUGAAUCCCGUUCAUGCAUAUGCUAUAAAAGAUAAAUAUCACUGCAAUUGGUGAAUUAUUCUGAUAGUUUGAAAUUUUAUUUACCCAUUACAUCUUUAGUUCAAACCCUCCGCUCUUGUCUCAGUGGGCUAAAAAAUAAUUAAUUAUGGAUAGAAAGAAACCUAAAAAGAGAUUAAAAAUAAGAUCAACCCACCGGAAGCAAGACGGUUAAGUUCGUUAAUGGUCUGGGAGUCUGAAAGCGAAAAGUUAGUUAAUACUGUUAGCAAAUAAAACUAACUAAUUUCUCGGUACCUAUUGUCUCUAUCUACUUAUAAGCAAAUUUGGGAUCCAUUUCUUGAAGAAAAAUCUCACAAAAUCCAAACCCCAAGAACAGUUUCUCUUCCAGAAUCAAUGAUAAACAGAAAAUCAAGAAAACGGAGUUCCCGGCGGACCCCCAGCAGCUCAGGCACGGCCAAUCAGCCCCAGAACCCACCUGAAGCAACUGAGGUCGUUGAAGCUCUUCUAGGACUGUCUUCCGGGCAGAUCCCCAGCAGCUCUGGCACGGCCAAUCAGCCUCUGAACUCACCUCAAGGAAUUCAGGGCGCUCAAACUCUUUGUUCAUUUACCAAGUCCGGCGGAAAUCAUCAGCAAGAAGCAGCAGAAUCGGAGCAAGAACUGGAAGCACAGCAAGAAGCACUGCAAAACCAAGAAGGAGGAGGAGGAGGAGAAGAAGAAGUAGAACAACGCCCGUUCUAUGGAAUUGGAAACUACGUCCCUAGUCGUCUGCCGCCGCUCCCGAACCACCUGCUGGGUUUGAUUCAAGGACAACAAUGCAGCAACCCUUUCGAGAAGCAGAUGACAGAGACGGACGUGAACCACCUCUACCAGAGGCUCAUCCUCUAUAAAAAUGAUGUGAAAAGAUACCUCUCGCCAUUGCUCAUUGAGAAGGAGAGCCUUGAGGAAGGAGUUAACGUCACAGUUUACGACACCAACGGUGUAGAUUACGAGAUGGAGUUGGGCACUUGGAACAGUGGUACUCGUGUUCUUGCUGGGGAAGGAUGGAAAAACUUUCGCAAGGCUCAUGGUCUGAUGGCGUACCGGGAUUUUUUAACCCUUUGGAUGUUUCGAAAUGCCGAUACGACUAAGCUUUGCAUGUUCAUCAGUUGCAGAAGGUUGCCAGUGGUUCAGACCAUCAAAAGACAGGGAAGACGGUAAUUUUUUAAUAGAGUUGAUUAGCGAUAAGAUCCAUUUUAUUGAUUUGAAGAUUUGGGAUGAAGCAAGAACAUUAGGAGUACAAUUGGUUGUAAUUCAUUUCUUGGAUUGAUUAAUUCUUGGGUUUUGAUCGAUCGUUCUUGGAUUGAUUAAUUCUUGGGUUUUGAUCGAUCGAUUAGGUUCAUUUUCUUGAUUAGGAGAUUUGAGAUUAAUGCAGGAUUGGGACUUAAAGGUUUAAUUUCAGAAGAAAACAAAGCAUGUAUAUUUGGUUUUGGUUUUGGUUUUGAUUUCGUACUAAAGAUCAUUGCUUAUUGCCUCUGAAAGUUCAAUCUUUUUGUUGAUUUUUAUUUUAUAUUUUCUGCUAUUGUUUUUCUAGCAAUGCAAUUAUAUCAAAUAUCAUAGCUGGAUGAUUUUGCUCAGUUUGUGCCGUGAAGAGAAGGAAGGGGUUCAAAUUGAGUCUUAAUUUUUUUUUAUUACACAAGGUGAUUUGCUACCCGCCUAUUGGGGGCGGAGCAUACCCUACUAACUUGAGAGCUUCAUGCGUGCUUAAUUUGACCUCAACAUGAGGUGACAAUGAAUCACUCACCCACUUAAAUCUUCCAUCAUACAACUAAUCACUUUAAUGUCGUGCUUAGUUAUAAGUCCAUGCUAUUAGACUAGGGAUUGAUUCUUUAGAUUUUGGUGAUAAAAGUCAAUUUACUUGUUUAACCAUAUGACAAUUGAGUACUGUCACUGAGAUGAAUAAUGUUUUAAAGUUAGUUUUGGGUUUAAUUUUUUUUUUUGUUGCAAUCACACCAUCACCAGGAAACCGAUUAAUUGGCGAAUCUCCAUGCAAUGCAAAUAUACCAUUUGAAAAUCAUUUUUGCAAAAAAAAAAAAAAAAAAAAAAAAAAAAAAAAAAAUUCAAUUACAAUCGAGAUCCUUGAACCAUCCAUAUAUGUAGAAUAAAUUAACGGUGAUAAAUCCCAUUGGUCGCCAGAAAAUAUUCCAAUUCCAACCCCACUGUUACUUGUUCAUCAAGAAAACAGCAUAUAUACCCUAAUUUUCCUUUUUUUUUUGCUCCCGACAGUCCUAAGAAAAAUAUGAGAUUAUCAGUCUGUUAUUAAUGUACAACCUCAAAGUGCAAAGUUUUCUUGUGCGUAAUGAAUGAAUUUACUUUCGUUUUUCAAUUUUUUUAUUUAUAAAAUCUGUACAACAUUGUAGCUAGCUUACUGCAUAUAAAUGUUGUCAGAAACGGGAUCAAAGAAUGCGAAAAGUUGUAAGUAAUCACCUUGACAAGAUAUUAUUAAAGAAAAAGAAAUUGGAAGGUAAACGGUGUGAAUUUUAGAACGAUACUGCGCUUGGCUUUGCGUCACUAUCUCCAUGUAUUCCAUGUCUCUUCUUAGAGUCUCUUUCCAAGUCUUCCCAGAUCUUCAUUUACCGAUUUUGCCCUAAGCCUCUAUCUCAUAAUCGCAUAUUCUAACUGGGACAUUUAUUAGUCUUCACAUGUCCAAACCACUAACCGAUUUUCUUUUAUCUUAUCUUUAAUUGCGAGGCCUCCUUCUUGUCGAAGUCAAAGCUAUCAGUCGAUCUCGUGGCGAGCCUUCCCCACCUACCUUACCAGAUCGGGCCGGCAGGCGGACGAGACAAAAUGGGUGGGCACUACUAACCAAGCCUAGUUCUCGCCGAUUGGCGCUGGUAGCUUGCUUCCAAGCCCUGCCUUAUAUAAAAGUUGUUUGUUGUCAUGGCCCGAAGGAGCCUUAAGCACGUGUACAAUGCUCAAGUAAAGGCUUUGGGCAACGAGUAGGAUGGAGCCUUUACUUGAGCAUUAUAUUAGUGAAGCGCGCCAUAUAUAUUGAGGGAAGGGAAAAGGGGCCUCUUUCCUCGCACGAUGGUAGAGGUCGAUCCAUUGAUUAAGGGUGGAGUAAUCCAAACCGUAUGAUCCUCCAAAGGGUUUUGACAUUGAGAUAUAGGAUGUGAUCUAAUUCAUCUUAUCUUUAAUUAUUAGGCCUUCAUCUUGUCGAAGCAAAGUCCAUUGAUUAAGGGUGGAGUAAUCCAAAUAGAAUGAUCCUCCAAAGGGUUUUGACAUUGAGAUAUAGGAUAUGAUCUAAUGGUUCCGUCCUAUAAGUUGAAGAUAUCCAAGUUCAUCCCUUCACGAAUGAUGUAUGUUGAGUUUGGCUGACAUCCGGAAAACUUUGAAGCCGAAACAGACAUAGAUGGAUGACAACCCUCGAAAUUAUCUUCUUUGUCAUUGAACGCCAACUUGUUAACAACUUCCCCUUUGAUACACGUACCAAUAGGUCUCUCUUGGUUGAUUCCACUACACGUCAUAUCUAAUUAUUCUCUUUUCCCAGAAGCGCCCCUUGUUUCAAAGAGAGGAGGGCUGUGAGGAAGCGGCUGUUGCUCACCCGAAAAGGGGGAGAACAAUAAUGGGGAUCGGGAUGCGGGCCAAACUCCUGCCAAUGGCUGAGUUGUUCAGUCGACUUCCUCUCCCUUGGUGGGAUCCCUUUAUAAAAUAUAACAUCUCUAAUAAUCAUUGUUUCGAAGUUGUGAUUCGUCUUACAAGUUUAAAGAAAUUAAACUUGAAAGAUGAAUCGCCAAUGAAGAAGACCAUAACUGCAUAAUUGUUGUCUCCAUUCAAAGUGAGAUCGGUGGACAAGAUAACCUUCAUCUUACAAUGAUUUUUUCCUCCAUUUGUGGAGUAAGAUAUUCAAAGUAUUAUGUUUGUUACGAACUUGUACUCGAUUUGAACACUUAAAAAUUAUAAUCAUCAUCAUACUGCAUUGAAUGUCACAUUUGUCCCCUAAAUAAUACAUGUGGCGGGCCUAUUAAGUGGUGUAGAAGUAACACAACUAUAAGGUCUACCAAAUCACUUGCUUGGUUUAAAUACGUUAUUUGAUGAGUCAUUUAUGGAUCUUCAUGGUGACCAAAAUCUGGGAUGGAGGCCCUCUUCUUCUGGAGGAGAAAAUCUUGGUGAUCUCCAACACAGCUAAUAGAUUACAUGGAACACACGAUUGAUAUACAGCGACGGCAACGUCUUGGCUAAUUACGAAUUAAUUAUAUGUACAAUCAUACAAAUAGAAACAGUGUGUGUGCGCGUGUCAAUGAAUCUUUUUGACGUGCAAAAAUUUGCCAAAUGGAAAAUAUUGCUCCUCCCAAAUUCCCAAUAUUACUUACAAUUUUAUAACAUUAUGCCAAAUGCAGGCCUGUGUUUCAUUUAGUCCUGCCUGCCUAGUUUGAUGGCAUCCACUUUCAGAAUUACACAUGUCAUGUCAUUUGUGAGAUCGGUGGUGUUAUUCAUAACCUCUUUUUAGGUCCCACAUAUUAUUUUUAAUUUUCAACCGUUAAAUCGAUCAAAUUAAAGAAAAUCAAAUGACAUAAAUCAACAAAGGAUGUGUGAGGUAAAAAAAAAAGUGUGUGAGUAACCCUACUCUUGUGAGAUUACUAAUUCGGAUCGCAUGUUUACUUAUUUCGGGAAAAAGACAUGUUUACUUAUUUUGAAACGAAAAAGUUACAACUUACAAGUAUAAGAAAGACUGAGUGGAUGUGGAUCAACUAUUCAUCUCUUUAUCUAAUCUAAUUUAUGGUUUUUAGGUUUUGAGUUACAGAUUGUGAUUUGUUUGUUGGGUAGUACUACUAGUAGGGAGACCAAAUUAUUAAACUAAAAUUUGUAAACCAAAUGAUGUGGUGGUUGAUGAUUGAAUUAUUACUUAAGUAUUGAUUAACAUGCUUGUUUACUAUUGAUGAGUCAGUGACACAUCAUUUGGUUUAAAAGUUUGGUUUUCCGCAUUAUCCUUGUUUGAUUAUGCAGGUAUAUAUUAGUAACGCAUGAAAAGUUUUUGGGUAAUGUUAGGGAGACCAAAUUUUUUAAACCAAAUUUGCAAACCAAAUGAUGUGGUUGUAGAUGAUUGUGUUAUUAACUAAGUGUCGAUUAACGUGCUUGUUUCUUAUUUGUGACAUAUCAUUUGAUUUACAAAUUUGAUCUCCCUAGCAUUAUCUAAAGUUUUAUUUUAUUUUAUGAAAACACAUAAAAAGUUAAGAAUUAAAAUAGUUUUAAUAUACAUAUAACUAUUCCAUGUUAAAAAAAACUUUAAGAACCAUGAAAUUCAGGUCCUUGGCUUCUUUGAAAAAGAGAUUUAAGCUCUUGAUUUGUGUGAGGUGAGUUAGAAAAAUGGGGUAAUAAAAACCGUCGAAUUCAAUUUGAAUGAUAUAAAUUACCCAGUUUUUGAUCUCUAGACAGUAAGAUCCGAAUAGAACCUAUGUCCAUGGUUGUGAUCAUAGCAGCAGAGCAAUUCAUUUGGCUUGUGACUUCCCAACUAACAAAAGAAUAUAAAAAGAAAACAGAAUAAAUAGAUGUAAAUCAAUAAGGUUGAAAGGUUGGAGAAGUAAAUCGAAAAAGGUUUGGUAGGUAAUAUUUUAUUUUCUGUGCUUUCAUUCACAAGUGGGAUAUACAAGUGGGUUGGAAUUUGGUGUAAAUGCAUAUGGAAAGUGACAUUAGAGCAGUCACCUUUGUUGGCUGAACCAACCUAACUACACAAUCAAAUAUUCCCCUUUUUGCUUUACAAUUCUGGCAUACAAGAUCUGAGAGUUGCCGGCUUCUUCCCCGGAAACUGUUACUCUUGCCAUGCUAGAGGAGAUAGUGCACCCAACGCCAAACCUUCCUCUUCAUCUUGCCUCGAACUGGCUAAAACUUAAAUAGAAGAGUCAAACGAGGGUUAACGAGGCUUGGGUAAAGCUGAACUAUUGGCAAGAGCAAGAAAUAUAGUAUUUCAAAGCGUUUGUAUCAUGCCAGACUUAAAAUGACGGGUUAUACCAAGAAAUAACUUAUACAUUUUUAAAACGGUGACGUUCAAAAAUGCUUUAACAUUAUCACAUGACAUGUAUUAUUGAUUUGAAACGUCAAGAUGAUGCGUCGAAUGCUCCCGGUAAGACUUUUGCUUUGGAAAAGACAAAUACAGGACUUAUUUUAAGUUUGCAAGGACAAAAACCUAAUGCAGAACUACCUUAAAAGUUUGGAAGCAGUUAGAUUUAGGACCAAAAUCCAGGAAACAACAUGGUACCACCCAGAGGCAUGUUCCCCCUGAAUUCCAUUGGUGGGCUCACCUUCAAGUUUCAAGUACAUAAAAAAAUAUAGAAAAUGUAUAUAAUGGUCUUAACUCCCAAUUAAUUGCUAUUAUUUAUUGUUUUGGCCUUUUUUUGGCUUGGAUAAAGACCAAAUUUUUUAACCAUACUCUUGGUGCGGCGAUAAAAAUUUAUUUAUCGAUAAUGCUACUGUAACAUUCUCAUAAGUUAGUGUCACUCGCUCUCGUCAUGUGUCUUACUUUCUUCACAAAAUAAGAAUAAUUAUUUUGAGAUACUACUACAAUUAUAGUUUGGUUAGAAAGAGUGUAAAACUUGUAAAAUGAAAACAAAAAGACAAGAAUGUUUAAAAUGGAUGAUGACAAAGAGACCCAUCAUCAUAUUUUAAUUUAAUUUUUUUAUACUAAGAUAGAAAAGGUCAUUUCUCAUGCAUCUCAGAUUCUCCAAAUAAAAACACACAAAAACAAAAUCAAAACUACUAAAUUCCAAUUUCUAUACGCGCCUUGACUCUGACUCAAUUAUCUCUCCAUAUAUUAAUAUAUAUAUAUAUAUAUGUAUAUAACUCAGAUCCUUUUAUAUCCUUAUCCUUAUUUUUUCAUAAAAAUAAGAAAUAGUUGUGGGGUUCAUUUAACCUUGAAUUUCAACAAUUCGAACAUUUAUUAUGUAAGUCUCGAUUCAUAAAUUAUCUUUAUAAAAAUUCAAUUUAAUUCAAAAUCAUUUGCCUAUAAUUCAGAUCCUUUUAUAUCCUUAGUUUUUCCGUAAAAAUAGGAAAUAGUUGUGCACAUUUAACCUUGAAUUUCAACAAUUCGAAUGUUUAUUUUGUAAGUCUCGAUUCAUAGAUCAUUUUUACAACUAAUUCAAUUCAAUCCAAAACUAUUUGUCUAUUUAAUUAUCACUUUGAAAUUUUAAUGUUCCUUAAAAGAAUAAAGUGUUCCGUCAUUAAACUCAAUUAGAUGUUUCAAACAUUUUCGAUUUGACUAAUAUUUUGCAAACAUUCAACCAAUUUUUUUUUUUUUUUUUGCAAAGAUGAUCUAUGAGAUGCAACUUGAAAAAUAAACGAUUCGAAUCGUUAAAGUUCGAUGUAAUGUAGGCCCUACAAUUAAUCUAUGUUUUAAUAAAAAAUAAAAUAAAACUCUGUUUCCUUAAAGGGUUCCUAUAUAUAUAAAUUUCCCUUAAUAAACCAAAUCUAAACUCCCCCUGCUAAAUCUUUUUCUGUUUUCAGAUAAACUCAAUCCCAUUCUUCUUCCCCUUCCUUAAAUCCAAUCCCAUCAAAACUCUCUCUCUCUCUCCCCCAAGAUUUUCUGAUUUGAUUUCCUCAUUCUGCAUCAUAAAAGCCAAAAAAACCCCACAUCACUAUCUGCAAAACAUUCCCACUCUCUCUCCCUCCGCUCUCUCUCUCCUCUCUCUCUCUCUCUCCUUGAAAUUCAGUACCAUUUUUAAAUCACACCUCACCAUCAUGGCUUCCUUCAAAGUCAAGCAAGAAUAACAGAAACCCCGAAAGCUUCUUCCUUUUUCCUUUUUUUCCUUUUUUCAAGCAAUAAUGGCUCAGAUUCUCAGAGACAGAGUAUUCGGAAGCUCCAGACGACACUCCCAAAAUUCAAUUCCAAUUCCAAUUCCAAUCCAACCCGCCAUGCCCUUUCACCCAGUUGAAGCCCUCCCCAACCCCUUUGGGGAACUGGGUCCGACCCUCUCGGACUCGGAGCUCCGGGAAACCGUCUACGAGAUCUUAGUCGGAGCCUGCCGGAGCUCCGGGCCCAAGCCGCUCACCUACAUCCCACAGUCCGAGAAGACCGACCGGAGUGCUCUGACUUCGCUCCCGUCGUCGCUUCAGAGGUCGACGUCGUCGGCGGCGAGCCGGGUCAAGAAGGCGCUGGGUUUGAAGUCGUCGUCUGGCAGGAGACUCGGUGGCGGUGACUCAGUGAGCCUGGGGAGGAGUAAGCGGACCGGGACGGUUUGGGAGCUCGUGAGAGUUCAGAUGAAGGUUUCGGAGCAGACUGAUACGAGGGUCCGGCGAGCACUUUUGAGGGUUGCUGCUGGUCAGGUAUGUGAAUUUUGAUUUGAAAGACAUUUUUUUAUUUUUUAUUUUUUAUAAUUGGUAUUCUGGGUUGUGUUUGGUUGCUGAGAAAAUGAUAGAAAAUAGGAAGAUGAAUUAUGAAUGAUAGAAAAAUCGACAAUUGUGGGGAAGGAGAAAUCAAAGCUUCAACCUUUUUGAUGUCUAGUGCUCAAGGAAUCAAAAUUUGGCUUUAAUUUUCGACACUUUUGUUUUGAUACAAGCUAUAGUCUAUAUUAAACUAAUCUAAGAACUCGGUUGCACAUGGGAGCACAUCCGCUCUAGCCAAUGUGACGCAAGCGUCUGCAAUUUUUGAUACUAUUUUUGGUUAUUUGUGUUAUCUCUAAUCCAGCUUAGUGAAUUGUUGGUAUUUGUUUAUAUGUUUUAGCUUGGACGGCGAAUAGAAUGCAUGGUAUUGCCCCUUGAGCUAUUACAGCAGUUCAAGUCUUCGGAUUUUCCUAACCAACAAGAAUAUGAAGCUUGGCAGAGGAGAAACUUGAGGGUUCUCGAAGCCGGACUUCUUUUGUAUCCUUAUUUGCCUUUAGAUAAGAGAGACACUGCUUCUCAACAACUCCGGAAGAUUAUUCAUGGGGCCUUAGAUAAACCCAUAGAAACUGGAAAGCACACUGAGUCGAUGCAAGUUCUUCGCAAUGUUGUUAUGUCUCUUGCUAACAGAUCAGUUGACGGUUCUGUUUCCGAGACAUGCCACUGGGCUGAUGGGUUUCCGUUGAAUCUGAGGCUCUACCAAAUUCUACUAGAAUCGUGUUUUGACCCUAAUGAAGAAACAUCUGUUAUUGAAGAGCUUGAUGAGGUUUUCGACCUCAUAAAGAAGACCUGGGUGGUUCUCGGAAUAAAUCAAAUGCUGCAUAAUCUUUGUUUCUCGUGGGUUUUAUUUCAUCGUUAUGUUACAACUGGCCAAGUGGAUAAUGACCUGCUGCUUGCGUCCAGUAACCUGUUGGCGGAAGUUGAACAAGAUGCCUAUGGCACAAAAGAUCCAUCUUAUUCAAAGAUCUUAAGUUCGACAUUGAGUUCGAUAUUGGGUUGGGCUGAGAAAAGGCUUCUUGCUUACCGAGAUACUUUCCACAGUGGCAAUAUUGAAGCAAUGCAAAACAUUCUCUCUCUGGGGUUAUUAUCAGCAAAAAUACUGGUUCAAGAUAUUUCUCAUGAGUACCGUAGGAAGAGGAAAGAAACUAAUGUGGGUUAUGACAGGGUUGAUGCUUACAUAAGAUCAUCAAUAAGCACCGCUUUUGCACAGGCAAGUUUCCAUAUUAUUUUUGGGCUUCAAUUAAAUAAAGAGGCCGUAAACAAUGUAUAUUAUGAUAGGAAAUAUUCUUUUUAUGCCUGUUUCUUGUUGAUGAUCAAUUGGAAAAUCAGGUUGAUAAACUUUAGCUAUCUAAAUUUUGGGUAUAAAUAUACUGAUCAAGUUUUUGUAUGUUGUCUUAAGGCAGAAACUGGAAAAGGUAGGUUCUAGCAAGCGCUACUCGAAGAGCCAAAACAAUCUUCCUGCUCUUACCGUCCUUGCACAAGAAGUUAGUGAACUGGCUUUUAGUGAGAAGGAGAUAUUUGGUCCAGUAUUCAAGAGAUGGCACCCUCUUGCAACAGGCAUUGCUAUGGCUACGCUGCAUUCUUGCUAUGGAAAUGAGCUGAAGCAAUUUGUGGCGGGUCUCAGUGAGUUGACACCAGACACUAUACAAGUGCUGAGAGCUGCUGACAAAUUAGAAAAAGAUCUUGUGCAGAUUGCCGUCGAAGAUUCAGUGGAUAGUGAGGAUGGGGGGAAAUCGAUCAUAAGGGAGAUGCCUCCUUACGAGACUGAAGCUGUAAUUGCCAAUCUGGCAAAGACUUGGAUAAGGACAAGAGUAGACAGGCUGAGGGAAUGGGUUGACAGAAAUCUGCAUCAAGAGGUAUGCAUUUUCUGUUUCCACGCACCAAAAAAGUUGACAAACAAGAGAUACAAGCCUCGGUGCUUGCUUCCUAACAUAAAGGUAUAUUUUGCUGAAAUUUCUUUGGACAGGUAUGGAAUCCAAAGGCAAACAAAGAGCGGCUUGCUCCUUCUGCUGUUGAAGUUUUACGCAUUAUAGAUGAAACGUUGGAAGCAUUCUUUACGUUGCAGAUACCCAUGCAUUCUGUCUUGGUUCCAGAACUGAUGACCAGUCUUGACAAAUGUAUUCAACAUUAUGUCUUGAAGGCCAAAUCUGGAUGCGGUAUAAAUAUUUCUUAGCUUGCACUGGUACAUUGAAUUUUAAGUUUUUGAUCUCCAUAAUGACUGCCAGUUCUCCUCUGUUACUUGUGCAGGGACCCUAAGCACUUCCAUACCCGCUUUACCGGCUUUGACCAGAUGCUCAGCAGGAUCAAAAUAUGCUGUGUUCAAGAAAAAGGAAAGGUUGCAUAUAAGCCAGAGAAGGAAAUCUCAGGUUGAAAGUACAAAUGGGGACAGCUCAUUUGGGAUUCUGCAACUUUGUGUGCGCAUUAAUACUUUGCAGCUUAUUCGAAUGGAAUUGGGAGUUUUUGAGAAGAGGAUAAUUGCCCAUCUUGGGAGCUCAGAAACCCGUCAAGGGGACAAUAUAGCAAACGGAGUGGGCAAAAUGUUUCAGCUUUCCGCAUCUGCUUGUGCUGAAGGAAUCCAACAACUUUGUGAGGCAACAGCAUACAAGGUCGUUUUCCAUGACCUAAGUCAUGUCCUUUGGGACAGCUUGUAUAUUUUGGGAGUUUCGUCAUCUAGGAUUGAGCCAUUUCUUCAGGAACUUGAGCAAUACUUGGAGAUUAUUUCAUCAACUGUGCACGACAGAGUUAGAACACGAGUCAUUACUGAUGUAAUGAGAGCUUCUUUUGACGGGUUCUUGUUGGUUUUGCUAGCUGGAGGACCUUCUCGCACUUUCACGCAGAAAGAUUCUGGCUUAAUCGAGGAGGAUUUUAAGUUUCUGACUGAUUUAUUCUGGUCAAACGGGGAUGGACUGCCGGCUGAUUUGAUUGAUAAGUUAUCGACCACUGUUAAAAGUAUCCUCCCUCUGUACGGUAUUGAUACUGACAGCCUUGUUGAACAGUUCAAACGUGCAACUCUGGAGAACUACGGAUCUUCAGCUAAAUCCCGGCUUCCAAUGCCUCCAACUACAGGGGAAUGGAAUUCCAACGAGCCAAACACACUUCUACGUGUCUUGUGUUAUCGGAAUGACGAGACUGCAGCAAAGUUCCUUAAGAAGACUUACAACUUGCCUAAGAAGCUGUAACAACUUGAAAAGAUUGAUGAAGGAUAAAUUCAUCGGUUGAGUAAGGAUUAUUUUCGGCUUGGCUUAUUCACGGCAUCACCCACUGAAAACUCCGUUUUCGUGUUUUUGUCGGAAGAUCUGUUCAGUUUGGGUGCAGAAUAUAGAGAUGUAUAGCAUAUUUAUUGGUCCACUUUCUUGCUGUUUGGAGCUUUCACCACUCUCCGUCCAGAACUUCAAGCAAGCAAGCAGUGGACUUGUUCUUAGUGCAUGGGAUUAAUAAGGGUUUAGCAAAUAUUUAUACUAUUCGUUAUUCUAAUGUGUCGAUUACUUUGCCGAAUGCAGUGGGGGUGUAUGCUUCAGCUUUCUUUCUCCGUCGCGUUGUUUUUGCCCUCGGCUUCUUGUUCUUUGUGAUGAAAAUGGUGGAAUAUGUAUAUGUUCGUUUUUACUUGUUGGAUACAAAAGUAUACGAAUACGAUUCACCAGACUGAACUGGAAAAACAAUCCUGUUCGCUUCCAGUUAUCGCCGGUGUAAGUAGUCCGAUUUUGCCCGUGGUUUUUCGCCUAAACAAUAUGUUAAAAAGAUUAUGCUGUAAAACGAAUAUACAAGUCAAGAUCCAUAUCACAAGUGGCUACAAAAUCUUUUGAUCGAUUUGCGUUUCGUAAGAAAUGAUCAACUAAAACUAUGCCUGCUCUCAAUCACUUUCUCCAGAGGCCCUCUCAGCGUUUCUGUAUAUAUGUUAUAUGAGAUUACAGAUACGUGACCACAGAUUAAUGCCAAGGAUUCCUUUUCGUUCCGCUCUUCUUUGUGCUACUCGUUGAGCUCGAUUUCUGCAAAGGAAACAGAUUCAGUUCCUGUUACAUCGAUAGAACUGAUAGCCAUUACAAAUCGACACUACUGAGGAAGAGCGAUGAUCUAAUACAUACCGAUUUUGACUUCUUUGUCUUUCCUCGGAUCCUGUUCUUUGGUGGUUUUAGUUUGUAUAACCGAACCAUCCAAUGGUGAGUUGUGAACACCUACGUUGAUUAAGAUCCACAACGUAAUCAGAAACCAGCGUGUUUAAGUUUUGAAUAAUCAAUUGAGGGUCGCAUUACUCAAAUAUAUAUUGUUGCAGAUAAAAAUCUCAAACUAAAAGAUCGUCUGACCUCUUCAAAAUGAGUAAGUUUGAAAUGUUUCUUUCCGAUUUCUGUUUGCCUCACCCUAUCAAAGCCUUUACCGUCUGUGUCCACAAACCUAAAGUAAAAGAACACAAGAUGCACUGUAUUACUCACAGCCGGAACAAAGAAACAAAGAAUUUAAGAAAAAAACUCUACAAAUCAGCAAGCGAUGUUGCGAAAAUGCAGACCUGUAAUAAGAGAGCUUGUACAUGAGACAAUUUAGCAUGGUGGGGGUCGCCUGAUUGUCAAUGCGAUACUGGCCAUCCCUCUUUAGAAACGAAGACAAUACACAACAUGGUUAAUGAAACGUCUCAAAUCAUAACCAGUUAGAAAAUAAAAAUGAAGAUGAAAGAAAUGAGGGACUCACUAAGUAAUCAGGUUCCUUGAUAUGAGGGAAUACGCCCCCUCCAAUUCGGACCAUCCACAAGAACUUGUUAAUAUCAUCACUGGGGUAGCCAACAAGACCUGAUAGGUAAAGUUUAUCUAUCAGAAUAAGGUUUUACUUUCUUUUUAUACUAUCAUAUCAUGCCAAAAAGGAACAAACCUCCAAAAACAACGAGGACAUAUUUUACAUCCAACGAGUUGAAAAUUUCCCAAGCUUCCUUUUCUGGAGAAGACAUGGCAGUACCCACGGUUGCAAUAUGCGUGUUGUUCCAUGUAUUAUUGUCAACAAUGACAGUGCGAUUAGCCAUGGCAGUAGUUUGGUACCCAUAAUCCCACCAAGAGGCAACCUGCAACAAGUUUAUAGAAAAAACGAAUAUUAGUUAGUAUCUUCAUUUGACAAACAGUACAGUUUUUGUCUGUCAAAUUAAACUGAGUUGAUACAGGGGAUAAAAAGAAUAUGGCGAAGAACUCACUUUAUCAUCCACCUCAGUGUUGUGGCUUAGCCACGCAUAAGCCUCUCUAAAAUCAUCAAAAACAUGAAGACCAUCAUGUGAAUGAGAUGUUAGAACAAUAGACGGGGCUGAAUAAGCUUCUGCUGCUGCCCAGACACAAUGAACCUACAAAAUGAAUGAUGGCUCAACUUCAGAGGAGUCGCAUGUCUUUUUCCCACAGGUCCUCAAUUAACUCACUGUUAAAGUUGAUAAGGAAGAUAUAUUUCCCCCGGAAAUUGUCUAAGGUUUGAAGAAUGUAUAACUUUGAGUGCCAUAACAUACUACAGCAUACAGUAUGGAUAUACAUCGGAACCAGAACUGAUAUGUGAUUUAAAUCACACAAAAUGGAGAACGAAGAAAAUUUAUUUACCACAUAGAAGGCUCCAAGCAACACAAGUAGAAAUAUAGCAAGAAUAGAUCCCUCAAAUGGUAAAACCAGAAGCCUCUUUUCAAUUUGAGAUUUAAUGGAAGGCUUUUCAACUGGUUCCUUUUCCUUCUUCCUGUUCUUUCUCGAGGGCCUCUCCUUUAAUGUGUCUGCUCUUUUAUCUGUUUUCGGCACUUCAUUCUGGGAUACAGUGUUCUCGGAACUGGUUUCCCCUGCCUUGAAAGUCAAAAAGACAAAAUCAAUGCUAUCCCUGUAAAACUUAUAACAACGGCUUGGUGAAGGAAGACCAGCAGUGGAAAGUAAGAAGCUUACAUCAACUUGGGAAGGCACUAGAAGACCGGGUAACUGAAACUUGAUUGAUCGUGUGAAAACGUCAAAAGCUUCAGACAGAGCAAUCCCAGACAUGAUGCACGCUGCUGGAGCAAGUACUAGCAUAAGUCGCACCUGUAAUAUUGGUGAACAACAAUAUUAAUAUGAAAUAUCAUGAAAAUGGGAAGAAAAAUUGAAGUUAACCAUGCCAAUAAUAGUUCCUUACCAUGACUCCAGAGAAAUAUACUGAUGUUACAAUAUAGAGGAUCACAAAAGAGCUUGCAUCUGAUAAGGGUGAAAAGCAUGCCUACCAACAGAUAUAAACCGUAAAAACAGUGGUAAGGAACAUGAAUAUAUGAAUAAAAAUCAAAAUAUAGUGACUUGAGAAACUAAAAGAAAAGUAUGGUUUUCAGAUUCGAUUCUUACAAUAAUUCCAGCUGGAACCAAGAAGGCCAACACAUUAAUAUCCAUAAAGUAAGAGGGCCAAGUAGGAGGCUGGUGCUCACUAACACUAGCAAUAAUUGGUAUGUACUUGCUCGCAUAAGUUCUGAAAUGAAAAAAUAAAAUACAAACAUAUAAAAGUUACUUUGUCAUUUGUCUCUCAGUUAGGCAGCACAAGUAUUCAUGACAAGUUAUAGAAUACAAACAGGUCAAAUGGUGACUAACAUCUCAAGUUGGGACGCUGCUGGCCUUGAGGGACCAGAAGGGGGGUGAAUUCUAAAAGGGUAAUACUAUAGACACCAAAAAGAAUCCAAAUUAUCCUAGUGAUCCACUUACUUUUUCCUGUGAACCCCAUUAUGUUAGCAAAUACGAUAUUACCAAGUCAUUUACCAAAUUACUUUGGAAUUCCAAAUUUGAGAUGUAUUUUGGUGCUUGCCGUAUUAUGCAUUCUAAAAGAAUUAGCUUGCCGCAUCAGGCCCUCUGAAUAAUAUAUCAGACCAGAGCCAGAUGUUUGGAAAAUUUCGGAACCAGUUACUCCAAAUUAAGUUGCGCCCCCAUUGAAAUUUCUGCUUCAGUCAAGUCAGUUCGUCCAUUAAACCAAAGGUUAACAAACAAAGAACACACAUAACUAGCGAAUUAUGUACUUACGGAUCAAGUAGACUUAGACUUCGCCCACUCCAUCCCUUUGUUGGGCUUGAAGCUACCAGAGCUACGAGUACUGCUACCACAGCUAAACAUACUAGCCUGGAAAAAGUAACGUGAGAGGCAUAGAGAUCAAUUGUGUGUUCAAUGUUUGAGAACCUUAAUAAAUUUUGAGGACAGAACAAGUGAAGCAUACAGGCCAAUGGAUACUACAAGCGUGACAGCCACUUUGAACAUUUUCGGAGAGAGAAUCCCUUUGAUAUAGUACACAAGAGCGACCACAUGUAAAAUAAUAAAAACCUGCAAAAGAAAAUAUAGCAACAAGAAAACAUAUUGUCAAUAUAUACAACUAACAUGAAAGGCAGUGAUACAAAGUACAAGAAAUCUAGUUUAUGGACAAAAUGAAGAAAGCAGAGUGGACCGCACCAUAUCGUUGACAUAUUCAUCUCAACUCUUAUCUAUAUUUAACUUCUAAUCAGUUCCUUAUUUAUACAAUCUUUUCUUUAACUUCUACUCAUUCAAAGCUUGAAACCCUUCAAUUGGUAUUAUCAAACAUCAAAGUCCAUAAAAGCACGACCUAUAUUUUACAACUGCUUUAUGAAAGUCAAACUUUUAUAAGUGGAUCAGUCCAAGAUAACAUACACUCUUAUGAGUUCCAAGGUUUAUAAAAAAAGUAGAAUAAUGAUCAUUACAAGACAAAUCUAGAAACAGGCGAGCAAGCAUCUCAAGAACAUACUAUCUCAGUAGGAAGACAUUUACAGGCCGUAGCCAAGACAAGCUCCCGCAUCAUAAAAUGAGAAGUCAAUGAGAAAAGAAAGUUGGGAAAUGCUCACCAAGAAGGAAGCAAAAUGUUCUGAUGUCAUGACUGCAUUGAAUCCAACCACCGGCACCAAAGCCGCUAACAACGUUCCCAAAACAACCUGCAUUGAGAAAGCUAUAAUUAGGAACCAAAAAUGUCAUUUUGAAGUAGAUAGAACUGACCUAAUGUCACGUCCUUUACAAUUAUCCCAGUGUUUCAAAAUUCAGAGACAGGUGUCAGAAAGUUCAAAGGGAAAUCAACUACGUACUAAGCUUUUCUCACAUCUUAGUAAAUGAUGACAUAUUAAAGGAGAGAAUAAGCAUGGCAAAUUCUUUUCAAAAAGUAAAAUAAAAAAAUAAAAUAAAAAAAUCAACAUGGUAAAUGAAUCUUGACUAAAGUAUUUUACAAUCAGAUAGUAUGAAUUUAAUAAUUUUCCUAUUAACCAUAUGAAUUUAAUUUUCACCCUUCUUUUCCAUCUAGUAUUUCUAGCUCAAAACUGUUAAAGCAUGAGAAUGUUAACAUGCAUUCUUCAAUUUUAGUGCCAAAUGCAUGUUCCACUUGUUUUCAAUCAUAGUUAGCUUCAUUAGUAUUGUGGAUACUUACAAGAGGAGCAUAUGCAAUGUAUAGACGAGAAGAGUAGCGGCCAGUUACAAUGCAAAGAAGCACAUGCAUUGGAAUAAGGUUAAUAAUAAAUGUGUAGCCUCCCCAAGAGCAAACCUGAAACAAUGAAACAAAAUGCAAUCAAAAUAAAUAUCAGAGGAAUUCAUAAAACUACAAAACCAAAAACAACACUAGUACCUAUACUUACCAUGUAAAAGUACGCUAUGGCAUUAAGAGUUGCAUAGAAGAGGGACCCUGUAUUCAGAGUCUGCAUAUGAUGUAUAAUGUAGUAAGAAAAUAUUCAAGCAGUAUUUUUGAAGCACAUUAUAGAUUAUUCGUGUACCAUAUGCCAAUGAUAUAAACUCAUCAGUGAACAAAAUCCGAUCAUUAUUCAUAAACCACCACCGCAUUUUGAUACAUUAAUAGAACAUGAAUGAAUUAAGUAAUCAUUUCGAAAUCUAACCUUUAUAUAAAGAUAGAAAGUGAAGAUCAAAGCAAAAAUAGCUACAGCUUCAUUGUCAUAGCUUCCAGCCACUGACCGAGAAAUAUAUGACGGGACCUGCAAACAAAAACAUAAAACAAGCACAGCUAAGCAUUUGCUUUUACCUGUUCCAAAUGUUGUAGAGUUAAAAUUACCCGCUAUGUAAUUUACCAUGGCUAUAAGAGCAGCAGCUGUUAGUCCAGCACCAGCACCCUUAACUUCCUGAAGAAAGAGGCAAUUGAAAUCAUCAUAAUAUUGGAGGACAGUAACCAAAAUCUACAAAAUAACUAAGGCUUGAAUACAAACCCGAGUCAGCAGGUAAGUUGCCCACGAUGUGAAAGCAGAGAAUAUAGGGGCAGUAAAUACACAGAUAGUUUCCACGGAAAGAGGAAUGUUCAAUGAAUUCAAAAACCUGAUAAGAGAAUAAGAGGGCAAUGAAUCAUAAAUAUUGGCUAAAACAAGAAUCACUGUAAAGUAGGUCCUUUCUCUCUUCUCCUUUUUCUCCUUUAGGGUUGUGGGGAACACAUACUCAGUAGUUAAAACCCGAAUGAAAAUAAACUUUUUUUUUUCUAGCAUUUCUAGUGAUGCUCACCACCAUAGGGAUCCUGCUGUCAAGGUCAAUCCAGGGUAAACAGUUCCACCAAUCACACGACCAAGAGGAUACCUAGAAUGUAAAUUUAAGAAAGUUUAAAUCCAUAUUGCUGAAUUACGUAAUCUAAGAAAUCAAAACAAGAACCCUGCCAUGAGGUUUGACAAGCCAGAAAAAUUCGAAAUUACCAGGUUCGGUCAUCAAACCAGUUCCAAAAAUCGUAUAUUCCAUUCUUCGUCAGAAACUGAAACCAACAAAGAAAUCUGUCAUCUUUUAUACAGCCUCCCGUCACUACAUUAUAAUAAGAUGAAUCGACGCAUGCACUCAUAAUAAAUUUCAAAACUUUCAAGCACAUAUAAUCCACUAGCAACGCCAUCUUAUUCAGCUAGAAUUAUAUGUCCAAGUGCAAGACAGGUUAAACUGUAAAGGUCGUACCCAGUGCACAAGGCUCCCGCUUUACGCAGGGUAAACUGUAUUUAGGCAAAAAAAAAAUUAAAAAUCUGUAUACUUGACGGUAAACCAAUCUUAAACCAGAUAAAGAACCAAACCUGAGUGACUCUGUAAUUGAAGUACGGAUCAAACUCGUGAAUAACACUCUCGUACUUUAUAACCUGCACAUCAAUUCACACCGAAACACGAACAUGAGGACGAUAUGAAUACAUAGUUACACUCCUUUUGAUUACUGAGAAAUGUAAAUGCGAAUGACAAAUCAAAACUACAACAAUUAGAACUCAACAAUUUACAGAUAACACAUGUCAAAGUAAUUACGAAGCACCAUUCAGUUCGGUAAUUCACAAGAGUAAAUAAUCAAGUGCAAAGUGGUAUAAUUUGUACAAUUUAACCAUAUAUAUAUGUACAUCAAUAGAUAUACAAUUUCAACAUCGACGCAUUUUCCUGCAUUUUCUUGGCUGUCAAACAAGCAACGCUGGAUUUUAACCAAAAAAACCGAGCAACGCUGGAUUUUGAUAUCUGUAAACGAUUAGAUCCAGAUAAUAAUAUAAUGGUCGAAGAGCUCACAGAGAAGAGCCGGAUCGAAAAUGCGAGGACGCCGAUCAGGAUGAGGAUGAAGAAGGAGAGGACAUUUCCAAAAGCGUGCCUCAAGGUCGUUCCGUUGGAGGUCUCCGAUGCCGCCAUUGACGGCCAAAUCAAGCUCCGAGCUUUUGGAAGAGCGAUGGAGGAGGAGACUGAGGUCUGAGGAGGAGGAAGGGUUUUUGCGGGCAGCGACUAAAACCAAGUGGGGGAGAAGACUUUGUAACACUAUGCAGAGGGAGGGGAGAUGAAUUGAUGAAAUGACUAAAAUGCCCCUGAUGUAUUUUGACAGAAGUGUCCUUGUGCACGUAUACGUGGCUUUUUGUUAUAGUCAUUGCAAGGAGUAAAAGCUCGUGAUUGGUUUCGCGCUACGCAAUAUGUCACGUGGCGUGAUAUGAUAAGUGGAGUAGGUUUUAAUAGUGAGAGAUUUUUUUGUGUGGCAAAAAUAUAAGUUGGGUGGACCAAUGUCAUAAUAUAAUUGUUUGGAAAUUUAAAAAGAAAAAUUGCAUCCAAUUAUAUUAUAAUUUGAUGUAUCAGACCGUAUUAAUAAUAUAAUGAGUUUCUCUGAUGGUAGCGGUGCAAUUCAUUCCUUACAACUGCUUUGGGCCCAGAUUCAUUGUGCGGCUGGUUUGGUUUUAGUUGGUUCGAUUUUUUAGGUAAAACUGAAAAUCAAACCAAAAUUACCAUUUGGUUGGGCUUUUUCAAUUUUGGAUUUUUUUACUCUUUUUUGUUCUAUUUAAAAUUAGGAAAAAAAUUUAUUUAUGAUUGGAAUACAGAUGAUACAUUAUGUAUUUUUAUAUAAAUAAUGAGAAAUUUUAUUUUUUAAGUUAUUAACUUUUUAACACAUAUAUCUUACUUUUUGUAUAGUGACACGUGUUUGUAAUUUUAUAUAAUGACACGUAGUGUACUAUCCAAUUUUCUGAUCACAUUGAAAAAUCUCUCUAAAGUUAUGGUUUCAUACUUUUGGUCUGCCUAAGAUUUUUUGAAAGAGAUUCUCUCCGGAUCUCUUUCACCAAAGAGUAAUUCAGAUUUUUAAAAUUUUAUCUAACGAUAAAAAAUUAUUAUAAAUCAAACAAGUAGAUUAUUGGAUGAAAUUUCAAAAGUUUAGAUUACUUAUUCCGGUUGUUGAAAAGAUCCGAAAAUCUUAUUUCAGGAUUUUUUAGUCACGUCCGUUUGCUUUUUGCGAUUUAGGGUUUGAAGGAGCUUUAUCACCAUGUCGGCUUUGACACUGCGUCGGAACAUAGACUUCGGCAAUGGCGGUGCAUUUCCGGAGAUUCACAUGCCUCAGUACCCUCUCGGCAUGGGGAGGGAUAAGAUCUCAAAACCCGGGACGAAGAUUCUUCCAGUUACAGUUGAUGCCAAUGGGGACAUUGCGUAUGACGUUCUUGUGUUUGAGAAUUCGAAAAAAAUUGUCUACUCCCAACACAAGGAUCUGGUGCCGAAAAUUUUAAAGGAUGAGGAGAUAGAUAAGGAUGAGAAGGAGGAGGAGGAGUUGCAAGAGGUGACUAGAGCGGAAACGAAAGCGGCAAUCGAGAAAACGAUGAACGUAUUAUUGAGCGGUGCGCAGCCGAAUAAUGUGCCCAAGCAAUCGUCGGACUUGAAAUAUUUUAAGUUCAUGCCGUCGGAGAAGUCAGGGGCGUUUAAUUCCGGCGCCAAGGAGAGGAUGAUAAAGAUGGUGGAGAAGCCUGUGGACCCACUUGAGCCGCCAAAGUUCAAGCACAAGCGUGUUCCUAGGCCUUCUGGUUACUCGCCCGUGCCAGUCAUGCAAUCACCUCCCAGGCCUGUGAGUUCGAAGGACCAGAAGGAAUGGACCAAGAUUCCGCCAUGUACUUCAAACUGGAAGAACCCGAAAGGGUAUACAAUUCCGUUGGACAAACGUCUUGUGGCUGAUGGGAGAGGCCUUCAUGAUGUUCUGAUUAAUGAUAAUUUUGCAAAGCUCGCCGAGUCUUUGUAUGUAGCGGAGGAGAAGGCUAGGGAGGAAAUCGAAGCAAUAAAUCAAGUUAAGCUAGAACUCAAUAAAAAGGAGAAGGAAAAGAAAGAGAGGGAGUUGAGGGAAUUAGCUCGGAAAGCUCGUUCUGAAAGAGCUGGAAUGGAUGCGGAUGUGCCAAAGGAGACGGUAGAGGAAAGACAAGGGAGGUUGGAACAGACUAAGAUUCGUGAGGAGAAGCAUGGAGAGAGGAAAACGAAGAGAAGGUUGGAGGAAAAAGAUGGAGCAAUGGGGAAGAAAAGUAAAACUACUAGAGAUAGAGAUCGAGAUAUUAGCGAGAAAGUUGCCCUAGGCAUGCCCAAUGUUGGAGGAGCGGGCGGCGGAGGGGGAGAGGUUAUGUAUGACCAUAGGCUGUUCAACCAGGAGAAAGGAAUGGACUCAGGGUUUGCCACAGAUGAUCAGCACAAUGUUUACGACAAGGGCUUGAUUAUGUCCCAGCCUACAAUUUCAACCCUAUACAGGCCUACGAAAGAUGUUGAUAGCAAAAUGUAUGGCGGCGCUGAUGAGCAGUUGGAUAAGAUUAGGAAGACAGGUGGCUUCAAACCUGACAGAGGGUUUGGAGGAACUGAUGAGAGGGCAGCAGGACAAAGAGAUGGACCGGUUGAGUUUGAGAGGGAUGUUGCUGAAGAAGCCGAUCUAUUUGGUCUGGACCGAUUAAUAACAAAGAUGAAGAAGGCUGAGAACGCCACGGACUAGGAUGGAACACGAGGACAAUGGGAGCAAGUGUUGGUGGUGGAUGAGAAAUGACUUUCAAACGGGCUUCAUCAGAAGAAAUCGUUAUGCUAUUCAGUGCUCAAUUGUCUUUGUUGUCAUGGGGUUUUUUAUUUUCAGUGGGUCUUAUCUAGUUGCUAUAUAUCUCAACCAUGAUUGUUUAUUAACUCAAAACCUUCUUAUAACAUAUUUUGUCUAUUCAGAUCGUGAAUUCGUAUAUCGAUCGCUUGUGUUGGCUUUUAAUUUGUCUCAAUAUUUAUGUGGAUUUGUUGACAAAUUGGCUCUAGUUUAACAAUUUGCUUCAAGUUGUUUCACCUAUGCUGCUGUGACUUCCUAAGCACACUCGUGUGUUUUAUUUGACUUCUCCAACACACUUUGUUUGGUGUGCAUUUAGUUUUGCAUAGAGAGCGUUUAAGAAGUGGUUGAGGGGGAGUCUUUAUAUUUAGUAUUACAAGAGCAAAUGGGAGGGUGCAGUUCGAACGCACAGAGAUGGGAUAUGAGGGAGAUAAAGUUGACGGUUAAAGUAAAGGAAAAGAAAAUAAGAAUUGAGAUACGAGGGAGAGAAAGUUUUGGAGUUUGCGGGAGAAGAAAACAAGGGGGUUUGGGGAAAAAGAUAGGAAGAGGUGAAUGAGGAGAAGGGAGUGAAUCUAGGAUUUUGUACCAGUAUCAUUUGUCAGGUAGUCGACAGCCGGCACUCCUAGGUUACGUCGAAUCCUUAUGAAAUCAUUUGUUUUCUUUUAUAUUUGUGAGUGUGUAAACUUAGGCGUAUUUGGGGUUUGGGUUUGUGAGUGAUACACUUUUGUAAUCUCCAUGAGAUAUUAGUGGAAUUUUCUCACCGUUUUCUAUCUGAACGUUUUUAUCAUAUUUUGCCUUGUUAAAUUAGUGGCUUCAUAUCUGAAGGUUCUAGACAGCAGUUUGGUGAUUUACAACCAGAGGGGGCGUUGAGGGGAUGCGAAAGGUACAGUCGCACAGGGCCAUAAAAUUUUUAAGGGCCUUCAAAAUUUUUGUCACCUAAUAUUUAUAUGUAAUAAUAUUAUAUAUUUAAAAUUGCUUUUGUUAUGAAAUAAUAUUCUAUAUUCAAAAUUUGAUUUUGUUAGCACUUUAAAAUCUCAUCUUAAGCGUAAUUUUUUUUCUUUCUAAAUAUAAAAAUUUAGAGUACAAUAAGAUAUUUUGAGUGCCAAUAAUACACCAUAAAAAUGGUAUUUUUUUCAAUAUUAUCAUAUAAUAAUGUUACAUAUUCAAAUGAAACUUUAAAGUUAGAGUUUUUGAACUUUGUUUUCUUGUUUGGUUGUUUAAGAUUGAACUGCUUUUGAUUAUUUAGUGAACGUUAUGUUUGUAGCUCUUUUUACUUAUUAUUAAUGACAUUUUUAAACUUGCAAUCAGUGAGUGCUAAACUUUGUUUUGAUUUAAGUGAUUGUUUUCUAGCGUCAAUACAUUGUCCUACAUUUUUUAAGACUAUCUUAAUGAGGGGCGCUUUUAUAAAUUUCGUACAGGGCUCCAAAAUCUCAGAGACGACCCUGUUUACAACUACAACUACGCAUAUUGAAAUGCAAAAGGCGGUUUAGUUGUCCGUUUAAUAAGAUUCCGGCGGUUAAUGUGAGUAAUUUUUCCAAGUUGUAUAUGGAAUCCUUUUUUGCUUUGGAUACAAGCUGUAGGCGGAAUCCUAAUCCCAGAAUGAUAAGGAAAUUAAACUCGUACAUCUAUCUAUAUAAACGUACAUACAUGCUGUAUGUGGAAUCACAAUUUUCGUUCAUAGAAGUCGUGUUCUGAUUUUCGUUUUGGUUUUCUUGUUUCUUUUGCAGUCUGGUUUAGGUUGUGACUUGAGUAAUUAAGACCAUGGCGGCUCUGAAACAGUCUUCCGCUUCCGGCGGCGAUCGCGCAGCAACUUUCUACGAUCACCCGAAUGAUCCGUGGGGCAAGCAGCGCUAUGGCGGUUCUGCCGUGGCGGAAGAAAGACCUGCUGCUGCUGUCGUCAAACAUAACCCUAUACCUCAAUACCCGAAGCGUAAAGGGUUUGUUCCUAGGAAGGUAGAGGACUUUGGCGACGGCGGUGCGUUCCCGGAGGUUCACAUAGCUCAGCACCCUCUAGGCAUGGGCAGGAACAUGUCGAAAUCUGGAACGAGUAUUCUUCCAGUUUCAGUUCAUGCCGACGGGAAAAUUGCGUAUGAUGCCCUUGUUAAGCAGAACGAGAACUCGAAAAAAAUUGUCUACUCCCAAUACAAGGAUCUCGUGCCGAAAAUUUUGAAGAAUGAGGAUGAGGUGAUGGUCGAGAAAGAUGAGGACGAGGAGUUGCAGAAGGAGGUUGAAGAAACUGCAGCGGAAACGAGAGCGGCGCUGGAGAAGAUCGUGAAUGCGAAAUUGGGCGCUGCACAACCGAACAACGUGGCAAAGCAGUCGACAGACUCGAAACUGAUCAAGUAUAGGUCGUCGCAGAAAUCGGCGGCAUUUAAUUCUGGCGCCAAGGAGAGGAUGAUAAAGAUGGUGGAGAUGCCAGUGGACCCACUAGAGCCUCCGAAGUUUAAGCACAAGCGUGUUCCUAGGCCUUCCGGUUCCCCACCCGUGCCGGUCAUGCAUUCACCUCCUCGACCGGUGAGUGAGAAGGACAAGAAGGGCUGGAAUAUUCCUCCGUGUGUUUCGAACUGGAAGAACCCAAAAGGGUAUACAAUUCCGUUGGACAAACGUCUUGCGGCUGAUGGGAGAGGGCUUCAAGAUGUUCAGGUGAAUUACGAUAAUUUUGACAAGUUUUCUGAGGCUUUGUAUGUAGCGGAGAAGAAGGCUAAAGAGGCAUUGGCUAUGAGAUCUAAAGUUCACGAAGAAAUUAUUAUCAAGGUGAAGGAAAGGAAGGAGCAGGAGUUUAGGGAAUUAGCUCGGAAGGCUCGUUUUGAAAGAAUUGGUGGCGUAUCGGUAUCCAUUGACCCAUCUGGCAAAGGAGGAAUGGAGACCGAUAUGCCAAAGGAGACAAGGGAGGAAAGAGAAGGGAGGUUGGAGCGGAACAAAAUUCGCAAGGAGAUGCAUGUAGAGAGGGAAAGGAAGAGAAGGUUGGAGGCAAAAGAUGGCGCAACGGGGAAGAAGAGUAGGGUUACAACAGAUAGAGAUCGGGAUGUUAGCGAGAAAGUUGCCCUAGGCAUGGCUAAUGUUGGAGGUGCAGGCGGCGGAGGGGGAGAAGUUAUGUAUGAUCAUAGGCUGUUCAACCAGGAGAAAGGAAUGGACUCCGGUUUUGCCACAGAUGACCAGUACAAUAUAUAUGACAAGGGCUUGUUUGCUGCUCAGCCGAUGCUCUCAACCUUGUACAGGCCGAAAAAAGAUGUUGAUAGUGAAAUGUAUGGCGGCGCGGAUGAGCAUUUGGAUAAGAUUACGAAGACUGAUCGCUUCAAACCGGACAAAGGGUUUGAAGGAACUGCUGAGAGGGCGUCAGAAAGAAGAGAUGGACCUGUCGAGUCUGAAGCCGAUAUAUUUGGUCUAGACCGGCUAAUGACAAAGAUGAAGAACAAGGGCGAGAAACCCACGGACAAGGUUAGAACAGGAGGGACGAUGAGAGCAAGUGCCUGCGGGUCUUCGAUGCAAGAUGGUUAUCAAACGGGCUCCAAAAGAAGAACUCGUAUCAAGCUUUUCUGAAUGUGAUCCACCUGAUUGGAUUGUGAAGGUUAAUUGCUCGCACUUCUUACUUGGAGGAUGUUUGUUUUCGCAUUUUAGUUUGUUUGGAAUUGUUUUCAGUUUUUAUUUUAACAGAUUUUUUUUAUAUAUUUUCAUCCUAUUAUUUCUCAAUCUUCUUGCUCUUCAUCGGUGCAGGAUUGCAGAAAGUGCAUCUCUACUUUUCGUGUAAGCUGAUUCCAAACACUAGUAACCUAACUUUUAUUUUAAUUUUUAGUUAUAUUUCGAGGGAAUUCUGUAACAUCCCAUAUCGCCCAGGGGAGCGAUCCUUAAAUGUAUAUUCUCAUCCCUACCUAGCACGAGACCUUUUGGGAGCUCACUGGCUUCGGGUUCCGUAGGAACUCCGAAGUUAAGCGAGAAGGAGGCCACAACACUCCCAAGAUGGGUGACCCACUGGGAAGUUGCUCGUGAGUUCCCAAAAACAAAACCUGAGGGUGUGUCGGGGCCCAAAGCAGACAAUAUCGUGCUAUGGUGGUGGAGCGGGCCCGGGAAGUGAUCCGCCCCGGGUCGGGAUGUGACAAAUUCAAUCCUAAAAUUAACCUAAACUUUCAUGAAAAAUCUAAGCUACAGGUAAUUUCAAGUGCUUGGAAGACUACUUUGUUAAUGUUGUUGUUGACAGGACUUGGUCAGGUCUACCAUAGGAGUCAUGGCCAUGUGGUGUUUGUUGUGCGGAAGUGGCAUUCGACUGUAAGUGAAUAGUAAAACAGAACAGAAACAAAACCAACAUCAACAAGAACACCAAGAUUUAUACUGGUUCGGCAAUGCCUACAUCCAGUUUGGAGACGACGGAGUAUUCCACUAUAAUCAAUGAGAACAUACAAUAGUGUUAUCACUCAAUUUCCCAAAGACCCAAAUAACCCAAGCUCUCACACUUACAAUAGGAAGAAAAAAAAAACAAAAAUACAAAGCAAGACAAUUUGAGAAAAUUCUUCUCUAUGCCGAAUGGCUUCUUGCUAUUUUUCUCUCUUCCUUUUUCCUAUCACUUCUCAAUGCUUAUGGGCUGCACCUUGCUCCCUUUUUAUAGCCAAAGAAAAAGCUUCUCAAAGACAUCAAUGGCCAAAGGCCUACCAUCAAGUCAAAAGAGUUAGGCACAAAUGCAUGUAAUUUUUUUGUUUCCCACAUGUAGCAUGCCAACCAACAAUUUUGACCACAAAAGUAGCCGAAAUCAAUUGUUGGUUUUAGACUACUUUGUUUGAGCCAAUAAUCAACAAUCUCCACCUUGGCUCAAACCCUCUAAGUAGAACUCCUAAUAGUCGUCUCCCAAUCCCCCAUGGGGCAAUCAACAAAUUUUACAAAUGCCAAUCAAGUCUAAGCAGUGCUUAAACUUGUGCAAUGAAACUGGCUUUGUUAACAUAUCCGCAGGAUUGUUAGCGGUCUCAAUCUUCUGAAGAAGAAUAUCUCCCUCGUCAAUAACCUCACGAACAAAAUGGAACCUCACAUCAAUGUGUUUCGUACGUGCAUGAUGAACUUGAUUCUUUGCUAAAUGAAUAGCACUCUGACUGUCGCAAUGAACAUCCACAUGGUCUUGUUGAACCCCUAAGUCAUCAAGCAACCCUUGAAGCCAGAUGGCUUCCUUUAUAGCUUCUGUCACAACCAUGUAUUCUGCCUCAGUAGUCGACAAAGCAACUGUAGAUUGCAGAAUCGACCUCCAACUUACUGGACCUCCAGCAAUAGUGAAUACAAAACCAGUAGUGGACCUACGCUUGUCCAAAUCACCUGCGUAAUCAGAAUCCACAUAUCCAACAACACAUUGACCAGUAACUUUAUCCUGCUGGAACAAUAAACCAACAUCCACAGUACCCAGAAUAUACCGUAGAAUCCAUUUCACAGCUUGCCAAUGCCCUUUUCCUGGAUUAUGCAUAUAUCUACUGACAAUACUAACAACUUGUGAAAUAUCAGGCCUAGUACACACCAUAGCAUACAUCAAACUACCAACAACAUUUGCAUAAGGAAUUUGAGCCAUGUACUGACUCUCUUCAACAGUUUUAGGAGACAUAGAAGCGCUAAGUUUGAAAUAAGAGGCAAGAGGUGUACUAACCGGUUUUGAAUUUUCAUUCAUCCUGAAACGUUGUAGUACCUUCUUCAAAUACUGCUUCUGACACAGACUAAUCUUGCCCUUCGCUCUAUCUUUUUCAAUUUCCAUACCUAGUAUCUUCCGAGCUUCUCCCAAGUCCUUCAUCUCAAAUUCAUUACUUAGUUGAGUCUUCAACCUUUCAAUCUCCACUUUGCUCUUACAUGCUAUAAGCAUAUCAUCAACAUAUAAAAGCAGAUAAAUGAAGGUUCCAUCUUGUAGUUUGCGAAAGUAUACACAAUGGUCAUAGUGACUUCUUGUGUACUUUUGCCCGAUCAUAAAUCCAUCAAAUUGCUUGUACCAUUGUCUUGGAGACUGCUUCAAGCCAUACAAUGAUUUUUCCAAUUUGCAAACCCAAUUUUCCUUUCCAGCAACCUUAAAACCUUCUGGCUGAGACAUAUAAAUCUCUUCCUCCAAAUCACCAUGUAAGAACGCAGUCUUGACAUCAAGUUGGGCCAACUCAAGAUCAAACUGCACAACCAAAGCCAACAGAAUACGAAUAGAAGAAUGUUUUACUACAUGAGAAAAUACCUCAUUGUAGUCAAUGCCUUCCUUCUGAGCGUAGCCUUUAGCUACCAAUCUGGCUUUGAAUCUUACAUUGUCUUUUCCCAAAGAUUCCAUCUUUUUGGCAUACACCCAUUUACAACCAAUUGCUUUCUUCCCCUUUGGUAACUGAACCAGAUUCCAAGUCUCAUUUUUAUGAAGAGAUUUCAUCUCCUCAUCCAUAGAUUUCUUCCACAACUCGCACUUUGAACUCAUGACAGCUUCUUUGUAGGCGGAUGGAAUGUCAUCUUCAAUAACAGGAAGUGCAUAUGCCACAAUAUCAGUAAAUCGAGCAGGCUUUCGAAUUUCCCUUCUAGAUCUUCUGGUUGCAAUAUAGUCUUGUUGCUGUGGAUGCUCUUGGGUAGGUGCCUCCCCUUCAUCAUCCUCGUCCUCAUCAUCAGAAUUAAUUGUAGGACUGGUGUUUGUAACAUCAUACCUUACUGGAACAACUGGAGUCUUCAGUAACUCCACCUGCUUUGAGCUACUCAUGGUCUCGGUCGCUUCAGUUUCACCUUCAUGCUUGUUCUGAUUAACCAUAGCAACCUCAUCAAAAGUCACAUCUCUGCUUACAACAAAUUUCUUCUCAUCUGGACACCAGAGUUGGUAUCCCUUCACGCCAGUGCUAAAGCCCAUAAAUAGAGCUUUCUUUGCUCUUGGAUCCAACUUGCUUUCUCUGACAUAAUAGUAAGCAGGACAACCAAAUAUGUGUAAAAACUUGUAAUCAGUACAAGGUUUACCAGACCAUACCUCAAUGGGCGUUUUGCCCUCAUUCGCAGCAGCUGGCAAUCGAUUAAUGAGAUGGCUUGCAUAAGUGAGUGCCUCAGCCCAAAAUGCCUUGCCUAAUCCAGCAUUAGACAACAUACACCGAACUUUCUCAAGCAAAGUACGGUUCAUGCGCUCCGCCACCCCAUUCUGUUGCGGUGUCUCCCCAACCGUGAAGUGCCUCACAAUACCCUCAUCUUGACAAACUUUCAAGAAAGGAUCAGACUUAUAUUCACCCCCAUUGUCUGAUCUGAGAGUCUUGAUCUUUCGACCGCUUUGCGUUUCAAUCAUCUUUUUCCACUUCAGGAAUAUCUUAAAGACUUCAUCUUUACGCUUCAUGAUGUACACCCAUAUUCUUCUAGAGAAGUCAUCAAUAAAGGAGACAAAAUAAUGGCUACCUCCCCAAGAUGCAUUCUUGGAAGGUCCCCAAACAUCAGUGUGAACAUAAUCAAUAAUGCCCUUAGUGUGGUGAAUAGCAGUGCCAAAUUUUACUCUAGUUUGCUUACCUAACACACAAUGCUCACAGAAUUCCAAUUUGCAUGCCUUUGCACCUUUCAAUAAGCCUUGCUUCACUAAUUCUUGCAACGUUUUUUCACCAGCAUGCCCAAGACGCAUAUGCCAUAACCUCGUGGUGUCUGUGUUAUCUGCGUCAGCAGCUUCGGUGACAGCUGCUCCACCAAUAACUGUACUCCCCUGCAAGAAAUACAAGUUAUUUCGUCUUGUACCUUUCAUCACCACCAGUGCCCCGUACACAGCUUUAAGAACUCCACCCUCCAUGGUGAUCUUGAGACCCUUGGAUUCCAAUGCACCCAGUGAGAUGAGAUUUUUCUUCAUAUCCGGUACAUACCGAACAUCACUUAAUUCUCUGACUGUUCAUCAUGCAUCUUCAAACAGAUUUUACCUAUCCCUUGUGUUUUGCAGGCAUUAUUAUUACCCAUCAAAACAACUCCACCAUCCAGCUCCUCGAAAUUAGAAAACCAUUCCCGAAUGGGACACAUAUGAUAGGUGUAACCUGAAUCCAAAAUCCACUCAUUGGAGUGACCAUCAGCAUAUGAACUAGCCAAAGCAAACUCGAAAUCAUCAUCUCCAGAUUUUGCAAUAUUUGCUUCAGAACCCGCUUUCUCCUUCUCUUUGUUCUUCAAUUUGGGGCAGUCUUUCUUCCAAUGCCCCUUUUGGCGACAAAAAGCACAUUCAUCUUUAGCAGGAAAACUUCCCUCGUGACUUUGAACGAGAUUUUUCCCCCGCUUCCCAGAUUUUCUUUCCUCUGUUCGACCCCUUGCAACAAAUGCCUCGGUUUGUGAAUUGUGAGUCUUCAGUUCCUUCUUACGACACUCAUGAUUCACCAAUGCUGCAGACACCUCAUCAAGUUUCACCUCGGAUUUUCCAUACAACAGAGUAGUUGUCAAAUGAUCAUAAUCAUCAGGCAAUGAAUUUAACAAACAUAGUGCCUUGUCCUCGUCAGGAAUUUUCACAUCAAGGUUUGCUAAAUCAACAAGUAUUUUAUUAUAAUCAUUGAGGUGUUCGUGCAUAGAGAUACCUGGACGAUACUGAAAUCGGAAGAGUCGCUUCUUCAAGAAGAGACGAUUUUCUGCGCUCUUGGUCAUAUACUUCUCCUUCAAUUUCGUCCAUAACUCCUUAGCAGAAGUUUCCUUCAUAUACGGGUAUUUCAACUCCUUAUCAAGGAACGAUCGAAUAGCAGCACAAGCAUGAAGAUUAAUUCGCGUCCACUGCUUGUCAUCAAUAUCUUCUGGUUUAUCUUCCAGAACCAUAUCCAACUCUUGUUGAUACAACACAUCCAUAACUUCACAUUGCCACAUACCAAAAUUAUUAGAGCCAUUGAAUUUAUCAACCUCUAACCUUGUAGUAGUGGUUGGAUGUCUAUUGGAUGAAGACGAUGCUGACCCAUUCUUUACAGAUUCAUCUUUAUCUCCAGCCAUCUACUCGGCACUAUUCACAAAUACGGCACUGUUCACAGAUACUGUAGCAGUUCACUGUUCACGGAACUGUUGCGUUAACACUAUUCACGGAACUGGGCUCUGGUACCACUUGUUGUGCGGAAGCGGCAUUCGACUGUAAGUGAAUAGUAAAACAGAACAGAAACAAAACCAACAUCAACAAGAACACCAAGAUUUAUACUGGUUCGGCAAUGCCUACAUCCAGUUUGGAGACGACGGAGUAUUCCAGUAUAAUCAAUGAGAACAUACAAUAGUGUUUAUCACUCAAUUUCCCAAAGACCCAAAUAACCCAAGCUCUCACACUUACAAUAGGAAGAAAAAAAAAACAAAAAUACAAAGCAAGACAAUUUGAGAAAAUUCUUCUCUAUGCCGAAUGGCUUCUUGCUAUUUUUCUCUCUUCCUUUCUCCUAUCACUUCUCAAUGCUUAUGGGCUGCACCUUGCUCCCCUUUUAUAGCCAAAGAAAAAGCUUCUCAAAGACAUCAAUGGCCAAAGGCCUACCAUCAAGUCAAAAGAGUUAGGCACAAAUGCAUGUAAUUUUUUUGUUUCCCACAUGUAGCAUGCCAACCAACAAUUUUGACCAUAAAAGUAGCCGAAAUCAAUUGUUGGUUUUAGACUACUUUGUUUGAGCCAAUAAUCAACAGUGUUUUGGGUACAACCGUGCAAGAGAGCUUUUCGCGGAGAUUCGAAGACUUAAACUAGGCGAUGGAGCUAGAACCCGUGACACUGGUCCUUGCCAUGAAAGUUCUUCUCGUUAACGCACCAUACUGGAACGUAUACCAUCAAAUCAACAAUGGCAUGCAGAGCAAGGAGCUAUAUAUUGAAACAUAAAACUUGUUAAUCCAAAGCCACUUCUCAGCAUCCAAAACUGAUAUAUACAACAUACCAAGGACAAGGACUAAACAACCUUACCUCAUAAAAACUGAAGUAAAAAGGAAAAUAACAACAGUAAGAGUACUAUUAACACAAUUUAGAAAAUCUUAAACGAAUUGCAACCGAGUGAGUGAGCUUCGAUCUUGAACAAAUCGCAACUGAGAGAGAGUGAGCUUCUCUCUUGAACGAAUCGCAACUGAGAUAUAUAUGGCUCCAUUGCAGUUCCUAUAUAUCUGAAGCAACACAUUCGGCAAUGGAAGAAGUUUUCUGGAGUAGUAACUUAUAGCCUGAGCUUCAAGUAAAUGAUUUGACAAGUCCAACAGAGAAAAAAUUAUCUUGGUUCCACCCCAAAUCGAAUAUGGAUUGGAUCAAAUCAAACAAAUGCUUCUUUUGACUUUUUGGCAUAGGUGAAGCUGAACUAACUAAGCUAUGUCUAUCCAUAAAUUUGAGUAAGUAACUAAGAUAUAUAUGAACCAUGUCCCCAAAUUAAAAGGAUAUCACACUAGUAAUCAUUUUAGUUUAUCUCAAUUUUCAUGUUCAUUGAUGUAAUUUCAUUUUUCUUAACACAAACUAAAACUUUUUCGACUCAUAUUUUUAAGGGGGCAUAGAAGUGAAGAAGAAAUCGAAAAUGAAAUCAAAACUAAUAAACUGUGAGUAAGGGUGAACGCUCUUAUUAAAUUGAGAUACAAGUUCCUUGCAUCCAAACUAGGUUUUUCAAAAUGGACAGGGAUCCUCUCCGGAUCUCUUCCAUCAAAUCUACCAAUUCGGACCUUUAAAAUUUAAUCAAACGGCUAAAAAUAGGGGUUCUUUUAAAAGUUAUAAUAACUUUAGCAGUUAGAUCAAAUUUCAACAAGCCAAAUUGGUGGAUUUGGUAGAAGGGAUUCAGAGAUGAUCCCUUUUUCUUUCAAAUUAAUGAUGACGUGGACAAGAAUGAAAAUGUCAACUCAUUUAAAGUGCAAACAAAACUAAACUCCAAGGGUAAAAUUAAAUGAAAAAAAUUAUAGGGACAAAAAUAAAAUCCAAAUAAUUACAGGGACUAUUAGUGCAAAUUCCUUUUUAUCAACUCAGUAAUCCAUUUGGGUGCGUUUGUUGCCCCGGACUAUCUCGGACUGGACUAACUUUAGGGACUAAGCUGGACUGGCUUGGCUUGGACUAAGCAGGAUAAGAAUAGUGAAGUGUUUGGUACAGUAUUGGACUAAACUAUAGACUAAAAUAUUUUAGGACUCAAAUCGUUUUUUUUUUUCAUUUUUAAUCCACACUUACUUAACAAAAGAAAAACUAAAAACUCAGUUUCAAAAAAAAAAAAAAAACUAAAAACUAAAAACUAAUAAAAAAAUAAAUAAUAAAAGAUCAAAUCCAGUAGAACACCACCGUUUUAUCCUCUCUCCUCCAAAAUUGACGAAACCGGAAUUUGACAAUUUGUUCCAUCGUCUUCAAUCUUCAUCUGGGCAGUGCUCUUUCAGCCCUCCCAUGCGCCGACCCACUCACCCAUCAGAAAUAGGACACAAUUGUCAAGCUACCAAGGCCGAGCUUCAACAAGAGCUUUGAAAAUUUUUAUCGGAAUUUCUUGACUGCAUCCAAUGGGCACAACAUCAGCAUGGAAAAAAAGGGACAGCCAGAUGGUUCUUCUUCAAUUCAAGAGAAAUAAUUAUCAUUUUUUAAGGCAAAUUGACCAAGUUCAUGAGCAGCUCUAAUUACCAAGUUCAUCCCCCAAUUCCCAUAUUGAUCCGAGAGAGAAAGGAGACUUGUUCUGGAAGCUCACCAGAGGAUCAAUAGCUUUGACGAAGAACAACGGUUCGCUCCCACCAAUUCACGCAAGGAGACGGCGAGGGAAGCAGCGUAUUGAGGUUCUUAGCAAUCCCAUGCUUUUGGGUCGGACUAAUUAGGACGACUUAACGAGGCUGGUAGUCCAUGCGAGUCCGGGCUUGUCCCAUUUAACUUAGUCCAUAACAAUGCCAAACGUGGGUUAUUAAUCUUAGCUAGUCCAAUCCUAGCUAAGAAGGUCAAACAAACGAGCCCUUAAGUUUAAACCACCGCCCAAUCUCAUCUCAGAAACCCUUCUUCGACCAACACAAAAAUCUCAGAAACCCUAACGCUGCCAAUCAGGUUCGCAUUCGAUUCUAUCCAUCCGCUAUUUUAUUUUUCCAAUUCAAUUUGUUCUUAUUUUUUGCCCGAUCGAAGGUUAGGGUUUUUCAAAAUUCGUGUUCUAAUCGCGUUCUUAGGGUAAAUUAAUCGUAAAUUAUUGCUUGUUUGAUUAAUAUUUGAUUGUUAAAUUGAAUAUUUUGAGUUCAAUCUGAUUGGGUAUCGACAGGAAUAUAUGAACUCGAUUUAUUUGUUUAAUUUUAAAUUUUGUUAUUCGGAAGUUUUGAAUUUAUUUAUUUAUUUUGGUACCCUGUGAAAUUGGAACAGUUUGGGGUUGGAGGAGGAGGAGAUUAUCGACCAUGACGUCUCUGAAGGAGCUGAUUCCGCCGCCGGCGGCAACCACAACGACUUAUUACGACCACUCGAACGAUCCGUGGUUCAAGCAGCGGUUCAGUUCUGCCGAGGCAGAAAGAUCUGCAGCUGUCGUUAAACCUAAUCCUGUGCCUCAGUACUUGAAACGUCAAGGCUUUGUUCCUAGGAAGGUGGAGGAUUUCGGGGAAGGCGGUGCUUUCCCGGAGAUUCACAUUGCUCAGUACCCUCUUGGCAUGGGCAGGGACAAGUUGUCGAAACCCGGGACGAAGAUUCUUCCAGUUUCGGUUGAUGCGAAUGGGGAGAUUGCGUAUGAUGCUAUUGUUAAGCAGAAUGAGAACUCGAGAAAGAUUGUGUAUUCUCAGCAUAAGGAUAUUGUGCCAAAAAUUUUGAAGGAUGCGGAAGAGGAGAUGGAAGAGGAUGAGGAUGAGGAGGAGCAGAAGGUGAUUGAAGAAACGACGGCAGAAACAAAAGCUGCGCUUGAGAAGAUUGUGAAUGUGAGAUUGAGCGCUGCACAGCCGAAAAAUGUGGCCAAGCAGUCGUCAGAAUCGCAAUAUAUCAAGUAUAAACCGUCACAGAAAUCGGAGGCAUUUAAUUCUGGUGCCAAGGAGAGGAUUAUCAUGAUGAACGAGAUGCCUGUGGAUCCACUUGAGCCUCCGAAGUUCAAGCAUAAGCGUGUUCCGAGGGCUUCUGGAUCCCCACCUGUCCCGGUCAUGCAUUCCCCUCCUCGGCCGGUGACUGUGAAAGACCAGCAGGAUUGGAAGAUUCCACCUUGUAUUUCAAACUGGAAGAACCCAAAAGGGUAUACAAUUCCAUUGGACAAACGUCUUGCAGCUGAUGGGAGAGGCCUUCAAGAUGUUCAGAUUAAUGAUAAUUUUGCAAAGCUCUCUGAGUCUUUGUAUGUUGCGGAGCAGAAGGCUAGAGAGGCAGUUGCUAUGAGAUCUAAAGUUCAGAAGGAAAUGUUGAUGAAGGAGAAAGAAAAGAAAGAGCAGGAGUUGAGGGCAUUAGCGCAGAAAGCGCGUUCUGAGAGAACAGGUGCUGCGCCCCCUGCAGCUGUUCCAAUGGCUUCUGACAGAACAGCCAUGGAUACUGAUAUGAGAGGGGAUUAUGGGCGUCCAACAAGGGAAAAGGAAAUGGAUUAUCCAAAGGGGACAAGAGAAAAGGAAGAAGAGAGGAUUGGGAGGGACAAGAUCCGCGAAGAGCGGCGCAAAGAGAGAGAAAGGGAGAGAAGGUUGGAGGCCAAAGAUGUAGCAGUGGGGAAGAAAAGUAAAAUUACGAGAGAUAGAGAUCGUGAUAUUAGCGAGAAAGUUGCUCUUGGCAUGGCUUCGGCGGGAGCAGGCAAAGGGGGAGAGGUUAUGUAUGAUCAGAGGCUAUUCAACCAGGAGAAAGGAAUGGACUCCGGGUUUGCCACUGAUGACCAGUACAAUGUUUACGACAAAGGCUUGUUUACUGCUCAGCCGACACUCUCAACUCUAUACAGGCCUAAAAAGGAUGUUGAUGGUGAAAUGUAUGGCGGUGCUGAUGAGCAGUUGGAUAAGAUUAUGAAGACUGAUCGCUUCAAACCCGACAGAGGAUUUGGAGGAGCUGCUGAGAGGGCAGGGCCAAGAGAUAGACCAGUCGAGUUUGAGAAGGAUGCUGUGGAAGAAGCUGAUCCAUUUGGUCUUGACCAGUUCUUGACAGAGGUGAAGAAGGGCGGCAAGAAAGCGCUUGAUAAGGUUGGAACAGGAGGAACAAUGAGAGCAAGUGGCGGCUCUUCCAUGCGAGAUGCCUAUGAAGGCGGCUCCAGCAGAACUCGUAUUGGCUUUGAAAGGGGUCGCUAAGCUGUUCGGAACUGCAAGUCUUUAAAUUUACGUAUCUAUUUUGGUCUGGAAAGUUAUGAAUGUGGCUCUUUAGUUCUUGAAAGCAAUUGGCUGCCUAUGUUUGUGGAGAUAAACGUUCAUACUUCAAAUUGUAAGAUGUUUUUACAAUUUUCUUUGAUGCAGUUUUUGGUUACCAUCCCUACUUUAUGUGACUUGUGCAAAAUUUCGUUCGAUCUCUUUGGAAUAUUUCAUAGUUAUUGCAUCAUCCCGGAGUUCUGAUUCCGAAAAAGUCAUCAUGCACUCUUCGGGUUGCUUUAUAAGGUAAAGAACAUUUGAUAGAACGUUGCUAAUACACAACGUGCAACGUACGAGUGUGCACGGAUAACACAUCAACAAUGAAAUGGCAAUGCGAAGAGAUGUUUGGUGUGCCGAGGACGCUUGUUGUAUCGGACCGUGUUGUCGAUACACUAAAAAUAUCUCGGCGAUGUGGAGGUCGAUGGAGAAGUAAAUCUAGUAUUACAUCUGUAAGUUUAAAGCACCUUCUCGGCAUCCAGAAAUGAUGCAAUCAAAAAGUCAUGUACUAAGGAUUGAUAAAUGAUAGAUUCAACAUUACACACAUAAAUUAGAAGGAUUAAAAGGAAAAGAAGUAAGAGGAGGGUGGUUUAAAUAACUUCAGAAAACAAUACGGAAAAUUCGUUUUAAACAACUUUCGAGUGAGUUCUUGAGCCAUCCAUGAUAUAGAAAUCUAUCGCUAUUUUGCGGAGUCUCUUUUCAAAUUCGGCACUCUGGCGCUCCGGAAGUAGCCUUCCGAGCAACAGUUUACCUGCAAACAACAUCCAUGAAAACUCGAACAUUACAAAUAAGUUCAUUUUAAGGAGGCACUGCCAUAACCACUGGGACAUAGUCGAGAAAGAAUACCUACAUUGUAAUUUUGUAUUUGCGGUGGCGCUCCAUGAAAAUUAUGCUGAGAGAGCUGAAGCCAUGAAUGCUUUUAUGCAAACAUAUGAGAAUCAAUUUGCUCGAUAUUUGGGAAGAUUUGUCUCAAGGUAGUAGCAUAGUUUGGAGACUUUGCCUGCAAUACGAGAUGCAUGACCAAAUAUAAAUAAUUUUAAAAGCAUAUGAAACACAUUUAUCAACAAACCAAACAAAGCAUAUCAACACAGAAAGGAAUGCAGAACCAAUUAUAUAUUUAUGUACAUUGUCGUUAUCUGUUCGACAGUCUUCUUUGUUACUUGAAAUUAGUUCAUAGACACAUAGUAUGGUUUGCCUUCAUGAUAACCCUAAAGGAUGUAAACAUGUAAUAUAUAUCCAGACCUACGAAAUCUUGCAACCACUAUUCUUCCUUUUUCUCUAACGGACUCUGCACUUUCAACAAACAUGUAUGUAUAUCAGAAUAUUGCUGCAGCUGGUAGUACGUUUCGCCACUAUAUUUAUUUGACCAAAGCAUUAGACUUGCAUGAACUCUCGUACCACUUGGCAUUUAUCAACACGGUAAUUUUAAACUUCCUUAAACGGAAUCUAAGCAUGUUAAAUGAAUACAACAGUAAAACUUAAAAUAUAGUACGUUUGCAGGUUACAGAUAAACAUACACAUGGGUUUUUUUCGAGAUAGAUGGUAGUGAGCUUCUCUCUUGAACCAGCAAGAACCUCGGCAAAGCCUUCAAGUGACUCUAUGCUGUUGUCAUUAAGCCAUAGAUCUUCUAACCUAUAGCACAAGAUUCCCAUAAGAAUAUAGAACCGACAAGACCAACAUCAAACCCAAUAGCGAGAAAGAGGUCUAAUACAUACAUUGUUAGGCUUUCUAUACCCUCCACCGAUGUUAGCUUAUUAUUCGAUACAUCCAGGACACGUAGGUUGACUAAUGUUGAGAGGCCUUCCAUUUUUGAAAUACCAUUAUGGCUCAAGUACAACUCCUCUAGAGCAACGCACUCCUGCAAAAGGUAGAACGAUAUAAAGUUUCAAUAUUUAUACAACAAAUGCAUUUGAGAUUUCCGCCUCACACAAAUCGUGGUGGCAAAUCACUUACCUCAAAUCCCGUCAUUGAAGUUAACCGAUUGCUUUGCAAGCUCAGCUUCUUGAUGCAUUUCAACCCACACAAAUUCACCACCUUAAUCCGAUUCCGCCCCAGCCACAGCUCCUGCAAUUUUGUCAAGGUCUGCAAAUUCUCCAUCACCUGAUUUGCAUUUCAUCAUGCAAUCAGAACAAGCCGGAUGCUAGGUUUGCUACAUUAUCAAUAAUUUCCAUGUACAUAAUCUCAAACGCUCAAUAGAACUAACCCGCAAUCGAUUCGAACCGAGCUCGAGAAUCAGAAGCUCGUGGAGGUGCUCAAUUUCUUCAAUCUUGGUGACUUCAUUUUUAGACACGUACAGCUCCUUGAGGGUACUGGUGACCUUGGCCAAUCCAUGUAACAAUGUAAUCUCGUUGAACGAAACGUCGAAAACCAGAAGCUUCGUGAAUAUGCUGACAUCAGGUAUUUUCCCGAGCUUAUUAUCCCUCAGCACCAACUCCUGCAUCCCUCAAAACUGUUAAUUUUCCCGGGAACCAAACAGGCAGUCAAGAAAAUCACAUUCAAUCUUAUUUUCCCGGAAACCAAACAAAUCACCGAGAAAAUCACAUUUAAUUUAUUUUCCCGGGAACCAGACAAACCGCCGAGAAAAACACAUUUAACUUUUUUUAUUUACCUCGAGACCGGAGAGGGCGUCCCAGCCGGAGAUCGGUUCGACGGCGGCGUCUUCGAUGAGGUUCUGACGGAGAGAGAGCUUUUUGAGGUUGGAGAGGGUCGCAAUCCGAGGGUCCAAACCGGUGAGGCGGUUCGCCGUCAGGUCUAACUCUGUUAGACUCGGCGGUAACUCGACCGAGUCGAGGUCGUGGAGCUGGAAGCUGGUGAGAUCGAGGACCGUCGAGGACGGAUCGUCGUCCGCCGUCUGAUCAUCGUGAUCUACGGGAUUCUGACCCGGCGGUGGCGCUUCAGUCUGGUCGGCCAUUGAAGCGAACGGUAGACGCUAGCAUACGUGUUGCGUUUUAUUUUCGUUGGUUUUUAUUUCCCAGGUAUUUAUAUUUUAUUUUAUUUUUGUUGUUUUUGCUUCGCAGCCGGAAAGUUUUGGGCCCCUCAUAUGGGCCGGCCCAAUCGUAAAUUGUUGAGUCAUGUUUAACUAAUAAAUACAUCACUUGAUUCCUUGACGAUGACUUUAGAAUUUAUCUAGUUGAAAUUUAUUGGUAUAAUUAUUAGAAUUAUUCUAAUUAUGGUAUUAUCUUGUGUUUGCUAGCUCAUGAAACUAUAUUAAUUUUAAACUUCUUUUAUCUUUAUUAACAUAUACAAAAUAAGUGGUGACUUGACUUAGUGGUUAGGGUCUUAUUUUUUAACCUAUUGAUUUGGGUCUAAACUAUCUCGUCAUUUUAGUAUAGAAAAUCGUUUAUGCUAUAACAAAAAAAGGAAUAUGAUUCUCUAUAGAUUGUUUUUAUUCGGAUCUUCCGGAUCCUUCACUAUGUCAGUUCAAUCGAAAAUCAAACGAUCAAGAAAACGUUCAAACGACCUUGACGCCAUUAGAAUGAGAAGAAGCUACGAUGACAACAAAAGCUUUAGGACCUUUGCCUCGAGAUCCGCAACAAUGGUGUUAAUGGUAAAAGGGUUGAGAGGGGCGCAUACGUCAAAGAAAACGAUGGCAUUGUCGAGAUUGUAGAUGCGAUUGAUGGCGCCUUGUUCGAGGAAUGAGAAGAAGUUGUGAUGGCUUCGAGGCCUUGUUCCAGGCAAGGGAUGCAAGCAAUCUUGAAGGAUCUAGAUGGAAAGGAUUCGGAGAUGAUCAUUUUCCUAAAAAGAGCUAUAAAAUUAUUUUUUCUUGACCGUUACAAGAUUAUCUCUCUUUUUCAUUAUUUAUUUUUUGGGACGUAUUUUGAAAUCAAGAAAAAAGAGAAGGAAAAAUAAAAUAAAAAGGAAGACAAUGUCGCCUGACGCGUGAUUUGAAAUGAGGAGACCACACGUGCCGCCCUGAUUUGAACCCAAAACCAAAACCCCCCUCUCUCUUCUCUCUCUCUCCUCCCAAUCAGAGCAAGCAGCCAUGGAAGCGAUACUUCGAGACUGUGUCCAGCACAGUCUCCGUGAUUUCAUGCACCGGAACGCCAUUUUCGUAUGCGAACGCCUCUGUGCCGAGUUCCCCUCCGAGGUACCUCUUAUCCACCUACUCUUUCACUCUCUUUCUUUUCAUCGCCUGCUUGUUUGGUUGCCGAGAAAAUCCCAUGAAAGAAAGAGAAAAUGUGAGAUAUGCCGUAUUCGGAAUGAAAUUUCUUCUUUUUCUUGUGUUUGGGGGACAUUACCGCUUCUAUUAUGUUGAUCGACGCUUCGUGUUUAGUUUACCAGUAAUUUGUGAAGAUUUUACUUAUGCCCGAGUAAUUUAGUGUUUUGUAAUUUGAGAACUAGGGUUUUGUCGCUUUAGAAUCUUUAGGGGUUCACAUUUUUUUUUCUGGAACAAAAUGCUUUCUUUUAAGGUUAAUUAUUUACUUUCAGUUUUUUUAUGAGCUUUGAAUUAUUGGAGCUCUGGACUGCAAAGUGUUUGUGCUAGCUCUUUGUGAAUGAAGUAUAAAGGUGUGGGCUUUUAGAUAAUGGGAUUUCUAAAUGGGGUUUACUUACUACAUUGGUGCUAUUUUUGUUAGCAUUAAUCGGAUAGGUUAUGGGAUUUUCAGAAGUUGAUACGAAAUUUGUUAUAUGGCAGACGAAUUUACAGUUGUUAGCUGGCUGUUACUUGCAAAGCAACCAAGCUUAUGCUGUAUAUCAUAUUUUAAAGGGUAAGCAAGUCAUAUUAAGUACUCCCCUUUUUUCAUUGUGGGUUUUCAUUGCGAAUUUAUUAUUUCCAUCAUAGUAUUUCUCAUCCACAUGGACCUCUUUUCUUUUUUUCUGAUGAUUUAUGAAGGAACACAAGUGGCUCAAUGCCGCUACUUGUUUGCACUAUCAUGCUUUCAGAUGGAUCUUCUAAGUGAAGCAGAAGCAGCGUUAUGUCCUGCUAAUGAGCGUGGUGCUGAGGUAUUGAACUCUAUUUUAUUUGGAGCAUGAUUCUAAAGUAAUACUUCAUAGUUACUUUUUCAAGUCUUGCUUGCUAAAACAUUUUUCAUUGUUUUCUACAUAAUAGGAGUUGAAAUGAAUGGCAUUAACCAUUUAGACAUUAUGUAAUUUCUGCUAAGUGUUCCAAAUGUUGAUAUUGGUAUUCAGUUUUCAGCCUGUUCAUGUGGUUUCUAACAGCAGAUGACUUGCUUAUUAUUCCUUUGGCAGGUUCCAAAUGGCGCAGCUGGUCAUUACCUUUUAGGGCUUAUAUACAGGUUUGUCUCCUGUCUUCUGGAGCUUCUUUGUAUGCAUUACCUUUGUUACAGGGAUACUUUAUAAGUUUCUUGAAAAGGAUUUGUUUGUGAAGAUGGUUAAAAUUGAUGUAAUCAAUCUAUUUUAUCAGGCUGAACAAAAAAACAUACACUCAUUUAAGAUGUGAAUUCUAGUAGUAAUGUUGUUGUUCCUCCAAGAAAUAUCUUUUGGGGUCUUUAGGUUUGAAUCUUCUUCCUUCUAGUAGGGUUAGGUGAACUAUUGAUGGUGCUUGUGAAAUUCUUCUGAUUGGCAAAGUGUCCUCUUCUGAACUGAUCCCUUUGUCUCUCUGCUUGCAUGUUUCUUGGGAUAGAGGAUUUUGUUGUGCUAUAUUAAUUUAGGUAUGCUACCUUUUAGUUGAAUUUGUAGCGUCUUGCAACUACUUAAGUAUCUCUUUCCGUACUUUACAGUAAUUGUAUGCUGGAUUGUAUGAUUUUAUUGUACCUCUCAUGAUUUUAUUGUUUAUAAUUGGUAUUGUUCUAGGUAUACUGACAGAAGGAAAAGUGCCAUCCAUCACUUUAAGCAGGCUUUGACUAUUGAUCCUUGUAUGUGGACUGCUUACGAAGAGCUGUGCAUAUUAGGUCCGUACAGUGUUACACACAUCAAAGUAAUAGUGUAGGCAGAUUAGAGCCUUUUGUUCUAUAUGAAUGUACUUUUAGAGUGGCCCCCAUGUCCACAAUUUUACUUUUGGACGUUUUUUUAUUGAUAUGGCAUCUUGUGAAAAUAAUAUAGUUUUUUUGCAACUGGUUAAUUAAUGGUUUUACUAAAUCGAAAAUUCUGUGUUGAUUAUUUAUGGCGAUUUGGUGCCUUCAGAUGCAUAUGUUGAGGCUUUGUAUUUUCCGUUGUUUCAGGUGCUGCUGAAGAAGCAGCUGUAGUUUUUGGUGAAGCUGCCGUUCUUUCCAUACAAAAACAGUAUCUACAUCAUGGAUUAGCUUCUCAAAGUUUACUUACCCUGAAUGAGGACUGCAAUUUAGUUUCUGGCAGGAAUUUUAGCUCUGAAGAUGUUGGCCAGAGACAAUUGAAACAUGUUCAAGGAAAUAAUACAAGAGAUUUGUCUGGAAAUUCUCAUGUUAGUUUGGGCGGAGUGUCUGGUCAUCCUGUAAAUGGCACUUCUGGUUCAUCUUUCUUUAACACUCCUUCCCCAAUGCCCAUGCAGGUAUAUAUAAGUUGUCCCCUCCAAUUUUUCUCUAGCAGUCCUGCAUUUAUUGCUGUAUCUCUGUCCUUUCUACCAGUGCUUACUCUUAUCUUACUAUUGGUAUCAAAUGAUUUAAGGUCUGUUAUGGCUUUGUAACUAUUGUAACUAUGUGUCUGGACCACUUCAGGUAGGUUUUGUCUUGAAAUGAAGUAUUUGGUUUCUUUACUGAUAUGUUUGGUCUUUUUGAAAUUAGACCAAUUUAUGUAGGAUAAGUGCAAAUAUUGCCUACAAUUGGAUAUGCCAGGCUUUAGGAUUUGGAAAGUUGUGGUCGAAAGACAUAAGGCUGUAGGAGAAGAGGUUUAGGAUUUGUAAAUCAAAGUAUGGUUUGAUUAUGGGUCAAAAGGAGGGAAGGAGGGGCUGAUUUGAGGAAACCUGGUUGCUGAAAUUUCGCACAGCAGGCAGCUAAGGUUCCCAAUUAAGACACCUACCCAAUAAGCACAUUGCUAACCAAGGUUCAUAUAAAAAUCAUUUGACUCCUUAAAAAUCUCCGAAAGCCUUAAAGCAAAGAUAAUUUGAAGAAUAUAAACUUAUGGGAAUCUGGUACUGCAGGCUACUGUUAUGUAUAAACACCCACACCUCUAAAAUUAGAGUAAAUUGUACAAAUGGUCCCUCAACUUUAAUCAAAUUGGAGCAAUGGUCCCUCAACUAAAAAGCCAUUACCAUUGGUCCCUCAACUUAUCAAAAUGUGUAGUUAUAGUCAUUUUCAUCAAUUUUAUCAAAAUUUUGUCAAAAUAAGCUAUGUUGGAAUGACCAUUUAUAUAACUAGGGUCCCUUAACUCAUCAAAGUGUAUAAUUAUGGUUCUUUUCGUCAACUAUGUCAAAAAAUUUGUCAAAACGAGUUAUAUUGGAAGGACCAUUGCUACAAUUGGAUUAAAGUUAAAGGACCAUUUCUCCACUUGAAUUAAAGUUCAGGGACCAAUGGUAAUGGAUUUUUAGUUGAGGGACCAUAGCUGCACGUUUUGAUAAGUUGAGGGACCAAAGGUAAUGGAUUUUUAGUUGAGGGACCAUUGCUCCAAUUUGAUUAAAGUUGAGGGACCAUUUGUACAAUUUUCUCCUAAAAUUAAGGACCAAAUCUAAAACAAAUUCAAUGCUAGAGUCUUUAGGACAUAAUCACUCAAUAUAUACGAUUUAGUUGUCAUCUCAUGUUGCUUGUGGGUACCUGAAAUAAAACAUUGAAACUUAUAUUUGUCAAAAUAAAAAUAUGAAAUUCUUGUAUCAUCACUGAUCUGUCCCUGUUUGCAGUUGUCAGGUGUUGCUCCACCAGCUCUCUGUAGAAUUGGCCAGCCAAAUGGCCCAAACCUGAGCACAGGUACCGAUAGCUCUCUGAAGUCAAAUGUGAGCUCUACAAUUCAAGCCCCCAGAAGAAAGUUUGUUGAUGAAGGAAAACUCCGCAAGGUACAGGCUCCACUUAUUCAUAAUUCAAAUAAUUUUUUUUUUCCAUUGAUACAAUUCUUAAUGUCACUGAUUUCGUACUUUUCCUUGCUAUACCUUAACUAUUCGAGUACAUGUAAUGUUUUGGUAUUGUUUGAAUUUCAUGUGAGUCUAUGCUUUCUUGUUUUUGUGGUUUAAUGUAGGCUUACAAUGAGAUUAUUUAUUUGGUAGUGAUGUUGCCUUUAGCACCUUAUUUGAGUAAUUAGUUAUAAAUGGGUUUUCUUGUCUCUGUAUAUUUCCUGGUGACAUUUUCAUGUUGUUUAUGGAAUGUUGAGGUCAAUGACUUCUUACAAUUAUUUGUCUUCCCUUUGCAGAUUUCAAGCAGGUUGUCUUUUGAUUCUGGCAACCGGCGGAGCAAUAGACUUGCUGCUGAAGCGGGGGCCAACACUAAUGUCAGUGCCUCAGUGACAGCCGGAAAUGGAACUACCAAUUCAUCUAAAUAUCUUGGAAGUUCCAAGCUGAGCUCUGUUGCACGUUCCUUCGCAAAUCGUAAGGGGCAGCCAUGGCCCAAUGAAAAUGUUGAUGAAGGUGAUGCAUCUUCUCAUUUCUGAGUCAUUUGGUGAACUAUACUACCAUAUAUAGAGAUUAGCAGGCACAAGAAGCCAUUUUAUCACCAAUAUACUUAAUUUCUUCUAUUAAUAGAGAAACGACAAAUUGCAUUAUAGUGAUUUAAGUCUUUUCACUUCCUUUGCUCAUAUAAGUUUAAUAGCGUUUCCUGGAUAAUAUAAGUACAAACUUUCCGUUCAAGGAUACUCUUGAUUCUUCUACGCAUGUUACGUCCAAUGGAUUUUUUGCUAAUAGUUGUGAUUUCCAAACUUGGGUCCUAUUUAGGAAUGCGCAAUGAGACAUAUGAUGAUUCCCGUUCAACAACUGUGACAGUAGCUUCUGGUUUUACUCCUAGUGAUACUAGAUAUCUUGAACAAGAAGGAGCAACCUUGUCAAGUACUGGUGGUAUUAUCAAUGUUUCAAGAGUUGCCACUGGUGCUUCAGAAAUAUUGAGUCUUUUGAGAACCCUUGGGGAGGGCUAUAGACUUUCCUGCAUGUACAGAUGUCAGGUACUACUUGGUUACUGUGGAAUAAAAUGAAUUAAUAUUUUUUUCCUAGGUUGAGGUUGUAUUUUGUUAUCUAAUAUUGUCUCUGUUGUGCAGGAUGCACUCAAUGUCUAUCUCAAACUUCCAUACAAGCAUUACAAUACAGGAUGGGUGCUUUCCCAGGUAGUUUUUUUUUAUAGAAAACUUGGCUGUAUUUCUAUAUAGUCUCCUGCUGUGAUGACCUUGUACACAGCACUGGAUUCUUAAUACAGGAUUCCAUUCGCCUAUUUUCUGCUGUUGGUGGAUGUCUGUAUAAGUUAGUUAGCUAGUUUCAAAAACUAAAAGGAAAAUAAUAUCUUUCUCAUCAGAUCUGAAAAACACGGGAUUUUCUGCUAUUUGUUUGAUUUCCCACUGUCAUCAGAACUUAAUUAAUUUGUCUUGUCAUACGUUUAUCUCAUCUUUAGACUUAUUUCAUUCGCUCUUUUGUUACACUUCAUAUAGUCUACCAUGAUUUUUUGAUACCAGAUGAGUGGUACGAUUUGUCAUAGUCUUCCAUGAUUUUUCUAUACCUAAGCCUAUGUUUUUCAAUAAUUUCAUUUUCACCCACACCAACUCAAAUCCCUUGCAGCUGCUCCUUUGAAUGAUUUUUGCCCUUACAUAUUAUAAUACUUGCAUAUCAUUGACUAUUUUGGCAUUCUUCAAUUGCAGGUUGGAAAAGCUUAUUGUGAAUUGAUAGACUAUUCAGAAGCUGAUCGGGCCUUCAGUCUUGCCCGUCAGGCAUCACCUUACAGUUUAGAAGGGAUGGAUAUGUAUUCUACAGUUCUUUAUGUGAGUCCCCAAAUUGAUGUAGCUCAAAAACCUUUGAAAAAAAAAUUGUUUUGUCUUAUGACUUGGAUAAAAAAAGUGUUGUAGUUUCCAGAGGAUGCUUUCGUUAUAUGUUAGAUGGUCAGUUGGGUUGCUCUCCUGUCCAGCUAAUCCUUCUGAAAUCAAGCUAGCCACUAAUUUUUCAUUGUUGUGUGGCUUAGCUUUUCUCUUUACUUUACUGUUAAUAAUUGCUGUGCACUGAGAGUAUUCUUACUCUUUGCAGCAUUUGAAGGAAGAUAUGAAGUUAAGUUACCUGGCUCAAGAACUGAUAUCAACGGACCGCUUAGCUCCUCAGUCUUGGUAGCUAUAUCAUAAUUUUGCGAAAUAAUACAGCAUUCAAAUCUCAAUUUUCUUUUUAGUAUCUCUUGUCAGUCAUAAAGACUUAUUUCUUUCUUAUCGAAUGGUAUUGCAGGGUUGCAAUGGGAAAUUGCUAUAGCUUGCAGAAAGACCAUGAAACUGCUCUGAAAAAUUUUCAGCGAGCUGUUCAACUUAAUCCAAGAUUCACAUAUGCGCAUACCCUUUGUGGUCAUGAGUAUGGACAAGACUUUUCCUUCCCUUCAUCCUUUAAUUCAUGAAAUUGAAGUUCCUUGUAAUUUGAUGUUUAGUUCCGACCUUGUAUCAGAUAGUUAUGUUGUCAUCGAAUUAUCUAUCUGCAGAUAUGUAGCUCUAGAGGAUUUUGAGAAUGGAAUAAAGAGUUAUCAGAACGCACUUCGUAUUGAUGCAAGGCAUUAUAACGCCUGGUAUGGCCUUGGAAUGGUAUAUCAUCGCCAAGAGAAGUUUGAGUUCUCGGAGCAUCACUUCCGGACGGCUUUCCAAAUCAAUUCACGUUCUUCUGUUAUUAUGACUUAUCUUGCCUCAGCAUUGCAUGCUUUAAAGGUUACAUUCGCAUAUCCAUUCUAACUUUACGGCCUAGAAAUCUUUUUAUUUACGAAAUGGUUCUUAUUUUUUUUAUUCAAUUGUCUGAAAUGUGUUUUAGCCGACCCCACUUAGUGGGAAAAGGCUUUGUUGUUGUUGUUGUUUUUGUCUGAAAUGUGUUUGUAUCAUAUGACAGCGAAGCGAAGAAGCUCUAGUGAUGAUGGAGAAGGCUAUUAGGGCGGACAAGAAGAAUCCACUUCCAAUGUAUCAUAAGGCUAGUAUACUAAUGAGUUUAGAAAAGUUCGAUGAAGCUUUAGCGGUCUUAGAGGAGGUUAAAGAAUACUCUCCUCGCGAAAGUAGUGUCUACGCUUUGAUGGGUAAGAUCUAUAAGCGGCGUAACAUGCAUGAGAAAGCAAUGCUUCAUUUUGGUUAUGCAUUGGAUUUGAAACCAUCGGCAACUGAUGUCGCUACCAUUAAGGUGAUUUGAGCAUAUUUCUUACUCUUUAUUAACACCCCAUAUCAUAUGUGCUUUGAUCGCAACACAAGCGUAGCUUUCAUUUGCAUCUUACUCCAAGGCUCAUCUCUUGAUUUUCCAACAGGCUGACAUUGAGAAGUUACAUGUACCUGAUGAACUAGACGAUGAGUAGGUCCAUCGAGUCGGAAUUCAGUAAAAGAGAACAUCGUGCAAGUUAUCUGGCUGAAAAAGACUCUGCCCGGAGUAGCAGUCUGCUUGUGCUUUCGAAGGCGUAUGAAUGGCCUAGUUCGUGAGGCUCGCCUGCUCAUUCGGGCACCCGCAUCCAAUCUGCAUACUGUAGAACCUGACCUCAGUUUUGUAGGUGAUUCACGUACUGGUAGAGAACAAGAUGUGACGCAAGUACGGAUAGUUGUAUCAUGACGUUGAAAAACUACUUGUAUCAUCAUCUUUAACCCCUAAUGUUUAUGAUUGUAAUCUACCUUGCUCUUUCACCAAAAUUCUAAAAAUCCAUACGUGAUCUUCCCGUCAAUGAAUCUGAAUAGUCGAAUUUACCCGAAUUCAAAACUAGGGUUCUUUUGUUUAUUUUAGGGACACCUUGUGGUGUUCACUCUAUAACUUUUUUCAACGAUCAAAACCGUUUAUAUUUAGUUCAUCAUUCAUAGAUCAUCACUCCAAAAAAUUAGGUAAAUCCAAAUCCACCUUGAAACAAGGGUAACUACUUUUAACGAUUGGAGCUACAAGUCCGACAACUUAUCAACCUUACAAGAUUUUAUUGCCGGUUUUAUUGCAGGGUUAUACAAUAAACACCUUAACAGAGACUAAUAAAUCACUUUUGUGUUUCCAAUUAUUCAACUUGGAGCUGGAGAGAGGCUUCCAUUCUGCUAGCCAUGACUUGCAAGCCAGUGCCAAUAAACAGGUCCAGAUCCUCCAGCCUCCAUCCCUCCACUGGUUCAACUUCAUACUUCCACACAAUCGUACACCCGGCGUCCUUCGGCACCACUUGAACGGUCGAAAUGUACGAGUUAAACCCAACAUUCCCAUCUAUGAUAGAGUAACUAUAUGUCAUAUUUGCUGGGUCAAUAGUCAGCAGCUUCUGCUUAGUCCAGUUCACCUUCUCUUGGUCUUGGUUCUGGUCACUUUUAGGAUCAACCGGAGUCUUGAACCCAGCACAGAACCGCACGCACCCAGCUACCCCCGAUGUGCCUUCAACACCAUGGCAAGUUGUGAGAGUUGGGAACCACUCGUGCAGGCCAAAGAAGUCCUCCAAAAGAGGCCAAAUUUGCUCUGCUUUGGGGCCUUUUAGCUCUGCACUUGCCUUGCCUUCCCAUUUCAAUUGUUUCUCAAGUGCCAUUUGGUUUUCAGGACAAGAAAGCUAAUAACAAAUGGAUGCUUUGAAGAAUGUUUUUCUCAAUAGGCUUUAUAUAGAGGCUUCAUCUGUACGGGAACUGUUAUAUGCACUUCAUGUUGCACCCGUUCCUUCUAAUAAAAACACUUGGAAGAAUUACGUGUGAACAAUUGUAGAAUAACUUUCUUCAAGUGUCAACCACCGCUCUCUAUAUGCAUAUAAUUUCUAAAAUAUGAACUUAUGGUCAUGAGAUCUUGGUGAGAUAAAGCAAGUUCAAUAAGACGAGAGAUACUCUCUUGUCACCAAUUCACCACGUGACAAGCGUUUAUUGGACGGGUGAUGCCACUAGAAGAAGAAAUAUAAAAGAGAGAGAGAGAGAGAGAGAGAAAGAGAGAGAGAGAGAAUUUGUCCAAUGGACAAAGCACUCGUGUACCAUGAAUUUGGAGAAGAUAAGGACUGCUCAACGCCCAACAACUUUAAUCAGCACCACACGUCAGAGAUAUUGAGUUAGAUUUCCUCAAAUUUAUGUGGUGGAAUUUGAAGAUUCUCCCUCCUUUCCGAGGUAUACAAGAAACUAGAAAAGGAUGCAAAACAUCACUAUCAAACCAUAUUUAACAGCCCUGCAAUAAUAUUGGGAUGCAACUUCAGUUGUAUCUCAAGCCAAUCAUACAUUGUCACGUAUACGUAAAUGGCCUGGGAUGCCGCCACAAUAGCAUCUCGUUAUAGGCAAGUUUUUAUCCUCUUACUGAUCCCUAGUAAGUAGUGAUUGAUAGUAGGCUUCAUCUUGAUGAUGAGAUCACUGAAUCAGAAGAAUAGUAAUUGCAGAAGUAAAGGACCAGCUUGAAUGGUAAUAUUAACUGAAACCGAAACUUUAUUUCUGAAAUAGCACCGAGAAAGUAAACAUUUUAGUACGUAUGUAUGACUAUUCGACAUCAAACUAUCACCUUUCUCGGACCUAAGGCCCAGAAAAUGUCCAACGACUUGUUAGAAAACUCGAAAUUAGACUGUACAAAGUCACUCAAGAAGAAAUGUUACUAAUUCAACUCACUUUCUACCUCUAGUUUCUUCUGCUUGUGCAGAUACUUGUAAUGUUAAUGACAUAUUGUUUCGGCUAUGAAUCUGAAACGGAACUGCCUCCCUGUGUAGCCUCUUCAACGGUAUCAAUCCUUGAGGUGUCUGAACUUGUUUCCACCUUCGCUUUAAUGUCAAUGUUCGAGUCUUGUACUGAAAUUUUGCUUUUGGCUUCCAAAUCAGCACCAGUUGUUCCUUCUUUAGAUCCAACUUCUUCAUUUACCUUGUUUUCUCUGAUGUCACUUUGAUUGUUAGAACUCGAAUUCAUUUCCUGAUGUCCGGUAAUUGCGUGAUCACCGCCUGUUCCAGUCACUAUGUAUUCUAUGAGAUCAUGGCCAUCUACUGGCACGCCAUUCACAUCAUCAAAGCCAUGGACCUCUCUGUCUGCCACUCAAUUUUGGCCCUCAAGAGAGUCAUUCUUACUUUCACCACGUGUAAUGUCCUUGUAUGUAGUACUCAAUUCCAUCAAUCACUUUGGCUCCUUGUCAGUGGUACGAGAUUCCUCCAAAUCUCUUUGUCUCCUUAGCUUAGCCCCUUUCAUUUUCUUUCUCGUCGUGCUUAUCUUGUGGUAUUUGCUCCUUGUCCUCUCCUACUUCAUCAUGAUUCCCAUGUUUCGCACCAUCUUGAUCAGCGAAAAUUGCCUGCGUACCUUCGUGUCCCUCUUGGUAAUUUUCUUCAUGCGAAGAACACUUGUCGAGCCCCACCGAUUCAUCAUUUCCUUUAACUUCACCACCAGAAUUAUCAUCUUUAUUGUUCAAUUCUUUUUUCUGAAUUUCUGUUUCCUUUUCAACUUAAUUCACUUCGUUUACGUUCUGCAAAGAUUCUUCCUCAUUUUUCUCUUCAACAUUUCCAUCUUCUUUCUUUACACUUUCUUCUCCUACAUGUUUUGGAUCUUCUGGUGCAGACACACCUCCACCUUUUGACCACCCUGCACUCCCCUUACGUCCGAAAAUAUCAGAACCGCUUCGCUGGCCUUGUCCUUUGAACUUUCACUAUAGUCCUUGCCAUGUGACUGCUUCAUCUGGUAUAGCAACCAGAAGCAAACAGCCAAAAUCAAUGCAAUCUGAAUUGCAUGUUUCACCUUCAACCCUUUGGCGGGUCUCUGGUUGCGCCCGGCAAUCAUCACAACGAUAAGCAAGUCAAGGUUGCAUUUAUAAAAUAUAAAAGACCACCACCCCCCCCCCCUCCCCCCAAAAAAAGAAGAGAAAAAAAAAAAACCACCAAAAACCAGCAAUUAGGGUUUUGUUGUCAACAUCAAAAAAAGGAAAAAUCGCAUAUUAUUAUCACCAAUUAGGGUUUUGCAAAUUUCCAAUCAGAGAACUCCCCUCCCCAUCAAAUUCAGACCUUAAUAUCUUUCUUAAUUAAAUUUCCUCCUGACAAUAUACAACGAUCUACUAACUAAACCAAAAUUUAUGAACAGAAAACAGAAAAACCAGAUAACCCUCAGUUUGGUUUCCGAGAAAAUGCAGGAAAAUGAACUAAAGUUUGAAUCUAUGAGUCAACUAAGUCCAAAUCCAAGUCAAGUCCAUAAUUUUCAGGAAGCUUCCAAUAUUUCCAAAUCAAUUCACGUUCUUCUGCUAUAAUGACUUAUCUUCCCCCAGCACUGCACGCUUUAAAGGUUAUAUUCGCAUAUCCAUUCUAACUUUAUGGCCUAGAAAUCUUUUGAUUUAUGAAAUGAUUCUUAUUUUAUUAUUCAAUCGUCUGAAAUGUGUUUGUAUCAUAUGACAGAGAAGCGAAGAAGCUCUAGUGAUGAUGGAGAAGGCUAUCACGUGACAAGCGUUUAUUGGAGGGAUGAUGCCACUAGAAAAAAAAAAAGAAAAAAAAAGAGACAUUGAGUGAGAAUUGUCCAAUGAGGCAAAGCACUCGUGUAAUAUGAAUUUGGAGAAGAUAAGGACUGCUCAACGCCUAACAACUUUUAUCAGCACCACAUGUCAGAGAUAUUAAGUUAGAUUUCCUCAAAUUGAUGUGAUAGAAUUUGACGAUUCUCCCUCCUUUUCGAGGUAUAGAAGAAACUAGGAAAGGAUACAAAACAUCACUAUCAAUCCAUUUAACAGCCUUGCAAUAAUAUUGGAAUGCAACUGCAGUAGUAUCUCAGGCCAAUCAUAUAUAUUGUCACGUAUAUGUAAAUGGCCUGGGAUGCUGCCACAAUAGCAUCUCAUUAUAGGCAAGUUUUUAUCCUCUUACUGAUCCCUAGAAAGUAGUGAUUGAUGUUGGAAUUAAAUAGAAUUCAGUUUUGUUCAAGUGUUUAAGAAGGAAGAAAUCAAUAGAAAAGUGUAUGUCUAGUCUCAUAAGACAAGUGUAUGCUUUAGAUCUUUGUUUUGAAUCAAGGGCUGAGAUUGCUCUAGAUUAGCUUGUAAGGAAAUAUCCUAAGUUGAUAUUUAUUGAAAUAUCUGUGAUUACUUCACAGAUAAGAAACCUUUCACAUUUUUUCCCCGAUUCUGUUUUUCUCUGGUUCAUCUUCUUGUCUGCCUCCAGGAACCAAAACUAACUCACCAGAAUUUAUCAUGGCCUCAGAGCUUAGGUUCUGAUCAAAUUCAGGACUGGGCGUUUUGUGUGUGUGCUUCGUAUCUCUGAAAAGGAAAGGAGGAAAAACAUACCCAGAUCGUGAAAAUCUCAUAUGUUCUUACAAAGCCUCACAUGGUUACUUCGAGCAGUGGAGGAGAUCUGAGGGCUCCUAUUUUCAAUGGGAUCAACUACGAUUUUUGGUCCAUCAAGAUGAAGACCAUAUUCAAAUCACAUGAUCUCUGGAAUUUGGUGGACAAGGGUUAUGAAGCUGUAGAAACUGAAAAUGAUUCUAGCGAUGAAGAUCAACAGUCUGUGAGGAAGAUAGCAAUGAAAGUUAAUGAAACAAGAGAUGCAAAAGCUCUUGGUAUCAUUCAAGGGGCAGUGUCUGAUGAGAUCUUUCCUCGAAUCUCAAACUUUGAAACCUCCAAGACUGCAUGGGAUGUUCUUCAACAAGAAUUUCGUGGUGAUAAAAAGGUUAGGUCUGUCAAACUACAAUGUUUAAGAAGAGAUUUUGAGUACACUAGGAUGAAUGAUGGUGAAGCUCUAUCUGUUUAUUUAACAAGAUUGACUGAUAUUGUGAAUCAAAUGAAAACUCUUGGUGAAGAACUGACAAAUCAAAGAUUAGUGCAAAAGAUACUUAUUAGCUUGCCUAAAUCUUAUGAUUCCAUCGCAUCUAUUAUAGAAGAAACUAAAGACCUUGACUCCAUUGAGGUUCAAGAAGUGAUUGGUACAUUGAAAGGCUAUGAGCAGAGGUUAAAUAUGCAUUCUGAAAACUUAGCUGAAAAGGCUUUUACUAGCCUAAGUGUGACUGAGAGAGAUAGUAGUUACAGGGGUCAGGGGAGCAACUCAAAUCAAAAGAAAUUAUGGAAAGGAAAAGGGAAGAAAUGGGACAACAACCAUACUUCACAAUCAAAAUCAGAAUCUAGCAGUGAGUCUACCAAAACCAAGUGUAAAAUCUGUGACAAAUUACACUAUGGUGUUUGCUGGUUCAAGGGAAAACCCAAAUGCACCAAGUGUGACAGAUUUGGUCAUCUAGCAAAAGAUUGUAAUCCAAGAAGGAACCAAGUUGUCAACUAUGCACAUAGAGCAGAAGAAGAGGAAGUAAAUGUCUUUUAUGCUUGUAGUGUUGCAAAAACUGAAAACAAGAAAGGAAUCUGGUAUAUUGACAGUGGAUGCAGUAAUCACAUGACUGCAUAUGAAUCCUUACUGAUCAACAUUGACAGAAGCUUCAAUUGCAGAGUUAAAAUGGGGAAUGGACAACUAGUGGAAGCUACUGGAAAAGGAACUCUUGUUCUAGAGACAAAGGGUGGAAGAAGAUUCAUCAAGGAUGUAAUACUUGUACCAGGUCUUGAUGAGAAUCUCCUUAGUGUGGGACAGAUGAUUGCUCAUGGUUACUUCUUACUUUUUGGAGACAAUAUGGUGGAGAUCUUUGAUGACAGAAGCCUCCAAAACUUGGUAACACAAGUUGGCAUGACAGAAAACAAAAGCUUUCCACUUAUGCUAGAUUACAAUGAUUCAAUUGCUCUAAAAGCAAGUGUUGCAGAAAAACUCUUGGUUAUGGCAUAAGAGGUUCGGACAUCUCAACUUUCACAGUUUAAAGAGAUUGGAGAAACUACAAAUGGUGACUGGUCUUCCUGAGUUACAAGAGACUAAAGAACCGUGUGAAGGUUGCAUACUGGGGAAGCAUCACAGGGACUCUUUUGAAACUGGAAGUGCAUGGAGAGCAAGUCAACCUCUAGAACUCAUACACACAGAUGUGUGUGGUCCAAUGAAGACACCUACACUCAGUGGGAACAGAUAUUUUUCUGCUAUUCAUUGAUGACUGCACUAGGAUGGUUUGGGUAUAUCUUAUGAGAAACAAGAGUGAAGUCUUUUCAAUCUUCAAGAAAUUCAAAAUGAUGGUUGAACUUCAGAGUGGUCUCAAGAUCAAAAGACUAAGAAGCGACAGAGGUGGUGAAUUCACUUCACUUGAGUUCCAAGAAUUCUGUGAAGGAGCAGGAUUACAGAAGCAAUUGACAGUGGCCUACACACCACAACAGAAUGGUGUGGCUGAGAGGAAGAACAGGACCGUGGUUGAAAUGACCAAGUCAAUGCUCCAUGAUAAGAAAAUGCCACUUUCUUUUUGGGGUGAAGCUGUCAAUACAUCUGUGUAUCUCCUAAACAGGUGUCCAACUAAAGCACUUGAGAAGAAAACACCGUUUGAGGCAUUUAGUGGCAGAAAACCAAGUGUGAAGCACUUGAAAGUGUUCGGAUCAAUUUGCUAUGCACAGAUACCAUCUCAACUACGACACAAGCUUGAGAUCAAUAGUGUCAAGUGUGUCCUUGUAGGUUAUGGAAGCUGUGAAAAGGGCUAUAGGCUCUACAAUAUUGAGUCACGUAAAGUGAUCCUCUCAAGGGAUGUGGUGUUCAAGGAGAAUGAAGCAUGGAAUUGGGAAACCAAUAACAUAUACACUAUCUCAUUUCCACUAGCAAUGGAAGAAGCACAAGCUGAAGUGCAAAAUGUGAAUGAACCUGUUAUACAAGAUGAGAGUCAAACUGAUUUUUCAACUCCAACACAAGGAUCUCAGUCCUCUACUUCAAAUGCAGAAGGACAAGAAUUACAGGAUUCCUCCCCGGAAACAACUCCAUCGAGAAUGAAGAGUUUAAAUGAGAUAUAUGCAGUGUGUAACUAUUGUGUUGUUGAACCUGAGAGUUUUGAAGAAGCUGAGAAGGAUCAAUCCUGGCAGAAAGCAAUGAAUGAAGAAAUUGCCAUGAUUGAGAAAAACUCUACUUGGAAAUUGGUAAAUAGACCGAGAGAUAAACCUGUGAUAGGUGUGAAAUGGAUUUACAAGAUCAAACUGAAUUUGGAUGGAUCAAUACAGAAGAACAAAGCAAGAUUAGUUGCCAAGGGCUACUCACAACAACCUGGGGUAGAUUUCAAUGAAACUUUUGCCCCAGUGGCAAGGUUAGACACCAUUAGAACCUUGAUUGCUCUUGCUGCCCAAAAGGGAUGGAAACUUCACCAGUUAGAUGUCAAAUCAGCUUUUCUAAAUGGCAUUUUGGAGGAAGAAGUGUAUGUGGAUCAACCACAAGGAUUUGAAGUGCCAAAUAAAGAGGAGAAGGUCUACAAGUUAAACAAAGCACUGUAUGGACUCAAACAAGCCCCCAGGGCUUGGUACAGUGAGAUAGACUCCUAUUUCAGCAAGAGUGGAUUUAACAAAAGUCCUAGUGAAGCAACAUUAUAUACAAAAACUGGUGAGAACUCUGAGAUGCUUAUUGUGUCUAUAUAUGUUGAUGAUGUGGUCUUUACUGGUAAUUGUGAAGAAAUGAUUGAAGAAUUCAGAAGGGAAAUGAUGAGACAAUAUGAGAUGUCGGAUCUUGGCUUGUUGCAUCACUUCUUGGGAAUUGGAGUAAUACAAGAAACUACUGGGAUUUUCAUACAUCAACAGAAGUAUGCACAAUCACUGCUUGAAAGAUUCAAUCUGAAAGGAUGCAAAUCUGUGGCAACACCAUUGAUCACGAAUGAGAAACUUUGUAAAGUGGAUGGUUCUGAAUCUGCUGAUGAAUGCUUAUACCGAAGAAUGGUUGAAAGUCUGCUUUAUUUGACUGCUACAAGACCUGACAUUAUGUAUGCAGCCAGUCUCUUAUCAAGGUUUAUGCAUAAUCCCACGAGAAUUCACAUGGGAACUGCUAAGAGAGUACUAAGGUAUAUCUCAGGGACCUUGGAUUAUGGAAUCAAAUAUGAAAAGGGAAAAAAAGCAAUUAUGGUAGGCUUCUGUGACAGUGAUUGGGGUGGCAGUGAAGAUGACAUGAGAAGUACCACAGGAUAUGCAUUUACAUUCGGUUCUGGGAUAUUUUCUUGGGCUUCUGUCAAGCAACAAAGUGUUGCAUUGUCUACGGCUGAAGCAGAGUAUGUGAGUGCUGCAAUGGCUACCUCCCAAGCUAUAUGGUUGAGGUUUGUGUUAAAGGAUUUUGGUGAAAUGCAAGUGGAUGCUUCACCACUUAUGUGUGACAACACAUCAGCAAUAGCUAUGACCAAGAAUCCUAUUUUUCAUCAGAAAACCAAGCAUAUCAAAAGGAAGUUUCACUUCAUAAGGGAAGCCUUGCAAGAGAAUACCAUUGAACUGAUCUACUGCAAAUCACAGGAUCAAAUGGCCGACAUCUUCACCAAAGCUCUACCGAGGGAAAGGUUUGUCUAUCUCAGAGGAAUGCUUGGGAUCAAAACCAGAAUUCAUUUAAAGGGGAGUGUUGGAAUUAAAUAGAAUUCAGUUUUGUUCAAGUGUUUAAGAAGGAAGAAAUCAAUAGAAAAGUGUAUGUCUAGUCUCAUAAGACAAGUGUAUGCUUUAGAUCUUUGUUUUGAAUCAAGGGCUGAGAUUGCUCUAGAUUAGCUUGUAAGGAAAUAUCCUAAGUUGAUAUUUAUUGAAAUAUCUGUGAUUACUUCACAGAUAAGAAACCUUUCACAUUUUUUCCCCGAUUCUGUUUUUCUCUGGUUCAUCUUCUUGUCUGCCUCCAGGAACCAAAACUAACUCACCAGAAUUUAUCAAUUGAUAGUAGGCUUCAUCUUGAUGAUGAGAUCACUGAAUCAGAAGAAUAGUAAUUGCAGAAGUAAAGGACCAGCUUGAAUGGUAAUAUUAACUGAAACCGAAACUUUAUUUCUGUAAUAUCACCGAGAAAGUAAACAUUUUAGUACGUAUGUAUGACUAUUCGACAUAAAACUAUCACCUGUUCUCGGAUCUAAGGCCAAGAAAAUGUCCAACGACUUGUAAGAAAACUCGAAAUUAGACUGUACAAUGUCACUCAAGAAGAAAUGUUACUAAUUCAACUCACUUUCUACCUCUAGUUUCUUCUGCUUGUGCAGAUACUUGUAAUGUUAAUGACAUAUUGUUUCGGCUAUGAAUCUGAAACGGAACUGCCUCCCUGUGUAGCCUCUUCAACGGUAUCAAUCCUUGAGGUGUCUGAACUUGUUUCCACCUUCGCUUUAAUGUCAAUGUUCGAGUCUUGUACUGAAAUUUUGUUUUUGGCUUCCAAAUCAGCACCAGUUGUUCCUUCUUUAGACCCAACUUCUUCAUUUACCUUGUUUUCUCUGAUUUCACUUUGAUUGUUAGAACUCGAAUUCAUUUCCUGAUGUCCGGUAAUUGCGUGAUCACCGCCUGUUCCAGUCACUAUGUAUUCUAUGAGAUCAUGGCCAUCUACUGGCACGCCAUUCACAUCAUCAAAGCCAUGGACCUCUCUGUCUACCACUCAAUUUUGGCCCUCAAGAGAGUCAUUCUUACUUUCACCACGUGUAAUGUCCUUGUAUGUAGUACUCAAUUCCAUCAAUCACUUUGGCUCCUUGUCAGUGGUACGAGAUUCCUCCAAAUCUCUUUGUCUCCUUAGCUUAGCCCCUUUCAUUUUCUUUCUCGUCGUGCUUCUCUUGUGGUAUUUGCUCCUUGUCCUCUCCUACUUCAUCAUGAUUCCCAUGUUUCGCACCAUCUUGAUUAGCGAAAAUUGCCUGCGUACCUUCGUGCCCCUCUUGGUAAUUUUCUUCAUGCGAAGAACACUUGUCGAGCCCCACCGAUUCAUCAUUUCCUUUAACUUCACCACCAGAAUUAUCAUCUUUAUUGUUCAAUUCCUUUUUCUUUUUUCUGUUUCGUUUUCAACUGUUGGAAAAUAAUAGUAUUUUGGUUUAUUUGAAUGUUUGGUUUUCUUGGCUUAGCUCGUUAGAAUUAGGUUUUGUUAGUUUAUUAUAAAUAUGGUGCUUUGUUAUUCAUUAGAGAACAAGCUAGUCACAAUGUAGCCUAUUAGGGUUUUGUAGUCGUUCUGACAUUCUCGUUUGUUUAAUAAUAUUCUUAUUAUUUUGUAGUAUUGUUCGUUGCGCACUCUGAUUUUCAACUUGGUAUCAAAGCAGGUUUGAUUUUUUGGGUUGAAUCUGUUACAAAGCCGUGAAACCCAUAAAUCAUUUCUGUUUCCAUUGUCUGAUCAGAACCCUCUUGCACCCACACCCUGAUCCGUAGCUGUCGUUGCCCCGUGUUGCUGCAAUCUGAUCCGUUUGCAUCGACACCUUGUUCUUGCACUCGCACCGUUUUCUCACUUAUUACAUAUUUGCCUAUUCAUUUAUUACAUAAUUACCUUUGAAUCCUCCGAGUAUUUAUACGAGAUCUAAAUACGGAGGCCCUAAGUAUGGUAUAAACAGUAGUCCCCCAAGUCUUCAGUCAAGAGAGUCUUUUGGCUGGAAACUUGAAAUUCAGUCCAUGUGUGGGCUGAAGUAACUAGAUGUCGUCUAGAACUGAUACUCGAUAUGAGGCGGUACUCAAUCUGAAAUGAUGCUCAACUAGAAGUAGCACAUGUUGCGAGGCUGCUCUGCUUGUGGCUUAUGUUGCCUUGGUUGGCUCGGCUUGUGGCGUUGAAGGUGAGGGAGUCCCUUUUAUAGAAUAAGGGCUCACUCCUCAAUACAUAAAUGAUGGGCUAGAAUCGAUACGCGCGGCGAGGCGGUUGCUCAGCAGGCGGCGAUGUUCUCUAAUAAUGGUGAGGGAGUCCCUUUUAUAGAAUAAGGGCUCGCUCCUCAAUACAUAAGUGAUGGGUUAGGAGUGAUGCUCGCCGCGAGGCGGUUGCUCAGCAGGCGGCGAUGCUCUCUAAUGAUGGUGAGGGAGUCCCUUUUAUAAAAUAAGGGAUCGCUCUUCAAUACAUAAAUAAUGGGUGCUCUCUAAUGAAAGUGGGGGAGUCCCUUUUAUAGAAUAAGGGCUCGCUCCUCAAUACAUAAGUGAUGGGCUAAGUCCCCCAAGUAUUUUUCAUGAAGCCCAGUUGAGGCCCAAUAUAUGGUAUAUAAUGUAGUCCCCCAAGUCUUCAGUCAAUAGAGGUUGUUGGCUGGAGACUUUCAAAUUCAAGCCAUGUAUGGGCCGAAGUGGUGGUUGUUCGGAGGCGGUCUUUGUAAACCAUGCACUGAAGCUUUGUAGGUGAAGCUUUGAAGCUAAAGCUUUUGUAAAUGAAGCUUUUGAAGCUGGAGCUCUCGAAGCUGGAGCUCUGUAAAUGAAGUUUUCGAAGCUGAUUGACAUGAGUGAUGCUCAUGAAUAUUUAUGUUGAUUGACAUGAGUGAUGCUCAUGGAUGUUGACAUGAGUGAUGCUCAUGAAUGUUGACAUGAAUGAUGGUCAUGAAUGUUUAUGUAUGAUUGACAUAAGUGAUGCUCAUGAAUGUUUAUGUAUGAUUGACAUGAGUGAUGUUUAGGGAAGGCCAAUUCUUAGGCCAUGGAAGGGCUUUCUCACCCUCAGAAGCUCUCUCCAUCUCUCUCCCUCACAAAUAGAGAAAUACAAAUAUCAGUGUGGACGUAGCCCAAACAUUGGGGUGAACCACGAUACAUCUUGUGUUAUUUACAUUUCUUGCAGAUUCACGGUCGGAUUUACGUUGCUCCAAGAUCUCCGAUUUUGUGCAUCAACAGAGGCUAGAGAAAUCGCAGAGACAUUGUCACACCAAAGAGUGGGAAUGACAGUGAGUUGAAGAGCAACAUCUCUGAAAAUUUUACACACCCAUAUGAGUUCAGCUGCAGUGUGCGCAAGAGAUCUAUAUUCGGCCUCUGUAGAAGAUCGAGCAACAAUAUGUUGCUUUUUGGCACUCCAACUAAUCAAGUUUCUGCCCAAAUAUAUAUAGUAGCUACUUGUAGACAUUUGAUCAAACACACAACCGGCCCAAUCUGCAUCAGAAUAGGCUGUAAGGUGCAAGGAACUCUUCGUAAACCACAUUCCUUGAUCAAAUGUACCUUUUAAGAACCGUAAGAUUCUCUUGACAUCCUGAAAGUGUGAAUCACGAGGACAAUGAAGAAAUUGGCAGACUUGAUUCACUGCAAAGGAAAUGUCAGGUCUGGUCCAAGUGAGAUACUGUAGAGCCCCGACGAUAGACUUGUAUUCUUUAGGAUCAGCUAAUGGAACGCCAACAUGAUCAAGCUUUUGAGUUCCCAAAGGGGUAACACAAGGUUUACAACCUUCCAUGUUUGUCUUGAUUAAGAGAUCUAAAGCAUAUUUGCUUUGAGACAGAAAGAUGUCGUCAUUGGAUCUAUGAACUUCUAGUCCAAGGAAAUAGUGCAAUGAGCCUAAAUCCUUAACUAGAAAUAAGGAACCAAGAUGCUGAAUAAAGUGUUGACAUAGAGAGGUAUUGGGACCAGUUACCAGUAUAUCAUCCACAUAUAUAAGGAUUAGGACAAGGAAUGGUUUAAGUUUCACAAACAGAGAGCAAUCAGAUUGAGAGUUUGUAAAACCAAGAGAUACCAGAGUGUGAAAGAGCUUGUCAUACCAUGCCCUAGGGGCUUGCUUUAAGCCGUAGAGAGAGCGUUUGAGUUUGAAAACAUGUGAAGGUUUGGAUGGAUCAAUAAAACCGGGUGGUUGUUGCAUAAAAACCUUUUCUUGGAGAUUUCCAUGGAGGAAGGCAUUGUUGCUGUCAAGUUGGUUUAAAAACCAAUCAUAUUGGACUACAAGUGUAAGGAGAAUGCGAAUGGUAAUAGGUUUGGCAACCGGGCUGAAAGUCUCUUUGAAAUCAACACCUUCUUAUUGAUGGAAGCCCUUAGCAAUAAGACGGGCUUUGUAUCGAUCAAUAGAACCAUCAGGUUUCCUUUUGAUUCGGAAAACCCAUUUGCAUCCGACUAGAUUUUGAUGAGGAGAUGAGGGUACAAUAUUCCAAGUGCCGGUGGACUGGAGAGCUUGAAAUUCUUCCAUCAUGGCUUUAUUCCAGUGAUCAUAUUUGGAGGCUUGCAAAUAAGUAGUAGGCACAAAAGAAGUAGAAUCAAUAGGAUGUUUUAUAGCUGUUAAUACUUUUGGCUUGAAAAUUCCAGCUUUAGACCGAGUGAUCAUGGGAUGAGUGUUUGUGGGAACUGAAAUUAAAGAAGAAUGAUGCUCUUGAGAUGAGGCAAAAGCUUGAGUGUGUUGGGAAUGUUGAGGUGGAGAGACUAAUGGUGUUGAGGAAGAACCUUGAGAUAUAUAUGGACCCGGAGAUGAAUGAGACACAGAAGACGGUUGGGUGGUAGAGAUGUUUGAUUGAGGAAAUGGCAAUGAGAACUCAGUUGAUGUAGAUGAGGAAGUACAAUGUGUGUGAAGAAGUUUGGUGAGGAUAAGAAAAUCAUGAAAUGGAAAAUGGUCUUCAUUGAAAAGGACAUGCCGUGAGAUAUAAACCCUGUUGGACAGUGUAUCUAAACACCUAUAGCCUUUGUGUUGAAGACUAUAGCCCAGAAAAACACAUGGUGUGCUUUUACCAUCCAACUUUGAUUGCAUAUAUGGCUUAAGCCAAGGGUAGCAGCAUCAACCAAAUAUCUUCAACUUUGAAUAAUCAUGAGGCAUGUUAAAAAGAAUUUCCCAUGGAGACUGAGAGGAUCCAGAGAUAGGUAGUCAAUUGAUAAGAUACAGUGCAGUAGAAAAAGCAUCUACCCAAAAUCUGUGUGGAACUUUAGAAGCAACAAGAAGUGUCCUUGCAGUCUCAAUAAGAUGUCAAUGCUUGCGUUCCACACAACCAUUUUGUUCAGGUGUGUGUGGGCAGCUAAAUUGAUGAGAAAUACCAUGCUGAAGCAAGAAAGAAAUAAAUGCAGAACUUGUGAACUCACCCCCUGAAUCUGUUCGAAAAAUCUUGAUUUUAUUUCCAAGUAAAUUUUCAACAUAUGUUUUGAAAUUUACAAAGAUAGAAAAGACUUCAGACUUUGCCUUUAAAGGAAACAUCCAACUGUAUUUGUUAUACUCAUCUACAAAGAGUACAUAGUACUUAUAGCCACUAACAGAUGAAACUGGACAGGGACCCCAGACAUCACAAUGAAUCAAGUCCAAGUUAUUUAAGACAGUGGUGGUACUAGAAGAAAAUGGCAGCUUGUGAUGUUUACCAAUUGCACAGUUUGCACAAAAAAACUUAACAGAAGCUGAAUUAUUAGUAACAAGCUUAUUUGGAUGCAAUAUCCUUCUGAGAAUGGUUGUUGAAGGGUGGCCAAGGCGUUUGUGCCAUUGUUGUAAUGAAACCUGAGUGCUAACAAGUGCAGAGAAUGAAGCUUGGAAUGGUUGUCCUUUCAGAUGAUAGAAACCAUCCCUAACUGGGCCCCGAAAAAACGUCUUCCCAGUGGAACGGUCAUUGAUGACAAAACCAUCAUAAUCAAGAGUUAAAGAGCAAUAAUUGUCUCUUAGAAAUUGAUACGCAGAGAGCAAAUUGAAUUGCAUCAUUGGCACAUGGAGAACAUUAUUUAAGUGUUUUAAGUACAGAAGAACCGGUGUGGUGAAUUGGCAUACCUUGACCAUCACCAGCAUAAACCUUGUUUUCACCAGAGUAAGGGAUGGGAGAAGAUAUUGCUGAGAUAUCAUUGGUGACAUGAGCAGUGGAGCCAGAGUCCAGAAGCCAUGUAGGCUGAGAGGAAGAAGAAGUAUUGGCACACAUAGCAACAAGCUUGGCAGGUGGAAUCUUUCCAGCAAAAGCAUGGUUCAUUCGAGCAUAGCAAUCAAGGGCCUCAUGAUCAAAAGAAUUGCAUAUUUGACAGGGAGACCGAUUUCCAGAAUUAUGAGUAUAGCCACCAGAAUUACGAUUGUAGUUACCAGAGUUGUGACGGAAAUUAUCAUUACCAGUGCCAAAAUUGUUGUAAUUGCCACGAUAGUUACCACGACCUUUAUUGUUCUUCUGAAAAUUGCCUCGGCCACGGUUAUUGCGCUGGAAAUUGGAGCGAUUGAUGUAGUUAGAUUGGUGGACAUCAUUAGCCUGUUAGGAAUGAGGCGUAGGUAAAAGACCUUGCUGGAGAGAUGGACCUUAAGCAGCAAAUGCAUGAAAUGGUUAUGUAAGGGAAGAUGCAGAAGCUUUCUUCUUUCUAUGCAUGAAAAGUUCUUUGUUCAGAAAGAGGCCAUGAAGUUCAUCUAAGGAAGUAGAUGAAAUUCGAAGCAUGAUAGAAUCUACGAAGGAUUCAUAAUCAUCAGAGAGGCCAUUUAAGAUAACAUCAAUAAGAUCUUGAUCUAACACCGGAGCUCCGGCAGCCGUAAGAGCGUCAAAUAUGCCUUUGAUACGCUAUAGAUAAUCAGAGAUUGACAUAUCGCCUUUCUGAAUGGCAUGAAGACGUGAUCAGAGUUGAUGAAUGUGCGCCACUGAGACACCGUCAAAUCGUUGUUCAAGAAUCUGCCAUAAUUCUCGAGACGAAGUAACCCUGACGGUGAAUGGAAUGAGAUAUUCAGAGAAGGUUGAAUUCAGCCAGAUAAGGAUAUUUUGAUCCUUUUCAAACCAGAUCUCGAAAGUAGGAUUAGGAACUGCAGUAGUUGCACCAUAUUGAUCAAGAAUAAAAGGCGGUGGACACACCUCCGAUCCAUCGAUAAUGCAUGUAAGUUUGUAUCGUCGAAAAAUUGGAGCGAAAAGAGCUUUUCAGACCAGAUAAUUAUCCCACUUAAGCUUUGUAGGAACCAUACAACUGAUGUUUUGAAUUGAAAUUGAAGAAAUUGAACAGAGAUUCGAAGAGUUAGGGUUUAUCGGAACAAAAUUUGAUGAAAGAUGGGUGGGAUUCUGAGUGAAAACUUCCGGAUUUGCAAGUGAAGAAGUAGAAGACACCAUUGGGGAUCAAGAUUUGCAGGGAGAAAAUCAAAGAGGAUCAGAGAAAUCGAAGAUUGCAGAAGAAGCUAGGAUUGGUGAUUGAGCAGAGAGGCAAUUGAUACCAUAUAAGAAAUAACUCUGAUAUUUCAUUUCUUAAUGAAUAAGAAAUUACAAUGGGUUUAUAUACAGCAGAGAAAAAUAGCUUAGUAACUAAUUACAUCUAGUUAACUCACUAAUCUAGUAAUUAGUUACAAGGACAGUUGUAACACACUUGUAACAAAAAUACAACUAACUAUUUAUAUGCCUUUUUACUAGCUCUGUGUUAUUUGACGAAACCUCACAUCUCCAUUUUUUCCGACGAGUUGCAGGUUUCCCAUCGUGUUUUCCGGCCAAACCUCGUCAAAUUGGAUGAGGUUAGCACCACCAACAAACUGUUCUCCAUCCCUGGACACAGAUCGAAGCUUUGCAUGCUCGAAUCUGUCAUGGAUUCGAAGAAACCCAAACAUGCCAAGACUUCCGGGCCAAUUUACGGCCACCUCCGAUCAUCUUUUGGCCUCGAUUCCGGUAGAAACUGAAUCCCCUCACUCCCAACUUCAGUUUGGUAUAUUUUUAUGUGAAAAUUGGUUGUGAAACGUAUUUGAAAGAGAUGGUCGAAUCGAAAAGUUAACGGCAAUGUGUGGUCGGAGGUCACAAGGAGUGGCCGUAAGUAGUCGUCGAGCAAGACAAGGAUGAGAGAAAUGAUGGUCUUAGCUAGUUCCAUGGUUCUCGGCGGUACUCGCUAAGACCAGAUAGUCCUGCCCUUAGUCGAGGCGAGUGAGAGCUAGUCUCACUAAAGCUAAUCCUUGCUGGGAACAAACAUGGGACUUGACUAACCCUUAAUUUUGUCUAGUCCAGUGAAUUUUAACGAGGACAAACAAAUGCCCCCUUCUAAUUUCUUCUAUACCUCGGAAAGGAGGGAGAAUCUUCAAAUUCUAUCACAUAAAUUUGAGGAAAUCUAACUGAUCAAUAUCUCUGACGUGUGGUGCUGAUCAAAGUUGUUAGGCAUUGAGCAGUCCUUAUCUUUCUCCAAAUUUCUGGUACAUGAGUGCUUUGUCUAAUUCUCCCUUUUUUUUGUUGUUUUUUUUUCUUUUCCUAAUGGCAUCACCCAUCCAAUAAACGCUUAUCAAGCGGUGAAUUGGGAGAGAUUUUUUAGUGUGACUGGUACACGGGUGAUACACCACGUGUCACUAUAUAAAUGAUAAGAUAUGUGUGUUAAAAAGUUCAUAACUUAGAACAUAAAAUUGUUCACCACUUAUAUAAAAACAAGUGAUGUACCCUCCGUAUUCCGGUCACAAUCAAAUUUUUUUCGUGAAUUGGUGAUAAGAGAGUAUCUCUCGUCUGAUUGAACUCUGCUUUAUCUUACCAAGAUCUCAUGACCGUAUGUUCAUAUUUUAGAAAUUAUAUGCACAUAGAGAACGGUGUUUCGCACUUCAAGAAAGUUAUUCUACAAUUGUUCACACGUAAUUCUUCUAAGUGUUUUUAUUAGAAGGAACGGGUGCAUCGUGAAGUGCAGAUAACAGCUCCCAUACAGAUGAAGCCUUUAUAUAAAGCGUAUUGAAAGAAACAUUCUACAAAGCAUCCAUUUGUUAUUAGCUUUCUUGUCCUGCAACCCAAAUGGCACUUGAGAAACAAUUGAAAUGGGAAGGCAAGGCAAGUGCAGAGCUAAAAGUGACCAGAACUUGCCAUGGUGUUGAAGGCACACCGGGGGUAGCCGGGUGCGUGUGGUUCUAUGCUGGGUUCAAGACUCCGGUUGAUCCUAAAAGUGACCAGAACCAAGACCAAGAGAAGGCGAACCGGACUAAGCAGAAGCUGCUGAGUAUAGACCCAGCAGAAAUGACAUAUAGUUACUCUAUCAUAGAUGGGAAUGUUGGGUUUAACUCGUACCUUUCGACCGUUCAAAUGGUGCCGAAGGACGCCGAGUGUACGAUUGUGUGGAAGUAUGAAGUUGAACCAGUGGAGGGAUGAAGGCUGGAGGAUCUGGACCUGUUUAUUGGCACUGGCUUGCAAGUCAUGGCAAGCAGAAUGGAAGCCUCUCUCCAGCUCCAAGUUGAAUAAUUGGAAACACAAAAGUGAUUUGGUAGAGAGAAUGGCAAGUGAUUUGUAUAACCCUGCAAUAAAACCGGCAACAAAAUCCAGUAAGGUUGAUAAGUUGUCGGACUUGUAGCUCCGAUCGUUAAAAGUAGUUACCCUUGUUUCAAGGUGGAUUAGGAUUUUUUUUUUUAGGGAUGAUUUAUGAAUGGGGGUAAGGCUAGCCGACAUUCACCUUUCCCAGAUCCUGCGUAAAGCGGGAGCCUUGUGCACUGGGUACAACCUUUAAGGGAUGAUUUAUGAAUGAUGAACUAAAAUAUAAACGUUUUUAAUCGUUGAAAAAAGUUACAGAGUGAACACCACAAGGUGCCCCUGAAAUAAACAAAAGAACCCUAAUUUUGAAUCUAGGUAAAUUCGACAAUUUAGACUUUUUGACGGGAAGAUCACGUAUGGAUUUUUAGAAUUUUGGUGAAAGAGAAAGACAGAGCAAUCAUAAACAUUAGGGUUAAAGAUGAUGAUACAAGUAAUUUUUCAACAUCAUGAUACAACUAUCCGUACAAGUACAGCAACUAUUAGUACUUGUGUCACAUCUUGUUCUCUACCAGUAUGUGAAUCACCUACAAAACUGAGGUCAGGUUCUACAGUAUGCAGACUGGAUGCGGAUGCCCGAAUGAGCAGGCAAGCCUCACGAACUAGGCCAUUCAUACGCCUUCGAAGUAAAAGCAGACUACUACUCGGGGCAGAGUCUAUUCAGCCGGAUAACUUGCACGAUGUUCUCUUUAACUGACUUCCGACAUGAUGGAUCUACUAAUCGUCUAGUUAACUUCUCAAUGUCAGCAUGUUGAAAAAUCAAGAGACGAGCCUUGAAGUAAGAUGCAAAUGAGAGCUACGAUUGUGUUGCGAUCAAAGCACUUAUGGAAAUUAAGUUAUCAAUAUUGGAUGUUAAUAAAGACUAAGAAAUAUGCUCAAAUCUCACCUUAAUGGUAGCGACAUCGGUUGAGGAUGGUUUCAAAUCCAAUGCAUAACUGAAAUGAAGCAUUGCUUUCUCAUGCAUGUUACGCCGCUUAUAGAUCUUACCCAUCAAAGCGUAGACACUACUUUCACGAGGAGAGUAUUCUUUAACCUCCUCUAAGACCGCUAAAGCUUCAUCGAACUUUUCUAAGCUCAUUAGUAUACUAGCCUUAUGAUACAUUGGAAGUGGAUUCUUCUUAUCCGCCCUAAUAGCCUUCUCCAUCAUCACUAGAGCUUCUUCGCUUCUCUGUCAUAUGAUACAAACACAUUUCAGACGAUUGGAUAAUAAAAUAAGAAUCAUUUCGUAAAUCAAAAGAUUUCUAGGCUGUAACAUUAGAAUGGAUAUGCGAAUGUAACCUUUAAAGCGUGCAGUGCUGAGGGAAGAUAAGUCAUUAUAACAGAAGAACGUGAAUUGAUUUGGAAAUAUUGGAAGCUUCCUUAAAGUUAUGGAAUUAAAUUGGAUUUGGACUUGGUUGACUCAAAGAUUAAAACUUUAGUCCAUUUUCCUGUAUUUUCUCGGAAACCAAACAGAGGGUUAUUUUGGUUUUUCUGUUUUCUGUUCAUAAACUUUGGUUUAGUUAGUAGAUCGUUGAACAUUGUCAGGACGAAAUUUAAUUAAGAAAGAUAUUAAGGUCUGAUUUUUUUUUUUUGGGGUCUUUCAUAAAUGAAACCUUGACUUACUUAUCGUUGUGAUGAUUAAUCGAGAAUUUAUAAGGAGCUUGUCUUUUGAGCAGUUGUAAAGAGUUUGGAUGAAUAACCAGUCUACCGGGCGUAACCAGAGACCUGCCAAAGGGUUGAAGGUGAAACAGGAAAUUCAGAUUGCAUUGAUUUUGGCUGUUUGCUUCUGGUUGCUAUACGAGAUGAAGCAGUCACAUGACAAGGACUAUAGUGAAAGUUCAAAGGACAAGGCCAGCGAAGAACGUGGUUCUGAUAUUUUAGGGCCGAAGGGGAGUGCAGGGUGGUUAAAAGGUGGAGUUGUGUCUGCAUCAGAAGAUCUGAAACAUGUAGGAGAAGUAAGUGUGUUGAUGCACAAAACCGGAGGUCUUGGAGCAACGUAAAUCCGACCGUGAAUCUGCAAGAAAUGUAAAUAACACAAGAUGUAUCGUGGUUCACCCCAAUGUUUGGGCUACGUCCACACUGAUAUUUGUAUUUUUCUGUUUGUGAGGGAGAGAGAUGGAGAGAGCUUUUGAGGGUGACAGAGCCCUUCCAUGGCCUAAGAAUUGGUCUCCCCUAAUGAGGAGAGUGAGGAGUCAUUUUAUAGAAUAAGGGCUCCUCACUUAUUACAUAUUUGCUCAUUCAUUUAUUACAUAAUUACAUUUGAGUCCUCCGAGUAUUUAUACUAGAUCUAAAUACAGAGGCCCUAAGUAUGUUACAAACAGUAGUCCCCCAAGUCUUCAGUCAAGAGAGUCUUUUGGCUGGAGACUUGAAAUUCAGUCCAUAUGUGGGCCGAAGUAACUAGAUGUCGUCUAGAACUGAUACUUGAUAUGAGGCGGUGCUCAAUCUGAAAUGAUGCUCAACUAGAAGUAGCACAUGUUGCGAGGCAGCUCUGCUUGUGGCUUAUGGUGCCUUGGUUGGCUUGGCUUGUAGCGUUGAAGGUGAGGGAGUCCCUUUUAUAAAAUAAGGGCUCGCUCCUUAGUACAUGAAUAAUGGGUUACGAGUGAUGCUCGCGGCGAGGCGGUUGCUCAACAGGCGGCGAUGCUAUCUAAUGAUGGUGAGGGAGUCCCUUUUAUAAAAUAAGGGCUCGCUCCUCAAUACAUAAAUAAUGGGUGCUCUCUAAUGAAAGUGAGGGAGUCCAUUUUAUAGAAUAAGGGCUCGCUCCUCAAUACAUAAGUGAUGGGCUAAGUCCCCCAAGUAUUUUUCAUGAGGCCCAGUUGAGGCCCAAUAUAUGGUACAUAAUGUAGUCCUCCAAGUCUUCAGUCAAUAGAGGUUGUUGGCUGGAGACUUUCAAAUUCAAGCCAUGUAUGGGCCAAAGUGGCGGUUGUUCGGAUGCGGUCUUUGUAGACCAUGCACUGAAGCUUUAUAUGUGAAGCUUUGAAAGUGAAGCUUUGAAACUGGAGCUUUUGUAAAGAAGCUUUUGAAGCUGGAGCUUUUGUAAAAGAAGCUUUUGAAGCUGGAGCUCUGUAAAUGAAGCUUUCGAAGCUGAUUGACAUGAGUGAUGCUCAUGAAUAUUUAUGUUGAUUGACAUGAGUGAUGCUCAUGGAUGUUGACAUAAGUGAUGCUCAUGAAUGUUAACAUGAGUGAUGCUCAUGAAUGUUAACAUGAGUGAUGCUCAUGAAUGUUGACAUGAAUGAUGGUCAUAAAUGUUUAUGUAUGAUUGACAUGAGUGAUGCUAAUGAAUGUUUAUGUAUGAUUGACAUGAGUGAUGCUCAUGAAUGUUUAUGUAUGAUUGACAUGAGUGAUGCUUAUGUAUAAUUUUGGAGUAUUGGACGUACUUUUGAUCACUUGGUUGGUGAUAAUAACGGCAGGCUGCUGAAUAAUUUUGGAGUACUGGGCGUACUUUUGAUCACCUGGUUGGUGAUAAGAGCGGCAGGUUGCCAAAUAAGUUUGGAGUACUGGACGUACUUUUGAUCACCUGGUUGGUGAUAAUAGAGGGCUUGGCUCUUUUGGGCAUAUGGGCAUUCACCCUCCACCUAACAUUCCAGCCCAUUAUUUUGGGCUUGACGUUUUUUUUUUUUUUUUUACCCUCUGAUGGGGUUAUACAAAUGUCUCCUAAAGAUAAGAAAAAUAAACAUCAUUCAAAAAUAAGAAAAGUAAAUCACAUCUUUCUGGUGGAGUGUUUAUUCCUUGCUUUUGCAGUGUCCCCAUGUGCCUCCCUUUUGCUUUCUGCUUUUUCUCGGUUUUUUCUGCUUUGCUUUUGCUUUUCUUCUUUUCUCUUUUCCUUUAUUCCACUUUUGCUUUCUCAGAAAAUGAAGAUGCAGGGGAUGGGUCAUUGAUCUCAUCUAGCAGGUUAUCUGCAGCAUACAGAGCAUCUUUGAUCUACACUAGCUUCCCUGCAAUUUGUCGAGGUACUAGGGCUGGCCAUGGCCCCUCUUGAUCGCUUCCAGGAGAUCGAAAGAUUGAGAAUCGGACGGCGGAGCCUUACCGGAGAUCCAUCGCCGCUGAAACGAGAGGGAAUCAGAGACCGACGGACGGCGGAGAUCGGAUACGAUCAAACAUCGACGGCAGCCAUCGGACCUCAAAAUCCGUGGUAGUUUCAUCCUCUCUCUCACUCUCUCUGGAGUUCGUCUCUACCUCACUCUCGCGAGAUAUGGAUUCAUCCCUGAAAUGUUGUAGAAAUCAUCUGAUAUCUUGAUAUCUUGUCAUUGUAAGACAAGCAGCCACUGACCCAUAGCCGACACGACACCGUCUCAGCAUCAGUAACCUCAAGUUGAGUAGUAAUCUCGUGCAAGAACAAUGUUUCAGCACCCAAAGUAGCUUGAGAACAACAUCUUGGCAAAAAAAAGCUGCAAAUAAUAACUUUCCUUAUACCUCUGAGACAAUCUCACUUUAGCACUCUCAUGUUCCACAUUUUUCUCUGUUCAAGGCUCUUACCACAGAAUACAAACAUGCACGGAGAUGUGACAUGCAGAACUCGGAGGUGGAUAAACUUGAUGGAAUCUGUGAUUCGAGAGCUGAAAGAAGGUUGAAUGACGCAUCGAUCUCGGAUCUGAGAUGAGGAGGAUAGGGAUGAAGGCAGGCUCUCGAGCAUCUCGCCAUGAGAGAUUGAUGAGAGAAUGACAGGAAAAAGAUCACUCGUCUUUGGGAAGUGGUUAGCCCUGACUUGGACCUUCUCGCCGACCUUCCCGUAGCCAGGCCUAGCUGGACACACGGCGGGCUUCGACGACGACGGUGGCGGGGCGGUCAGCAUCAGUUUCAAGAGAGGAGGAAAAGCUCAUCCAAGCUGUUGAAUACAUUGAUGAUGAGAUUGUCAUUGGUGAUGGAGUGGAUGUCUGACUGAGAGAUUUUGAAGUCGUUGGGACGGGUUGAAAUUGGAGCAAUCAGAGAGAAGCAGAGUUGCGGAUGGUGACUUCAGUGUGGGUUUUCUGCUGUUCUAAAAUGACGACGAUUCGGUCCCUCCGGAGCCGCACGAACAGGACAACGGUGGAUCGGGCCUGGUGGUCGUCCCAGAUCAUGACUUUAUUGGUCGGGUACUGAGGGUCGGGUCUACCGCCGAGGGUCAGAGUUAGGGUUGGGCCAUGAAUGUGUUGGUUUAUGUCUGGGCUGCUUGGAGAAUUUGGCCACAGAAAGAGGGGUUUUUGGUUUCUUGGUUUUGCAGAUUCAUGGUGGAGGUUGUGAAGUUCUCACGGUGGUGAGAUGGAAAAUGAAAGAUAACCAACAUAGCUUUUCGUGUCGAUUCCCAUAGACGGCACCAAAUGUUGAUGCACAAAGUCGGAGGUCUCAGAGCAACGUAAAUCCGACCGUGAAUCUGCAAGAAAUGUAAAUAACACAAGAUGUAUCGUGGUUCACCCCAAUGUUUGGGCUACGUCCACACUGAUAUUUGUAUUUCUCUGUUUGUGAGGGAGAGAGAUGGAGAGAGCUUAUGAGGGUGAGAGAGCCCUUCCAUGGCCUAAGAAUUGGCCUCCCCUAAUGAGGAGAGUGAGGAGUCCUUUUAUAGAAUAAGGGCUCCUCACUUAUUACAUAUUUGCCCCUUCAUUUAUACAUAAUUACCUUUGAGUCCCCCGAGUAUUUAUACGAGAUCUAAGUACGGAGGCCCUAAGUAUGGUACAAACAGCCUCAAAUCCAGUUUUUCAUGCUCGCACAAAGCAUGUGGAAAUUGAUUACCAUUACAUUCGUGAACUCGUUCUUGCCAAACUGCUCCGAGUACAAUAUCUCAAUACUCAGCAUCAAGUUGCUGAUAUCCACACUAAAUCUCUUUCCAAAGCUCGGUUUCAAUAUCUUCAAUCCAAGCUUUGACUCGGUUCUCCUCCGUUUAGCUUGAGGGGGUGUAAAGAGGCAUAUAAAUAGUUGGUUUAAUUUUUGUUACAAGUGUGUUACAACUGUCCUUGUAACUAAUUACUAGAUUAGUGAGUUAACUAGAUGUAAUUAGUUACUAAGCUAUUUUUCUCUGCUGUAUAUAAACCCAUUGUAAUUUCUUAUUCAUUAAGAAAUGAAAUAUCAGAGUUAUUUCUUAUAGCUAGAGCAAGGGAAAGAGGAGAGAAAGAUUGGAAUCGAGAGGGAGUAGGACAGAAAAAAGAGAGAGAUAGAGACUGGAAUUGAGAUGUCUAAUCUGGAAGAAGGAAGGGUGGGACGGAGAAGGCUAUUAGGGCGGAUAAGAAGAAUAUUCCCCUCGUGAAAGUAGUGUGUACGCUUUGAUGGGUAAGAUCUAUAAGCGGCGUAACAUGCAUGAGAAAGAAAUGCUUCAUUUCGGUUAUGCAUUGGAUUUGAAACCAUCCACAACUGAUGUCGCUACCAUUAAGGUGAGAUUUGAGCAUAUUUCUUAGUCUUUAUUAACAUCCAUUAUUGAUAACUUUCCAUAUGCGCUUUGAUCCAACACAAUCGUAGCUCUCAUUUGCAUCUUACUCCGAGGCUUGUCUCUUGAUUUUUCAACAGGCUGACAUUGAGAAGUUACAUGUACCUGAUGAACUAGACGAUGAGUAGAUCCAUCAUGUCGGAAGUCAGUUAAAGAGAACAUCAUGCAAGUGAGUAGCGGUCUGCUUGUGCUUUCGAAGGCGUAUGAAUGGCCUAGUUCGUGAGGCUUGCCUGCUCAUUCGGGCACCCGCAUCCAGUCUGCAUACUGGAGAACCUGACCUCAGUUUUGUAGGUCAUUCACGUACUGGUAGAGAACAAGAGGUGGCACAAGUACUAACAAGUAAUAGCUGCUGUACUUGUACGGAUAGUUGUAUCAUGAUGUUGAAAAAUUACUUGUAUCAUCAUCUUUAACCCUAAUGUUUAUGACUGUAAUCUGCCUUGCUCUUUCACCAAAAUUGUAAAAAUCCAUACGUGAUCUUCCCAUCAACGAGUCUGAAUCGUCGAAUUUACCCAAAUUCAAAACUAGGGUUCUUUUGUUUAUUUCAGGGACACCUUGUGGUGUUUACUCUCAUUUUUUUCAAUGAUCAAAACUGUUUAUAUUUUUUAGUUCAUUAUUCAUAGAUCAUCCCUCCAAAAAAUUAGGUAAAUCCAAAUCCACCUUGAAACAGGGGUAACUACUCUUAACGACUAGAGCUACAAGUCCGACAACUUAUCAACCUUACUGGAUUUUGUUGCCGGUUUUAUUGCAGGGUUAUACAAAUCACUUGCCAUUCUCUCUACCAAAUCACUUUUGUGUUUCCAAUUAUUCAACUUGGAGUUCAAGAGAGGCUUCCAUUCUGCUAGCCAUGACUUGCAAACCAGUGCCAAUGAGCAGGUCCAGAUCCUCCAGCCUCAAUCCCUCCACUGGUUCAACUUCAUACUUCCACACAAUCAUACACCCGGCG
rnacentral:lncRNA from 1 species